rnacentral:lncRNA from 1 species
UUGGAUGUAGAUCUCUUGAGCAACAUAAGUUGAAAUUCAUUGGGGAAUUCAGCAACCUAGAGACUAUCAACUUAUCCUGGUGUAGCAAGUUCCAGGACUUGCCAAGCAAAUCUUUCUGUCCUGUGUUGUGUACUCUAGAUCUUUCCUACACCUACAUUGCCAUGCUACCUCAAUGGGUUACUACAAUUAGCACUCUUGAAUGUAUAGACCUUGAAAGCUGCAUGGAGCUACUAGAGUUGCCAAAAGGUAUAGGCAACUUAAAAAGACUCAGAGUUUUGAAUAUAAAGGGCUGUAGAAAACUUCGCUCCCUGCCAUCAGGGUUGGGACAACUGACUUGUUUAAGAAAGCUGGGAUUGUUUGUUGUUGGGUGCGGUGGAGAUGAUGCAAAUAUCUCCGAGCUUGAAAAUCUUGAUAAGCUAUGUGGCCACCUAAUAAUUAGGAACCUUAUGUAUUUGAAGGAUAUAGAAGAUAAAGGGAAAUCUUAUUUGAAACAUAUGAGGAACAUACAGAGUCUUGUGUUGGACUGGUCUUUGAGUGAAACUGGAGAAGAGUUAUUAUGUGAUAUGGAACAAGUCCAGGGUAUGCUGAGUACUCUUGAACCACCAUCACAAAUUACGAACAUGGAAAUCAAUGGUUACCAAGGUUCCUGUUUGCCACGAUGGAUGAUGGCACAAAAUGAUUCCUCUUUUUGCGAAGCUGUAGUGUUGAAGCAAACAGGACCAUGUCAGUUCCUUUCUCUCACUGCACUUACACUAAGUAACUGUGCAAACAUGAAGCAGAUGCGAGGACUUUGUGUGUUGCCUUCACUGAAGUCCCUCUUCCUACUCGAAAUGGCUAAUUUAGAAGAGCUGUGGACCGUAACAAGUGAAGAAAUGGCUAAUUCUGAUGAAGAAAUAUGUGGGCAAUGCUGCUUCCCAGCCCUGUCCGAUAUAUCCAUAUUAGGCUGCCCGAGACUCAAUGUGAAACCACACUUCCCACCGUCACUGGAGAAGCUACGUUUAAGCAAGAGCAACAUGCAGCUGCUAUCAGCGGGUAGUUUCUCCCAAAUGCUUCCUCCAUCAGCAGAUACAUCCUGGUCGUCCUACAGCAUGAACUCAGCAGUCCCUCACCUCAGGGAACUGAGACUAACAACAAUAAAGGGAUCAUCGUCUGGCUUGGAAUUCCUGCAGAACCACACUAAACUAGAGAUCUUGAGUAUUGAAUAUUGCAAAGAAAUGACAGAGUUACCUGAGAGCAUCCGGAGUCUCACCUUGCUGCAGGACUUGAGUAUCCAAGGAUGCUCUACCCUUGGCCUGCUGCCCGAUUGGCUUGGUGAACUGCGCUCAUUACGAUCACUUUCUGUCAUGUGGACCCCAAUGAUGCAGAGCCUCCCUCGAUCCACAAAGCACCUUAGGUCCCUCGUCACACUAAAUAUCUGGAAUUGGGACAAUAAUCUGAAGCAGCUACCUGACGUCAUUCAGCACCUCACAUCACUUGAAGUUCUCGACUUGAUGGGAUUCCCCGCGCUGACAGAGCUGCCAGAGUGGAUUGGACAACUCACUGCACUUCGUGGCCUAUUUAUCCAGAGUUGUCCUACCCUUGAAUGCCUGCCCCAAUCCAUACAACGCCUUACUGCCCUCCAGAGUUUGUAUAUUGAUAGCUGCCCUGGAUUGAAAACUCGUUAUAAGCGAGGAAUGGGAUCUGACUGGCACCUUGUCUCUCACAUUCCUCGUGUGUUUGGAGACGGAGUAUCAAAUGGACCUUGGUAAGAUUUGUCUUUUGUUACUAAUAUAAUACGAGAAAAUAUAAUACGAGAACUAUUUCCUAAAAAAAUACGAGUACUAUUUUGAUAGUUCAACGUAUUUUGGUAAGUAUACGAGGUUCAUGCUUCCACGUGGGGCCUAAUGGAAGGAGAUAAUGGUUUACCACUAGCCUUUCCAUACAGUUUUUUUGCGUCAUUUUUCAUUUUCAAAAUCCUGUCACUGCAUGCCUUUCUUCUUCUCUCUCUCUCUCUCUGCUGCUUAGGGUAGUAGAGCAAACUCACACAUCUCCUCUGUUACACGCAUUUUUGCUUUAUUGGCACAACGAUGAACUACAUUUCACUUAGGUAUAGUAAUAUUUUUCUCAACUGAACAUCUAAACUUGUUGGUACCCAGUUUUUCAACUCCUCGUCAGAUCUUUGAAAGCUUCAAAGCUCAGCUCCAUCUACCUUUCUUCAUGGAAAUCACAGUCACUAUGUGCUGGUCUAUUUAGACUGUCAGAAAUGAUGUUAUUUUCAGAGAAAUCCCAGCUUCAGUGCAGCCCUGCAACACUGUUUUAAGAUCAGAGUUUGCUCUAGUUAUUCUAAGAGCAAAAGUAGCCUACCGUCCAGCUAUUGAUUUAUCUUUUUAUUAAUAUUUUUUGUAACCUUUUUGUUUCUUGAAUUCUGUUAUCAGGAAUUCUACUCUAUUUUUAAAAAAGAAAAUCAAUAAAGCACAGUAGGGGGUUUUUACCCCUCCUGUUUACCCUAAAAAAAAUAUUUUUCUCAACUUAUCAAAUAACAAUUAAUGGUAUUAUGUCUAUUUGAAUUUAAGCGUCUGCGGCCAAGUGAUCGAAAAAUUAAAAUUAAACCCGGAUAACCAAGGCGUGACUGGACAGCAGACUGACCACUCUUAACCGUGUUUGCACAGGUUUCAAGUUGGAGAAUGAAGAUGGAUUGGUCUGUCAGUUGAUGACCGAAUUUUCUGUGUUAUACUUUGCUUUGCAUUGCUUUACAAGGGUGUGAUUAUCUUGUAUCAUAUAUAUAUAUAUAUAUAUAUAUAUAUAUAUAUAUAUAUAUAUACACUGCUGAUUUUUAGUUGGAUAAGAGCACAUACCUAAAGGUACGUGCACCCCUCGGAUCAGCUUAUUAUUUCUUCUACUGCACCCCAAAUGAUAGCCAGUGGAAAACGGAUAUGAUACGGGACAGGACACGGUUCAGAAUGAAUGUGCUGCAUAUUAGCAUAUAUACUGUUGGUGAAAGGUUUCAUUUACAACACAUUGCAUGCACACGCCCGGAUUAAUCCUCCAGAAUACAUGCAAACAGAGAGGGAGUAUAUUCACUCGUAAUCUGACUUAUCUUUUGGCCCAUCUCGUCCCACCUCAUUUCUGCUCUGUUAAGACUUAUCACGCGGCCUACUUUAUCAAUGGUUUUACGUAUAUUAAGUAAAUUCAGGAAAUUCCAGGCAGUACCAUGCUUUCGCUCUUUAAAGUUUGUUUGACUGUGGUAGACACGAUUAAACUCGGCCGUGGUCAGAAGCCACAUGGCGGUUACCAACUCUCCGCCACUGAUGCUGAGCUGCCUGGCAUGGGACUCCCGGCCUGCUGCAGUGAUGCGCCGCGUAGCACAGCAUCUCCACCCACACCCCCAAAAACCACCCGCAGCAGCUUGUCCCCGGUUCUUCCUUGCACAGCAGUUGGUCGGCGAGUUUUGCUCCAGGAUAAAGGACUUGCGCUUCCUCAUCAAGAGUAGUAUUGUUGUUGUGUCUGUCUCGCCCUCGCUCCAUGAACCAAGAGGAAUAACGCGAUUCCCGCAACACUUUCCUGGCUUGGAGAUGCAAUGUCGGUCGAACAGGGGAUGUUCUCAGCAUCUAGGGACGUUCCAUCGAGGAGCUGGUAGGUAGAUUGAAGAUGGCUGAGGAUCACCUCAGGAUCGAGGCUGUUACAGAAAAAAGUUGGCAGUUUGUUGCUGACAGAAGAAGAUUGGAUGGCAAAGUACCGGCACCGCCUUGUGCCGGAUUCGUCAUCAUCCAACGGAGCAGAACUUGAAGCUCGACUACUCGUUGUUCACAAUCACAACUUCACGUGCAAGCUCGCCGGUAGUGAUAGCGAUGUUGGAGAGAGUUCGGCAUGAGAGGUCUGCGGCAGCGCGACCAUAUAUGUGAGAUGCCGGCGGCUGUUCGGCGCUGCAGGCCGGCAGCGGCGCGGAGCGAGGCACCGGAGGCGCUGGAGGCCUGUGGCAGCGCAGAAUGAUGCGAGAUGCUUGCGGUGUCACGGUGUGGCAGUCACCAUCCGGGUGGCCGUCGCGGAUUCACGGAGCACAGCAUGCGGCGAGCGCGCGCAAGGCCGCCAUGGAUGCAUGGCUACCGUCGUGGACAUGGUGAACGACAGACAUCACGGACAUGGGACGUGGCAAGCGCGCUGCCAUCACGGUGGGCGGCGCGGCGAACGUCCCGCCGAGCGCCUAGGCUUGCUUGACCUCCGGCGCCAUCGGUAGCGCUCCUGUGCGAGUGGAUGGCGACAGAGGCAUAUGUACCACCGUCCGCACCAACGCCACUGUGACAACUACCAUGAUGCCCUGGCCCGCAGCGGACGGGUAAUCCACGACGGUACCCGCAUGGCCAUAUAGCGAGAGUUCUGGGUCCGGAUGAUGCGAGAGUUGUUGUUGUCUGCCAUUGGAAGUUUCACGGUACCUUAGUUUCCAAGAGCUGAUCUAUAUGCUGAUUUCAUUCCGUGACGUAAAUAAACAAUUAAACAAGUUUACUAGAUGGCGAGGCACUGGAUCCGAGCUACCAUUUUCCCUACACUAGUGGUUUCUAUUACCAUCCCCAGCAUUGUAAUGUCUAAAAUUUUUUGUGCAGGUUUUCUUCAUGGGAUACACUGGUUACGAUUUUGGGAUGACAACAAGGAACGGAUUCUUGAUGCUUGCAAGCUACUGAAAUCGAGAGUGUUGGUCCUGGUUUAAUCUACCUUUGUCGACGGAGGUUAGAGGGGACCUUUCACUCGUUGCAGUGAGAGGCCGUGCAACCUAGCAGAUGAAGUGGAGCAUAAAACUCUUCGCUAGUACACGGAAGGGCUUUAGCCCCGGGGCCGUAAGCGCCUUUAGUCCCGGCUACGGAACCGGGGAUAAGGUUUCGGGACUAAAUGUCCCACCUUUAGUCCCGGUUCCGUGGACCGAGACUAAAGGUCCACCUUUAGUCCCGGUUGGUAACAACAACCGAGACUAAAAGGUGCACCAGGGUGUGCCACCUGGCCUCCACUUUUAGUUCUGGUUGUUGCUACCAACCAGGACUAAAGACUUUUUUCUUUUUCUUUUCAUUUGGUUUUCCAUUUAGGGUUUACAAUUAUGUUAUUGUUAUUUUCGAAUGCGUAUUGUUUGCUGGUAGUUUAUGGAACACGCAUCUAUAAUUUAUAUAAUUUAAAGGAUUACAUAUAAAUAUACUAUAAAACACUAUAUAUAUAUAUAUAAAUAAUAUGUAUCUAUAGGUCCAUAAUACAAUAUUUACACAUAUGCUUCACGGACAAAGUAUUUACAACACAAUUUAUCUCCGCCACUCAAGCAUCGUACAAAUGAUCAUCGUUAUUUGGUUUCAUCUGCUCCUGAGGGUUGAAGUAGCACUCGCCGCCGGGAUCCAGGACUUGGUCGUUAAGAAAUCCUGCGAUUGUCUCCUGAAUUCCUUUUAGGCGCACCGCAUCCAACACCUGCUCCUUCAGCCACAUCUCCUUUAAUAGACAUUAAAGAAAAAAGUUAGAGGUAUGAAUAGGAUUUAUUAAAUAGCAACAAAUAAAUGAAAUAAACUUAUUAUAUAUACAUGUUACAUCCUUUUAGGUGCUCAAGAUUAGUUCUUUUGGCAUACACCGUCAUAAACUCGCACACAUAUUAGCCACACAAAUUGUUGCCCGGUGUCUGCCGUAGAACCCACUGAAGUAAGAUGGGCUUUGAAAGUGCUGCAUUCAACUCUGGACGGUGUUUCUGCACGAACCCAGCCCAAACCCUAGCAAUAAAACGAUCAUUAUUAAUUAUCCAUUACCAAGUUAAAAGAGCAGAAUUUAAUAUAUAGAGAUCGGAGUUACCAUUGGAUAAUAUCUAUCAUUUCUUGGUAAUCGUCCUGUGGUUUUCUCAAUGAGUCAUAGAUUACCAAUUGACAUUGCCAGAGAUCAAUGACAAUUAGUAUCCAAUGAAAGCUGCAUUUGUGUGCAUAUGUAGGCAAAAUUAGUAUAUAUCUUCAUAUUGAUCUGAUUAAUUAGUUAAAUAGAAUGUACACACGAUAACGACACUUACUUAAAGUUGUAGGGAAAGAGUAUAUAUCUUUUAUCUUUUUGGUUGAUCAAGAACCUCCGUAGAUUUCUCUCCGUUUGAGUUCUCCAUAAAACAUACGGGGUCUUGUGGUCUUUGAAUACAACAUUUGGAUCUACAAAUCCAAUCUCCUUGUCAUUUCUAACUCUGAGGUCCCUCAUCAUGUUUCUGCAUAUGUAUAGCGGGUUUCUGUAAUUAGUUAUAUAUAUACAUGAUAAGUUACAGAGACAUUAUUGAAAGGAAGAAUCACUUACAGACAGAAGCAACUCAUUAGAGAUUUGUCAAGAGCGUCUCUGUGGCAUAGUUGGUGUAGCUCAUUAAAUUGAACAUAAAUAAUAUCAUCACCACGGAAGUAAUGAUAGUUUCUAAUUCGGACACAAAUAUAGUCAUCUGCUUUUCUGACACACGCUUUCAUGUACCAUUUGUUUAGCAUGUACAUUUGUGUUCCAAGCUUGCUGAGGGCCGCAGGGUUGUAUAAACUCUUGCCAUAUGUAUAUUCCUUCUGCCAAUGAUCAAUUUGUGGAGCACUUUCAAUUACAACACAGGAUAAAUUACAAUUUUUAUUUAAAUUAAAGUAACUUGUGCUUUCUAUAUUCAAGUUCAACUAUACAAGACAAGGUUUUUAAUUAUGUCUCAAGUAAAUUUAUAGUAUAAAAAUAUAUAAAUAAUUAAUCUAAUAAUAUUUAUAUUUUUUAUAGAAAUGUCAUAAAAAUUUUGAAUUGUUUGAUUUUUAAAAAGUGUACGUUUCGUGAGCGCAUGUGUUUCGUCGAUCGGAGUACAACAAGUGUAGAUGUAGAAGUACGUUUUGGCCAGAGGUACGUAUUUCUCGUGGGCAUGCGUUUGGGAACCGAUUCAUAGUUUUGAUUCAAAUAAAAUUCACUAAAAUGAUUUUUAUCACACAUUUGGACCACAACAGAUUCAUAGUUUAAAUUAUAGUUUUGAUUCAAAUAAAAUUCACUAAAAUGAUUUUUAUCAUGUGUUUGGGAACAGAUUCUUUUCAUUCAAAUAAAAUUCACUAAAAUCAUCUCAUUCAUACAACAAAUCAACAAUUCAUACAACACAUCAUCAAUAAUCAUUUUUUUCUCUGUGUACGUGCUCACCCUCGACGACGGCGGCGCGAGCGUUCUCUGGCCGGGGAGGAGAGCGACGGCCGGAGGCGCUCUGACGAGGGAGAGGAGGUGGCCGCGGGGGCGAUGAGGGCGAGGAGGCGGCGCUGGAGAAGCUCGAAGGCCGCACGGCGGCGCGACGACAACGUACGGCUCGGGGAUGACGAGGAGGCGGCGCGACGAUGUCCGGAGGCGAGGAAGCGGUGGCGGCGCUCGUCCAAGAGAGUCUCUACGCCGGAGAAGAAGGAGGCAGCGGCGGCUCGGGCAGGAUGUGGAGGCAGCGCGAGGAGUGGCGACGGUGAAGACGGCUAGGGCAACGUCGAUCUGGAGGAUGAAGAUGACAGUUUUCUUAUAUACACGCGGGGACCUUUAGUCCCGGUGCCUAGCACCAACCGGGACUAAAGGGUCUUUAGUCCCGGUUGGUGCUACGCACCGGGAUUAAAGGUCCACCCUUUAGUCCCAGUUCCUGGCUAGAACCGGGACUAAAGGCGAAACCGGGACUAAAUGUAUUUUUCAGUUUCUUAUUUAUUUAUGCAUAUAAUAAUUAGAUUAAUAUUGUUAAUUGCAUAGUAAAUAGAAUAAUAGGUAUUAAUUUGUUAAAAAAUAAUAGUUCCAUUUCUUUUUGUCUAAUUGGUUACAUAAUAAAUUUGGAAACAUAAAAUCUUUUCGUCACUUAUAUUAACAAACUUAAAUAUGAAAAAUAAUUAGUAUUUUGUUAAUGCAAAAAUGUAUUAUUUAAUUUUAAUAUCUUAAAGCAGAUGUUUUUGAUAGAAAAAUUUGUUUGUGCAAUAUUUAAACGUAAAUUUUGUUUAUUUAUCAUCAUUUAUCUCCAAAAUCAUGAUAUACGUAAUAUUCACCAUUACAUCGAAUUAUUUUUCUCUAUUUCUUAUUUAUUUAUGCUUACAACAAUAUUCACCAUUACAUCGGAUUAUCUCUAACAACUUUGUAUUCAUUUUUUUUUUAUUUCAAGUCAUCAAAUAUGUCAUUUGACUAAGUUUGACCAAAGUCAAAGCAUUGGUUUUUAGAAACACACACUUUGACCGAACCCUAUAUGGUCCCAAAUGGAAAAGUAAUGAAUACAAAGUUUGUUGCACUCAUCAAGUUCUACAUUUUGUCUAAUGGUCAACUUUUCUUUUGGAAAAGUUUGAACCACUAAAUUUUGAAUUUUGAUAAAAUUCAUAGCCACGCAUCGGUUUUUGGAACCCUAGAUGGUCUCGAACGGAAAAGUCAUGAAUACCAGUAUUGUUCCACUCAUCAAAAUCUACAUUUAAUAUAUAGACCAUUUUUGCAUUUGAUAAAGUGUUGCGAAGGUGUACUUCAAAAUCCACAAUUGACACAUGUAGUUUCAUAUAGUUUGCGUGAGAUUCAAGAAUUGGUGGGUAUUGUGAACUUAAGCUUUCUCAAAUGGAAAAAUUGUCUAUAUAAAAAGUUUAGAUCUUGAUGAUAUCUAACAACUUGGUAUUCAAAAUUUUUCAUUUUAAAUAAUUUAGUUUGUCAUUUGACUAAGUUUGACCAAUACCCGUCUUGGAUUUCGAACAAAUGUGCUUAGGAUUGGCUCAAAUUUAUCCAAAUGGAAAAAUGGACAAUAUAUCAAAUGUAGAUCUUGAUGAUCUCUAACAACUUUAUAUUCAAAUUUUUUUCAUUUCAAGUCAUCAAAUAGGUUAUUUGACUAAGUUUGACCAAAGUCAAAGCAAUGGUUUUUAGAAACACACACUUUGACCGAACCCUAUAUGGUCCCAAAUGGAAAAGUAAUGAAUACAAAGUUUGUUGCACUCAUCAAGUUCUACAUUUUGUCUAAUGGUCAACUUUUCUUUUGGAAAAGUUUGAACCACUCAAUUUUGAAUUUUGAUAGAAUUCAUAGCCACGCAUUGGUUUUCGGAACCCUAGAUGGUCUCGAACGGAAAAGUCAUGAAAACCAAUAUUGUUCCACUCAUCAAAAUCUACAUUUAAUAUAUAGACCAUUUUUGCAUUUGACAAAGUGUUGCGAAGGUGUAGCUCAAAAUCCACAAUUGACACAUGUAGUUUCAUAUAGUUUGUGUAAGAUUCAAGAAUUGGUGGGUAUUGUGAACUUAAACUUUCUCAAAUGGAAAAAUUGUCUAUAUAAAAAGUUUAGAUCUUGAUGAUAUCUAACAACUUGGUAUUUAAAAUGUUUUCAUUUUAAGUAAUUUAGUUUGUCAUUUGACCUAGUUUGACCAAUACCCGUCUUGGAUUUCGAACAAAUGUGCUUAGGAUUGGCUCAAAUUUAUCCAAAUGGAAAAAUGGACAAUAUAUCAAAUGUAGAUCUUGAUGAACUCUAACAACUUUGUAUUCAAAUUUUUUUCAUUUCAAGUCAUCAAAUGGGUCAUUUGACCAAGUUUGACCAAAGUCAAAGCAUUGGUUUUUAGAAACACACACUUUGACCGAACCCUAUAUGGUCCCAAAUGGAAAAGUAAUGAAUACAAAGUUUGUUGCACUCAUCAAGUUCUACAUUUUAUCUAAUGGUCAACUUUUCUUUUGGAAAAGUUUGAACCACUCAAUUUUGAAUUUUGAUAGAAUUCAUAGCCACGCAUCGGUUUUCGGAACCCUAGAUGGUCUCCAACGGAAAAGUCAUGAAUACCAAUAUUGUUCCACUCAUCAAAAUCUACAUUUAAUAUAUAGACCAUUUUUGCAUUUGACAAAGUGUUGCGAAGGUGUAGUUCAAAAUCCACAAUUGACACAUGUAGUUUCAUAUAGUUUGUGUGAGAUUCAAGAAUUGGUGGGUGUUGUGAACUUAAACUUUCUCAAAUGGAAAAAUUGUCUAUAUAAAAAGUUUAGAUCUUGAUUAUAUCUAACAACUUGGUAUUCAAAAUUUUUUCAUUUUAAGUAAUUUAGUUUGUCAUUUGACCAAGUUUGACCAAUACCCGUCUUGGAUUUCGAACAAAUGUGCUUAGGAUUGGCUCAAAUUUAUCCAAAUGGAAAAAUGGACAAUAUAUCAAAUGUAGAUCUUGAUGAUCUCUAACAACUUUGUAUUCAUUUUUUUUAUUUCAAGUCAUCAAAUGGGUCAUUUGACCAAGUUUGAUCAAAGUCAAAGCAUUGGUUUUUAGAAACACACACUUUGACCGAACCCUAUAUGGUCCCAAAUGGAAAAGUAAUGAAUACAAAGUUUUUUGCACUCAUCAAGUUAUACAUUUUGUCUAAUGGUCAACUUUUCUUUUAGAAAAGUUUGAACCACUCAAUUUUGAAUUUUGAUAGAAUUCAUAGCCACGCAUCGGUUUUCGGAACCCUAGAUGGUCUCGAACGGAAAAGUCAUGAAUACCAAUAUUGUUCCACUCAUCAAAAUCUACAUUCAAGUCAUCAAAUGGGUCCUCAGCAUUUAUCAGUAUGCUCGGAUCUUAAACAUCUUAAGUUACAAUUGUCACAUACACAUACUAUAUUGCAAUCUAUUUAUUAGGCGGGCACAAUAGUGAUCUUCUUUUUGACGUAUGUUCCUUGGUCAUGAUCUUGACGUAACCAUGGAGUGUCCUCAGCAUUUAUCAGUAUGCUCGGAUCUUUGGUCACAUUGAAAGGCGUGAUUCGGUCAUCCCUUUCAUAAUCUUCUGAAAUAUCUGACUUGUCCUCAAUUCCCACAAUGUUUCUUUUCCCUGAGAGAACUAUAUGGCGUUUUGGCUCGUUUGUUGAUUUGUUGUCAUUUUUCCCUCUCUUCUGUUUUGUAGACAUGUCUUUCACAUAGAACACCUGAUUCACAUCAGCAGCAAGGACGAAUGGUUCAUCUUUGUAACCAACAUUGCUGAGGUCCACUGUUGUCAUUCCAUAGUCUUUGUCAACUGUCACCCCGCCUCCGGUAACCUUCACCCAUUGGCACCGGAACAAAGGGAUUUUAAAAUUAGGUGCGUAGUCUAGUUCCCAAAUCUCCUCUAUAUGGCCAUAAUAUAUUUGUAUGUUUCUAUUCGGGUCUACGGCGUCUACGCGAACUCCACUAUUUCGGUUCGUGCUUCUUUUAUCUUGGCCUAGGGUGUAAAAUGUAUUUCCAUUUAUCUCGUACCCUUUGUACGUGAGGAUGUGCCAUGAUGGUUGCCUAGCCAACAAAUACAGUUGCUCAUCAAUCUGGUCAUUACCCUGACAUUCUUUUCGUAACCAAUCACUGAAAGUGUCUAUGUGUUGACGCAUAAACCAAGCUUCAUUCUUCUCUGGAAAUUGCGAUCGUAGGAAGUCCUUGUGUUUCGUGACAUACGGCUCCACCACGGAUGUGUUUUGAAGAACUAUGUAGUGUGCUUUAUUGAAAGAAUCGUCCCCCGUACCGAUGUAUGUUUUCUUUCCUAGUGUUCCCUUUCCACUCAGUCUUCCCUCAUGGCGCGAUUCAGGAACACCAAUUGGGUCAAGUUCAGGAAUGAAUUCAACACAGAACUCAAUGACCUCCUCUGUCCCAUAGCCCUCGGCGAUGCUUCCUUCUGGCCGAGCACGUUGGUGAACAUAUUUCUUCAGAACUCCCAUAAACCUCUCAAAGGGAAACAUAUUAUGUAGGAACACAGGACCCAGAAUAUUGAUCUCCUUGACCAGAUGAACUAGGAGGUGUGUCAUGAUAUCAAAGAAGGAUGGAGGGAACACUAACUCAAAGCUAACAAGACAUUGAACCACAUCAUUCUGUAGAGCAGCUAGUUCCAGUGCAUUGAUUGCCUUCUGAGAAAUUGCAUUGAGGAAUGCACAUAGCUUUACGGUGGCCAGACGUACAUGUGGAGGUAGAAUUCCUCUUAAUGCAACUGGAAGCAAUUGCGUCAUAAGCACAUGGCAGUCAUGUGACUUUAAGUUCAGAAAUUUCUUCUCAGGUACAUUAAUUAUACCUUUUAUAUUAGAGGAGAAUCCAGAUGGGACCUUGAUGCUGCUUAAGCAUUCAAACAUGAUUUAUUUCUCUUCAUUGCUAAGAGUGUAGCUAGCAGGUCUUAAAUAUUGGCGUCUAUCAUCUGUCUUCUCUGGAUGCAGGUUGUCUCGUUCUUCCAUGCGUUGCAAGUCUUGUUGUGCUUCAAGUGAAUCCUUAGGCUUACCAUAUACACCCAUGAAUCCUAGAAGGUUCACACAAAGAUUCUUUGUUAGGUGCAUGACGUCGAUCGCAUUCCGGACCUCUAGGACUUGCCAAUAGGGUAGCUCCCAAAAUAUUGACUUCUUCUUCCACAUGGGUGCAUGACCCGCUGCAUCUUUUGGAACUGGUUGGCUGCCUUGUCCCUUAUCAAAAACUACUUUCACAUCCUUAACCAUCUCAAAUACAUCUUCUCUAGUUCUGUUGCGAGGCUUGCAUCGGUGGUCUACCUUACCUUUAAAAUGCUUUCCUUUCUUUCCAACUGGGUGAUUCAUAGAAAGAAAUCGACGAUACCCAAGGUACACGACCUUUCUGCAUUUUUUCAAAUAUAUACUAUCAAGGUCAUCAAAACAAUGUGUGCAUGCAUUAUAUCCCUUGUUUGUCUGCCCUGAAAAAUUACUUAGAGCAGGCUAAUCAUUGAUUGUCACAAACAACAGUGCUCGUAGGUCGAAGUGUUCCUGUUUGUACUCAUCCCACACACGAACACCUGUUUCACUCCAUAAAAGAAGGAGUUCUUCAAUUAAUGGCCUUAGAUAGACAUCAAUGUCAUUGCCCGGUUGCUUCGGGCCUUGGAUGAGCACCGGCAUCAUAAUGAACUUUCGCUUCAUGCAUAACCAUGGAGGAAGGUUGUAGAUACAUAGUGUAACAGGCCAAGUGCUAUGACUACUGCUUUGCUCAGCAAAAGGAUUCAUGCCGUCCGUACUUAAAGCGAACCUUAAGUUUCUUGCGUCUUUUGCAAACUCUGGAAAUUCCCUGUCUAUUGUUCUCCACUGGGACCCAUCAGCAGGGUGUCUCAACAUGUUGUCUACUUUACGGUCUUCUUUGUGCCACCGCAACAAUUUUGCAUGGGCCUUAUUUCUAAAAAGACGUUUCAGACGUGGUAUUAUAGGAGCAUACCACAUAACCUUUGCAGGGAUUUUUUUUUUCUGGGACGUUCUUCCCCCUCAACAUCGCCAGGGUCAUCUCGCCUGAUCUUAUACCGUGAUGCUUUACAUAUGGGGCAUUCAUCUAAAUUCUCGUAGUCCUUACCACGAUAUAGGAUGCAGUCGUUAGGACAUGCAUGUAUCUUCUUGAUUUCUAAUCCCAAAGGACAGACGAUCUGUUUUGCUUCGUACGUAGUAGUGGGCAGUUCAUUAGGCUUCGGCAGCAUUUUUUUGGAUCUUCAGUAAUUGCCCAAAUACCUUAUCAGAUACACCAUUUUGUGCCUUCCAUUUUAACAAUUCUAGUGUUGUACCCAGUUUUUUUUGCCCAUCCUGGGCAGAUGGGUAUAGUAAUUUCUUGUGAUCUUCUAACAUGUGGUCAAACUUUGUCUUCUCUUUUUCACUUUCACAAUCUUUUUGUGCAUCACGAAUGACAUCACCAAAAGCAUCAUCUUCAACAGGUGCGCCUUCUGCACCUGUCUUAUCUUCAGCUUCUCCCAUUGCUGUAUCACCGAAGUCACCGUAUUGAGCAAUAAUGUCGUCAGGCUCCAACUGUUCUUCUUCACCUUCUUCCAUAAUUAUCCCGUUUUCUCCAUGCUUGGUCCAACAAAUAUAGUUUGGCAUAAAACCCGACUUCAACAAAUGUGAGUGAAUAUCUCUAGAGUUAGAAUAUUCCUUCAAAUUCUGACACAAGGCACAUGGGCAACAUAUGAAUCCAUCCCGCUUGUUUUCCUCGGCCACUCUUAAGAAAUAAUGCACACCAUCAAUGAAUUCUUUGGAGCGGCGAUCGGCAUUGUACAUCCAAUGACGUGUCAUUGUCUGCAUUGCAAUGUAAAGUAUUAUAAGUUUCUAAUUUUUUACAAAUAACCUAAAAUUCUCUAUUUCUGUUUUUUCUAAACCAACAAAAUUAAAAAGACAUAAAAGUUCUCUAUUUUCUAACUAAUCAUGAAAUGUGGCAUGCAUACUAGUUAUAAUUAACUAAUUAACCAUGUCAUAAAGUGCAAAUUAAAGAAAUAUAAGUUUCUAAUUUUUAAUAGAGAAAUUAAAGUAACAAAAAACCUAAAAUUCUCUAUUUCUAAUUUUUCUAAACAACCAAAAUUAAAAAAGCACAAAAGUUAUCUAUAUUUCUAACUAAUCAUGAAAUGUGGUAUGCAUACUAGUUUUAAUUAACUAAUUAACCUUGUCAUAAAUUGCAAAUUAAAGUAUUAUAAGUUUCUAAUUUUUAAUAGAGAAAUUAAAAUAACAAAAAAUCUAAAAUUCUCUAUUUCUAAUUUUUCUAAACAAGCAAAAUUAAAAAAGCACAAAAAUUCUCUAUUUUCCUAAAUAAUCAUGAAAUGUGGUAUGCAUUCUAGUUAUAAUUAACUAACUAAAUCGGUCAAAAAUUGCAAAUUAAAGUAUUAUAUGUUUUUAAUUUUUUCUAAACUAAUUAAAAUAAAAAAACAUAUUACCACUAUUUCUCUAAAAAAACGCGUCGUUUUUGAAAUGGUGAUGAAGCUAAUAACCUCUUAAAAAAACCAUAAAAUAAAAAGCAAUAUACAUAACACUAGGAAAUGACAUAUGCCGCUUCUAAAUGUUGAGAAGAUGAAGCUAGUGACCUCUUAACAAGUCGAUGACGGUGUAGAAACGAUGAAAUGAAUCAAUAGCCGGAGAUGAGAGCAAGAACAAGCAACUCCAAAUGAAGAACACAACAAAAGAGUGAAGAUCGAUGGGCUCGGCCACGAGAAGAAGAGUUCAAAUAUGGGGAGGGACAUUUAGUCCCGGUUCCUUUUAAAAACCGGGUCUAAAUUCCAACACUAGUCCCGGCCGGUGGGACGGACCGGGACAACAGCUUUUAAUCCCGGUUGGUGGUACCAACCGGGACUAAAGGCUAGACUUUUGUCCCGGUUGGUGAGACCAACCCGGACUAAAAGUCCCCUCUGCCGAUGUCUGACACAAUAGCCGUUGGGCAGGGGACUUUUAGUCCCGGUUGGUCUCACCAACCGGGACUAAAUAUGUUUUUGUCCCGGACGCUGUUUUGGCCGAGAUUAUUGUUCAUUUUGGGCAAGUGACCAAAGGCCUGUUCUGUAGUAGUGCUUGGACAGUCCAGGCAGCAAUAAAUUGUCCAACUAACUCCAGAGGAGCAUUUACAAUCCCUUUAUAUAAGGCACGGAUUCCGACCGGGAUCCGUUACAGAAAUACCUCGUAACGGUGGCGGAAUAUCCUAGCAUAUUCCAUCACCGCAGUCUACGGCCCACAGGGUUACUCGAGUAAUUUCUAACCCCAAGCACUUUAUAGGUCGACACGACAGGACUUUGGCCCUAAUCCUCCGCUUGACCUUCGAUGAAGCUCACGAAUCCUUAGCCGUCCGGCCACCAUAGGAUCACCGUCCAUCACCAUGAGGUUCUCCGCUUCGCCCUCGCUUGAGGUUUGGUAACGACCAAAGGAUGGGCAAUCAAUUGGGGUCCUCCGUGCUGGGUUGGUUCCCGAACACCUGUCUCACAAAGUCAAACUAUGUUAGCGCUAACUUUUCCUGAACCUUCGUUCGUUACUGCACGAAGGUUACGUGUACGAAGGUUUGGCCAUCACGAUUGGAUCGUGUUCUUUUACUUCCAACGCAGCUGAGGGGGAGGGAAGGUGCGGUCGAGUCCCCAACAGAGAGUCAUGGAGUUCUUCGCAUCGCAUGGAUGGUCCAUCAUUUACUGUCUUAAACUUUAGUUCUGAACCUCUAAUAAGUUUUAAUUAUGGGCAUGCUACUGUAAUAAGUUUGGAUGGAUGCUUCUUAGAAGAAGGCUGAAGCUAGAACUUUUCCAUUAUCUAAAAAAACCUUUGUUAAAACGAUGAUGAGGUCCCAUUAACAAAACAAAUUAGAAACCAUGUCUUACUUUAAGUUUCAACAAUCUUAAUGUUUUCUUAAUAAUACAUAGGACAUCGCCUAUCACUACUGGUACCACAGUAUAAAGCAAUCUUAGACAGGGCAUAUAUAUGCUGACAGAACAUUAAGGACAGAAACAUUUUUUUGCAUAAAAAGAUUCUGCUACAACACAGAUCCUGCAUGCCAUGGGGUUUGGUGGAGCUGGAUACAUAUACAUACAUAACACCCACAGGAUUAGCGGUUUGAAAAAGUUAAGCUUACUGGGAUCUAGAAAGGUACUUACUACUGUAUAGUAACUUGUGAUCAACAGAACCCUCAUUGCUCAGCAAGCAGAUACGCUGAAUCCUUGGAAGUAAGGUAGCAGGUACUUGCAGCAGCGACGACAUCCACAGCAGCACCAUCACCUGUGAGAUCGCCGUAAGCCUGUUCCUUCAAGAUGCGAACGCGCUGCGGAUCGCGCAUAGCUGGAAGCACCGGCAACAUUGCAUCUGCAGAACGCAGAACAUCCAUAGCUUGCACAAUGGACGGUCGCUGGCUCGGGUCCUGAUGCGCACACCAGAGACCCAUAACAAGCACACGCUCCAUCUGCUGCUGGUCGAACUCGCCGUUCAUCUUGGCAUCUGCUGCAUCAAGAACCAUGCGCUGAUCGUACAGGUCACGGAGCCUGCAGACUAGCAGCGCAGAGGCCUCAUCUGGCUGUCUGGAUCUCGACGCCGGCCGUUUGCCAGAAGCAAUCUCGAGCAGGGCAACGCCGAAGCUGUAGAUGUCUGCCUCGGGGCAACGAAGGUGGUUGUUGACGAACUCUGGGUCGAUGUACCCACGGGUCCCAGCAACGAUUUCCGUGGCUCGUGGCUCUGCUCCGUGCUCGAUGAGCCUUGCUGUCCCGAAGUCACCGAGCUUAGCGUUGUAUGAGGCGUCAAGCAUCACAUUCUCAGGCUUGAUGUCGCCGUGGACGAUGCAUUUGUCGCAGCACCGGUGGAGGUAGAGCAAAGCAGAGCCCAAGUCAAGUAUAAUCUUGUACCUAGAAACGGAUGAAAGAGGUUGUCUUAGAUUGCUAGUAUUGUUAUUUAAUGGAAUGGAACUACUGGACGAGAAGUUAGAUAGAAGACUGCUUAUGCCAAUUUGGGUGGGUACCUCUGUUGCCAUGAUAAAACUCUAACAGGGUUGUAAAGAUGCUUGUCAAGGCUGCCUUCGGCCAUCAGUUCGUAGACGAGCAGGAGGCCUUCAUUACUGUCACACCAGCCGACGAGCUCCACGAUGUUCCUGUGCCUCAGCUGGGUCAGGACUUUGACUUCUGCCUCAAACUCCUUGUGCCCUUGCCAAGAAGAGUCUGCAGACAGCACCUUGACAGCCACAUGGCGGUCCGGGUCCGUCAAGAAGCCCCUGUACACAGGGCCAAACCCUCCUUGCCCAAGCUUGUUCUCGUCGGAGAAAUUGUUGGUAGCAGCCGCCAGCUCGUUGUAUUUGAAUGGCCUAGGUCCUUUUACUCUGCAGAGUUGAAGUUGAACUUGGGGCUGAUUUUGUUGCGCUCUGUUCCUACACUUGUACCAAAGCAGACCAGCAAUACAGCAGACCACCACCACAACAAAGAUAGCUGAAGCUAUGACAAUCCACCAAGCCACGCCAGUUUUGAUUGUCUUGUGUUUUGACAGAUGAGGCUUCUGUGGUCUUUUUUGCUUGUCUGUGACAUAAUAUUUGCCUGACCGAUCUCUGUUAUGAUCUGAGAUCCAAUGUGCAAGUGCUUUCUGAUCCUGUCCAGAGCCAUCAGCAUUCACCGCUGUCAUUCUCAGAUCAACUCUAUCCUUGUCAAGGUUAAAUGCAAGUAACGUCCUACCAUGAGACUCAUCAUAAUAAUUGUGUAAAAUUGCGCUGUCACUCGCCCUUCUCAUGCCUGACCAUUUAUUGAGCGCCAGAUCUAAAGCACCGAAAAUAAGAGCAGAAAACAGCAGCACAAGAAGGCUAACCAUCACCGAUUUCCUUGUCAAGAAGCAAUACACAGAGGUCACAAGCUCCUUGACAUCUGUAAUAAACUGAUCCAGAACAAAGCACGCCAAGAUUGUGCAGUGGUGUGGUCGUUCUUUACUCACAAGCAAGUCAUGCGACACCAGGACCCCUGAAUAGUAGAGAGACAGAAAUGGUAGGAUGUGUUCGAUAUGAGUGGUGAAAUUUGUGUUGUCGCUCCCACGCAUGCCUCCAAAACUACCCAUGAAAAAACCACCGCUCCAAAAUAUGAGAAAUACUGCAGCAGCGGCAGCGUUAGGAUGGGAGGAGGACAAGGCGGCGGCGGAAGAGCCAUCACCGGAGCAACAGUGGUCCGGAGACUGGUGGUGGUGGACGAUGUUGUUCUCGGAUGAGUCCACAGGAAUAGCGACGUCGACGUUGCUGUUGUCGUCGGCCAGCUGCAGGUCACGGCGACAAGAAGGAAGCCAUGGUCGAAGAGGUGGGCAAGCUUGUGUUCCAGGAGAGCCGGCUCCGCCAUUGGCACACUCUCCGUGGACGAUUUGUGGCAUAGCUGUAGGCAUCUAGCAUUAGGGAGUAUGAGGAAGGGGAUGGCUGGCAUAAUCUCAAGUGAUAGCGAGUGGGGAGACUGGAGGGAUACUAUAGAGUGUGAUGUACUGAUGUUGCAUUUGUUUUGAUGACCGAGUCUCGUACAAAUAUAUACUUUCUCCAUCCCAAAUUGUAAGUCAUUACAAGAAUCUUCGAGAGUCAAAGCAUCUCAACUUUGACCAAAAUUAUAAAAAAAAUUACAAAAUUUAUAGCAUCAAAUAGAUAUACUAUGAAAAUAUAAUUAAUGAAGAAUCUAAUGAUACUUAGUUGAUAUCUUAAAUGUUAUUGUCCUAUCCUAUAUAUUUAGUCAAACUUGAGAUGCUUUGACUUUCCAAAAUUCUUACAAUAACUUACAAUUUGAAACGGAGAAAGUACUUUUUGUUAAAUCUAGGACCAAGUCUCGUACUGAGGUCACAACCCAUAUGAGCACUUUUCGCCACACAGAACAGCAAUUUGAUAAACUUGAGAUGAUUUAACUUUUUAAGAUUAGAAUUACAAUUUAAAAUGGAGGGAAUACUUUUUUAUUAAAUCUGGGACCAAGUCUCGUAUUGCGGUCAUAACCCCUAUGAACACUUUUCGCCACACAGCUAGAACAGCAAAUUGGUACAUUCCACGUAAACUGUGCACUCAUAUUGCAUUAAGAUUAGCACUAUCUCCAAACAGAGCGCACUGAUCUUCCAGCUAAGCCUCUUCACCUAGGAGUACUUUCAGAUGCGUCCAAAAUGGUUUCAAGCCUAUGGUACAUUCAGCGCAAACUGUGUACCUAUCUUGCAUCAGCAUUAGCAGUAUCUUCAAACGGACUCAACCGAGCUUCCACUUGAGCCUCGUCACCUAGAAGUACCAUCAGGUGUGUCCAAAAUGCUUUCUGAGCAUAUGGUACAUUCAGUGCAAAUCAUGCACCUAUCUUGCAUCAAAACUAACACUGUCUCUAAACGGAUCGAAACGAGAUUCAUAUGACACACCUUAUCUAGGAGUUCCAUUGGGAGCGUCCAAAUUGAUUUCCGAGCAUGUGGUACGUUUCACGCAAAACCGCACCCAUCUUGUAUCAAAAUUAGCAGUAUCUCUAAACGGACCGAACCGAGCUUCCACUUGAGACUCUUCACCUUGGAGUAUCAUCGGAUGCGUCUAAAACAGUUUCUAAUCAUACGGUACAUUCAGUGCAAAUUGUGCACCUAUGUUGCACCGAAACUAACACUGUCUCCAAACGGACCGAAGCAAGAUUCCAUAUGACACACGUCAUUUAAGAGUUCCAUCGGGUGUGUCCAAAAUAAUUUUCGAGCAUAUGGUACGUUCCACAAAACUGUGCAUCUAUCUUGCGUCAAGAGUAGUACUAUUUCUAGACAGACCGAACUGAGCUUCCACUUGAGCCUAUUCACCUAGGUGUAUCAUCGAGUGCGUUCAAAAUGGUUUCUAAGCCUAUGGUACAUUGAGCACAAAUCGUGCACCUAUCUUGCACCGAAACUAACACUGUCUCCAAAAGGACUGAAGCGAUAUUCCAUAUGACACACGUCAUCUAGGAAUUUCAUCAGAUGCGUCCAAAUUGAUUUCCAAGCGUAUGGUACGUUCCACACAAACCGUACACCCAUCUUGCAUCAAGAUUAGCACUAUCUCCAAACGGACCAAACUGAGCUUCCACUUGAGCCUCUUCACCUAGAAGUACUAUCGGUACGUCUAAAAUGGUUUCUAAGCCUAUGAUAUAUUCAGCGCAAAUUGUGCACCUAUUUUGCACCGAAACUAACACUAUCUUUAAACGGAUAAACAUGUCGUUUACCAUUUAAAGUAGCAUAAAUAAUUUCUAAAAUAAAUUCAUAACACUUUUGUGAGUCUUGGCUCGUCAUCUCGUGUGACGAGAAAGCAUCUUGCGAAUACACAAAAGAAGAAAAAAAAGGAAAGCAUCUUGGGGCGCCUCCACGCUUCUUCAUGCAAAUGCACUGGCCGGCGUUUCACGUGGUGGUUCAGAGCUACUCUAGCAUCCAAUGCUCCAGUCAAGUGUGGAAUAAACUACAACGCUGCACGCAAAUCGAUCGAUUGAAGCUGUCAAGCACUUCCUAGCCAACACAAGCUACCAAGCAACACUACUGCGAUUGUAAGUUUGAGCAAGUAUGUAAUGAGGGCUUAUUUUAACUAUCAUUGUUUUGGUUCAUUCAUCAGGAAGUCAAGCACUUUCCUACAGCCAACACAAGCUACCAAGCAACACUACUGCGAUUGUAAGUUUGAGCAAGUAUGUAAUGAGGGCUUAUUUUAAUUAUCAGGAAGUGUGAUGAGUGUUUAUUUUAACUAUAUUGCUAUAUGUUUUUCAAAAAUGUUUUCUUUUAUUCUUCUGAUUGGCAACCAUAAUUCUUCAGAAUUUUUAAUGUCCGCAGCUUCAUGGUUAAAAUUCAGAGUGUCAAUUUGGCAGCAAUCUGUAUUAAAAUCGGCUAAUAUAAGCACAGGGAGCAAUCCGUGUUCAGGACUUGUUUAGUUCUAAAAAUAUUUUGCAAAAUUUCUAAGAUUCUCCGUCACAUUGAAUUUUAAGGCAUAUGUAUAGAGCAUUAAAUAUAAAUAAAAAAUUAUUGAUUACACAUUUUACCUAUAAAUUGCAAGGCGAAUCUUUUGAGACUAGUUAUUCCAUGAUUGGACAAAUAUUUGUCAAAUACAAGGAAAAUGGUAUAAUAUACAUUUUGCAAAAAUUUUGCAACUAAACAAGGCCUCAAUGCAAGCACCAAUAGCACCUUUCCAAGCGUGUCCAGCCUACAAGCUAGCCUGUAAGCUGCAAGAAGCAAUUCACCAGUGGAUUAGGCCUAGGCAUGGAUUUGGUGGUUGGAAAAGUUAGAUUAACCUACCCAAUCAACGGGUGAAAGUCCUCACAUGUGUUUUCAAUACAUGAUUAGCCAAACGAGGCCUAACUAUCGAGGUAUACGACACCAACCGACCUUGAUUAAUAGAGAGCGACUUAAAGAGACAUGCAAACUACUGUACACUGAACAAAAUUCAGUAUUAUUUGUUUAGUAUUUCAUAGUACUCGGUGUAGUAGUGAGGGACACUGAAUGUGGUUUAGUAAUACUCAGUGUUUUUUUCUGGUCAGUUUUAGCUUGCGGUGUAGAAUAAUAUUCUAUAUCUAAAGAGUGUUGGCACAAGACAAUAGUCAAUGGAAGAAGGCACAUGGAAACUUCCUUCCCUUGUGGCAACCAAAAAAUCCGAAGCUUAGCCCUUUGGCAAGAAAGGAGCUAUACAACUUUAGUCCCACACGCGUUAGAAAGCAGGCGGUUCAACUCGUUUACAUGCGAACGUGAAGCCAAAGGCGAACCCAAACGCGUAUAGACUAUUAACAACUGCAAUCUGAUAGAUGAUAUAUGCAAAUCAACAAAGGAGAUAGUUUAAUAGAUUAUUAUGGAGAAAAAUAAAUUAAUACGUACUCCAAUGCUGCUGAGUGGCAGUUGUACAAGUACUGAUGAUUAUUUAGGCCUUGUUUAGUUCUAAAAAAAUUAUAAAUUUUUUAAAUUCUCCGUCGCAUAGAAUUUUAUGGCGCAUAGCAUUAAAUAUAGAUAAAAAUAUAAUUAAUUGUACAAUUUACCUGUAAUUUGCGAUAUGAAUUUUUUUGAGCCUAACUAGUUCAUGAUUGGACAAUACUUAUCAAAUACAAACAAAAUUGUUAUAUUUAUUUUACAAAAAAUUUUAGAACUAAACAAGGCCACAAACGGCACUUCUAUCUAUAUAAUAUAAUAGUAGUAGCAUAGUACGACGUGUGAACGCAGCUAUCUUUAGGCACUGCUUACUAUCCGUUUGGCACAUCAUCUUUAGCAGUUUCAUGUUUGAUUCUGUUUUAUAUGCCAAAUGGUUAAUUUUUCAAGUAAGUGUCAAAACAUGUCGAACUUCUUAAAACACACUCAAGCAAGGUAAGGUAGCUAUAUAACAAACAAGGCCGGUCAAAAAAAAAAUGUACCCUAUCCAUUCAGAAAAAAGUCACAGGAUUUUGUACUAGUUUAAUUAUGUUCAUAGAAAUGUCAACAACAUUUGAAUCUCAAAUAAAUUCAUUAUAGAAGUAUUUCCAAUGGUUAAUAAUAUAAUCAUACUUGUUAUACAUUAACAAUAUUAGUAUAUCUCUUAUAUAUAUUUGGUCAAAGUUGAAAAACUUAAACUGGUCAAGUGAGAAUGAUACUAUUUAUGAGACCAAGAUAGUAGUCAAAAUAUAAUAGAGGCUCAAUAUACCAAUCACUAGAAUCAGUUAAAAACAUGUGUAAAUACAGAAAAUGAAAACAUGGAAAGAAAAAAAAAUAGUGCAAACGCUGUAUGUCUCCGGAAACAAAUGAAUCAACUAUUAUUACUAACAAAGUAGCAGCUAAAAUUAAUGCUAGUAUAUUAAUAAACCUACAAAUUAUUAGCUGAAGAACUAUUAGGUUUAUUAGUUGAAGAACUAUUAGGUUUAUUAGCAGUUUUGAGUGAGUAACUGCUAAUUUUUAUUUAGCUAAUUUUCAAGAGGAGGUUGGUUGUAGGCACCUACUAAUAGAUGGUUGGAUAGUGAGAGUAGGUGUCUACAACCAACCUCCUCUUGAAACAUCUAUUAGUAGGUGUCUACAACCAACCUCCUCUUGAAAAUUAGCUAACUAAAAAUUAGUUCAAUUCCUAGAAUCUGUGUCAGUUAAACUUUUUUAACUUUGACCAACUUUAUAAAAAAUAGCAUCAAUAUCUAUACAUAAAAUAAAUAUCUUAUGAAAAUAUAUUCUAUGAUAAAUCUAAUGUUAUUAAUUUGGUACUAUAAAUCUUAGCAUUUUCUUCUAUAAAUUUGGUCAAAGAUCAAAAAAUUUGACUUAGGACAAUUCAAGAAGUUGCAGCUUGCAGAGAGUAUUAGCUACUCAGCUGUUAGCAGCUAUCUAAUUUUUAGUGCCGCCCUUAGUUAGUUUUAUUGUGGUUCAAUCAAUCUACUUGGAUUUACUCCCUCCAUUUCUUGGUUAGGAGUGUAAGCAGCAAGUUGGUCCACCAGAUCAGUGAAGCAAUCCACAUAGUCAGAUACAGUGGUGGUUUGAUGGAUGUGGAACAACUAACGAAUGAGCAAUUCAUGCUGAUCAUGGCUAAAGCGCUCGUGAAUGAGUGAAGAAAAGGCCUCCCAAGAGAUGUUGGACAGACUAGACUCGACAGAUUGCAACCACCGUGCUGCCGCAUGGGUCAUGUGGUGAGUGGCAACACAAACCCACACAGAAGGAUGGAUAGAGUACAUCUCGAAAUGGGAUUUGGCUCGGGAUAACCAAAGUUUGGGAUUGUCACCGUCGAACUGGGGAAAUUGCAUCUUGGGAAGGUGGCCUAAGGAAUUGGCGGGGAUGGAGGACACCAAAUCAUUAUCGGGGGAAGUGAGGAAGUUGGUAGCAUCAGAUGGCUGUGGAGUGGAUGAAAAUUGAGCAGGGUGGUAUGUGGGAUCGAAGUGGGAAGGUGGAGGAUGAACAGUGGGGUAUGGGGUAUGUGUGUGGUGGGCGGAUUUGGGAGGUGGAUAGGUAUUGGGUGGAGGAUGCGAAAUCGGUGGAGGGGGGAUGGUGAUUAAUCGGUAAAGGAAUUGAACCGAGGUAGGGAUGAAUGCACGUACCAUUGGCCGGGUUUGGUACAAGGGUCGAGACCGACCCAUAGUACCUCUCCCGUGUAGUCGAUUCAUGAUGGUGCUCACUGGGCCAGUCGGUCGUUGGUCCGGCAGAUGGGCACGCGGCGACCAACUCCGGUGAAGACAUGAUGCCGGCCUGGGAAGUGACAGAUCCACGAGGGCGCGGUCCCAGUGCUUGGACAGCCGCUUCACCUCCGUGCGAAGGUAGUCGAUCGAUCUGUCGACAUGGGGGCACCAUGACGCGAGUUCCUUCACCUCGGACUCCACCGCUUCGACCCGAUCGUCGCGCUCGUCACGGAUCUCGUGGAUGCGGAUGAGCCCGAGAUCCACCUAGCGAUGCUCCAGAUCUUGUAGGCAAUCCUCGAAGUGGGACCCCUAGUUGUCGGCGGCGGCACUGUACUGGGCGGAGGCGAAGUUCACCAGCGAUUGCAGCCGCUCGUCCACGGCAUCGUCGCGCUCCUUGCGCUCGGCGUUGGAGUUGGAGAAGCGCUUCUCCCAACGCUCCCACCGCUCAGAGACUCCAUGCCAUUGAGACGCUUGAGCACUUCGUCGAACAUGUUUCGGGCGUUAGGCUCCAUCACAUCCCUAGCUCGCUGCAAUCGGGUGUGGGGUGGGGAAGCUUGGACUCCAGCACGGGUCGGCAGAACGGUAGCUUUGAUACUAGAUGUCAGCCCCGUGCGAGUGCGGUGAGGUUGAGCAGAUCGGAGCAAGGGCAAGGCAGCAGGAAGGAGAACGAGAAGGGGGUGAAGACCGGAGGAAGGACCGGUUGCGUAUUGUAAUUGAGUUUGUGUUUAUUCAGAGUUGUCCUCCCGGAUACAUUUAUAGGAUAUUUUUCUAGCUCUCCUGGGCUAUGCUUAACACUAGAUACAAGCCCACUUAGGCCCACUCAGUCUCACUGGAUACAAGCCCACUCAGUCUCUUGCUCCUUGCUAUUGGGCCAUAUUUACUUCCACCCAAAAACCCAAAAAUUUUCAAAAUUCUCCAUCACAUCGAAUCUUUAAACACAUGCAUAGAGUAUUAAAUAUAGAUAAAAAUAAAAACUAAUUGUAUAGUUUGGUCGGAAUUGACGAGACGAAUCUUUUGAGCCUAGUUAGUCCGUAGUUAGACAAUAAUUAUCACAAACAAACGAAAGUGCUGCAGUGUGUGAAAUUUUUUUCUUCAAAAACUAAACAAGGCCUUGCUCUGCUUGACCUCCUUGGAUGAGCUGCAGCCUGAGGAUCACCUGGAUGUGGGGCGCUGACACUCUUCGUGGCAAGGGCAGAAAGAGUUUGAGGCAGAAGUGAUAGUCCGGAGUCCUGACCGAGCUGAGGCACAGGAACGUUGUCCAGCUCGUCGGCGGGUGUGACAGUAUUGAAGGCCUCAUGCUCGUUUACGAACUGAUGGCUCAAGGCAGCCUUGACAAGCAUCUUCACAAUCCUGUCACUGUCAGAAUUCUAUCUUGGCAGCAGAGGUACCCAAAUUGGCCUAAUUAAGCGGUCUAUAUAUCUAACAUCUCGAUCAGUAGUUUCGUCAGUUACUACAAUUCUAUUUGUUUAUUACAUCUGUCCUCUUCUGACAAGUUCUUUCUUACCUUUCGUACAAGAUUAUACUUGACUUGCAUUGGGCUCUGCUUUGCUCUACCUCCACGUUGCUGCCACAAAUGCAUCGUCCAAUAAACGUUAAUCAUUAUCAAAACAGUUGAUCAGGCCUACAUCGUCAACUAGUUUGUCGAUCUCGAUUGUUACAUGUUGUGCGUUCGAGAUAUCUAUUUGAUCAUAAUUAAUCCGGAAUUAGAAUGAGAUUUAGCUUAAAUUACUUGUUAUCGGUUGUAUUUUUGAACCCUGAUAAAAUAUAUAGAUCUUGUUCGUGUUUUAUGGAUCUUGUACCGGCUAAAUAGCCGAUCUAGCUAUACUUUAACGAAUAGUGUUCAUGUGUAGAUUCAAUUCGGACAUUAAGUAAACUAGUAAUGUGCAUCGAAUUUAUUGAAAUCCACUGACCCUUAGACCAGAUAAAUGUAAAUUUAAUGUAUUUAUAAAAAUAACUUAUUGAGACCGCAGGACUCUAGAUGAAUCAGGAUAAGUUACCAUUUAUUUAAUAAUGAAGAGAACAAAUACAUAUAGGCUAUCUUUUCUUAAGUGAACCUCGCAACGACUAAUUAGUCGAUCCGGUCUUUCUCGCUCACAGUAUGACCAUAUCAUUCAUUUUGAAGAGUGUUUAAAAUAAUUUGAUUCGUAAUAUAAUUUUAUAAUAGAUUAUUGGAUAAUAAGUAUCACGAUCAUUUUAUCAUUAUCUGAGUAUUGUUAGGAAUUGACUUUUUAGUUAAUCUUUUGAUUAACGGCUAUUUUAAGUCAUACAUUUUGGGACUGUCAGGUAACAACCGACAGCUUCCAUAAUUUGACAUUUGCUUCUAUCCUUGUCAAUUAUAGGUCAAAUUGACUGACACGCCGUAGACCCAAAUCAUCAGACUCGGCUCACGUGUUGAGGCUUAGGAGAUCAAGAACUCCAGCUUUUGAAUGGUCUUUGAGGGCCUUUGAGUGUGUUACACGAAGACUAUUUUUUGUGCUAACACAUACAUAUCUACAUGAUGUUACCUUUUUAUCAGAUUUUUACUUUCAUUUGCAUAGCGUUUCCGGACCUCAAAACCAGCAUGAUCUCCAUAAUCUAUCCAAAAUGACAAGCAUCAUCCAAGUUUAAAAAUUUCUGACCAAUACGAGGUACACAAAUUGGAGUUGCAUUCUCUAUUUAAGAAAAAUAAAAUCAUGCUCAUUGCAAUACACCUAGUGGGUAAACAAAGAGAAAAAGUAACAAAUGUAAUCAUAACUCACUUUGUUGGCGGGUUUGUUCUAUCGGAUUUUUUAAUUAAAAGCUAAGGCCUUAAAGAGCACUACAAGUAAUAAGCAGAAAUGAGUGAACUUUUACUUGUGAACAAAUAAAAGUGAAAUAGAGAAGAAAGAAAAAAACUAACACGUUGAUCAUGACACAGUUCGCAACUCACCGUACCGGCAACGACGAACUUGAAUGCACGAAGAUUGCAAGGCUGCAUCUGGGAUGAGGACGUCGAUGUGUUAGCCCUUGUUUACUUCUAACCAAAAAUCCAAAAUUUUUCAAGAUUUCUCGUCACAUCGAAUUUUUAAACGUAUGCAUAAAAUAUUAAAUAUAGACGAAAAUAAAAACUAAUUGCACAGUUUGAUUGGAAUUUACAAGACGAAUCUUUUGAGCCUAGUUAGUCUAUAAUUAGAUAAUAAUUAUCAUAAACAAACGAAAAAUGCUAUAGUAUCACAAUUUUUUUAAUUCGGAAAGUAAACACGGCCUUACUAUCUCGGACAAGGACAUCAAUGCACUGCACGACGAUGUCCGGCGGCGCGAGCACUAUGCUGCGCCGUGAGUCUGACAUGACGGCGGUGGCGAGCAAGGACACAAUCGGCGCCUAAAAUACUCCUGCGGAACAGACAUGGCAAACCAAUAGUUGUUGGAUCGUGAAUGGAUGGUAUCGGAUAUGGCUAAGGGCCUGUUUAGAUUGGGAACGAAAAUUUUUUGGGUGUCACAUCGGAUAUGUCGGAAGGAUGUCGGGAGGGGUUUUUAGAAACUAAUAAAAAAACAAAUUACAUAACUCGUCAGGAAACUGCAAGACAAAUUUAUUAAGCAUAAUUAAUCUGUCAUUAGCAUAUUUAGGUUACUGUAGCACUUAAGGCUAAUCAUGGAGUAACUAGACUUAAAAGAUUCGUCUCGCGAUUCUCAACUAAACUGUGUAAUUAGUUUAUUUUUUUAUCUACAUUUAAUGUUUCAUGCAUGUGUCUAAAGAUUCGAUGGGAUGGGUGAAAAAUUUUUGGGUGGGGAACUAAACAGGGCCUAAAGUCACAUGGACCGCAGAGAAUCUGGAUAGGUCCACAUCUCCAUAUCAUGCCAAGGAUUUUGCCGCCUUCCAUGAUGUGUCAGGCCACGUUGAAUUGUUGACUUGACUCCGUACGCGUAGUUAGGCGCUCUUUAUCAGUCACAUCGAAUAUUUAGGCCUUAUUUACUUUAAAAAACUCAAAAUUUUUCAAAAUUCCCUAUCAUAUCGAAUCUUUAGACGCAUAUAUGGAGUAUUAAAUAUAAACGAAAAUAAAAACAAAUUACACAGUUUGAUCGGAAGUUACGAGACAAAUCUUUUAAGUCUAUUUAGUUUAUGGUUGGACAAUAAUCUAUACCUAUCUAUAAAGAGCCAAAAUUUCAGUCUGUCUUUUUUUUUCUGUCUGCCACUUGGGCUUCACAAAACUGGGCCUUAGCCAGCCCAGCCCACCGAUCACGUUUAACUCCUUGUUUAGGUUUUCGUAGAAUCCCAUACACGUCUUGUUUGCGCAGGCAAGUGCAAGAUGGAGAUCCACGGGAGCGGGCUGCGGUGCGAGACGACGGAGCAGGGGCUAACAAUCUCCGGGCCCAGGGGCGCCAAGGCCGUCUUUGGUACGCUGCUCCUCACGCACUUUAUUAGUUUCAUGCAAACUAUUGCCUCGAUUUACUCCUUCGCUCACACUGCCUUUUUGGGACGUGUCACGAUGCUUGUGCAGUUUUUGGGGAUCAGAAGGGCGCUUCGAAUGGCGUCGGUGAGUGACUGUUGGGAUGUCUGUUGUCCGGUCAUCUUUGGUUCGGAUUCGUGGUGGUUCCAUCUGCUCCUGUCAUCUGAUUUUGUAUCGUAUGUGUAGGUGAUAGCAUUCAGAAAAAAUUGAAAAUUGUGACUGAGUUGUUACACAUAAUAUGCGUGCCAAGUUAUAGUGGUUAGCUCAACAUUUUUUCUUGCAAAUGCAUGAUAGCUCAUAUGUACUCUUACUUUGAUAUUUCCAGAAAGUAUCGAAUGCUACUGUAUCACAGAUUAAAGUUCUCAUGACACAGUUUGUGGGGGUAUAAACCCCUAUACCCUCAUGGGCCUAUAUGGGCCGCACCAUUAGAGGUGGCUCGGCCCACAAGAUGAAGACGUGCGGCGCACGACUGGUCGGCGUGCACCGCAAGGCUACAAGAUUUUGUACCAAAUAGGAUACUUUGCUUGUAACUCUGUCCCUUCAGGAUAUAUAAGGAGGGGCAGGGGUCCCCUAGAGGACAUAUCACAUCAUAUUCUCUCAGCACAAAUCAAUACAACCAGACGCAGGACGUAGGUAUUACGCCAACUCGGCGGCCGAACCUGGAUAAAAAGCUUGUCCGUGUCUUGCGUCACCAUCGAGUUCGUAGUUUGCGCACCGUCUACCGAUAAACUACUACCGUGGGUAUACCCCAAGGUAGACUGCCGACUAGCUUUCGUCGACACAGUUGCAUCGAACAAACAAACUUAAAACUAUAAUAUUAACGAGUAAACUAAUGUUGGCUCCAUAUUGUUAUUAGGUAAUAGAGAUAUAUAUAGAUUUAAUAGCUUUUUUUUUCUCCCGUUGCAACGCACGGGCAUUUUUACUAGUUACCACAAAUAAACGAAAGUGCUACAGUGUUCCGAAAAUUUUUUAUCCAGAAACUAAACAUGGCCUUAGACAGAUGCAUGAAGUAAUAAAUAUAAAUUUAAAAAUAACUAAUUGCACAGUUUACAUGUAUUUUGUAAGAUAAUUUUUUUAAACCUAAUCAGUCAAAGAUUAGAUACAAAUUAGUAUAGUUAUAAAUAUGAUAAAGUAUCUAAAAAAAUCUUUUCUUUUAGCGAACUAAACAAUGCCUAACUACGCGUAGUGACUGUAUCCGCACUGUGAGAGUGGGUCGUCAAAACCAAGGAAAGCAUCAUCACGCACUUCACUCUCUUUCCACCCCUAGUGGCUACCAUCAUCAAUUCUUUAGUUUCAGUCAUCCCCUUCCUCCUGCGCCACACAAAUCGUAGACACAAGCCUUCCCAACUCCUAGUCGCCGCCGUGUCCCAGUCAAGGAGAACAACACCGAUCUUGCUGUCGAUUCGGCUGACAAGGUCGUCCACCGAGCUCCCGAGCCCUGCCCUGGCCUUUGCUGCUGGAGGUUGGGACACGACCACCUUGUACUCGUCUUCUCCCAACUCCACCGUCGCAUUCCAGGUCGUCUCUCUCGCCUUUCAGCUCUGCCGUUGCAUCGCAUCCUCCCCAGUUCCCCACCUGUCGAGGGUAUCAACAAGGGGUACCCUCACCAAUGCGUAUAACGAGACCAUCCGUACACACGCGCGGCCAUCGACGGCCGCAGCCUCGAAGACGGAAAUAGCGUCGAGCGAAUCGGUCAGGGCUCGAGCGACAACUGCCGUCGAAUACGGAAGCGGGCACGAGCGAACCGAGAGGCGUCGAGCGCAAGGACACUGUCCGUCGCCUGACGCGCGCACGAGAGCCAGGGCAUUUAAUGCACCUGACGCUUCCCCACCUAACACACGGGUCACGGGAGGCGUGAUAGGGAACAGGCUUCUGUCCCAUCGUUCUUUUUGCAGCCUUCCCACCGAACGACCCAGGGCGUGUCAGGACGCGGGAAACAAGGAUGGAACGUCUAAUCGGGACCCCCUCGAGACACCCAAGGUCAGCGCUCCAGAUAUCGACACCUCGUACGACGUCCGACCCUCGACUUCACCAGGCUCCUUCCUGGAGACGAGUCGGGCGUCGACUGACCACGCCGUAACCGCUCCGCCGGAUUUGCCGCCGAGCCAUAUAAGCGUGCAUCCGCCGAACCAAUCCAAGACGGCGCGCAGAGCAGAAUGCAGGGGCACGCGUGAUCAUCACCUGGCUAUUAAGACGGGACGGCUCGAGGUCAUGCCGGUACGGAAACCUCGAGUAGGUCAGCGCUCCAUGCUGCUAUUGACUCCAAUUCCUACACCUAUACAUGUACCCUAGGUCCUUCCUUGGAACUAUAAAAGGAGGGACUCAGGAAUAGAACGGAGAGGACGACACAAGACCACGCUCAUACGUAGUAGAGCUCCACACUUCAUACCACGCUUGUAUUCGCCCCUGUACAAGCACUUAGGUGCAAGAUAAUACAAACUCUCUCCCCCCGCUGGACGUAGGGCCUUCUCUUGCCCAAACCAGGAUAAAUCUCUGUGUCUUCUUGUAUCACCAUCCGGGAAAGGGAGCACGCAUACAAAUUUACUCGUUGGUGUGACCCCCCGGGGGAAAAACACCGACAGUUGGCGCGCCAGGUAGGGGUCCUGCGUGUUUUUCAUCGAUUUCCCACUCCUUUCCGGAUGGCUACUCUUGCCUCGCCGUUUCCGCGCUCCACGGUGAUUUGGUUUGGGAGUCUCAAGUUCAUGUCUACGGGCUCCGGCUACGACAUGAUCUUGCUCUCAGUCAAAGGACCAGGAGGAGCCCGCGUUACGCCAGCACGGUUGAAGGCCCCGAGACGCCCUCACCACCACGCCUCCCCGCCUAAGAAGAGGCGCGGACAGCGCCACCGCGGCCCCUCUGCUUCAGCACGACCAACAACUCGUGCGAGGCAGGACGUAGGCCACAAGUCGGCAGCACCGUGUGACGGAGCAACAAGCGCGACGACUCAGCACCGCGCGACGACGGGAGGGGAUGCGUCUCGCGCGCUCUCCCCCACCGCAGCUAGGCUACUUCCACACGGGUUGUUCUCUCCAAGAGCGGCACUGCCGUUCGGAUUGGACAACGCCGCGGCGUCGCUCGCCAGGGCGAUAUGCCCAAACGCCCAGACGUACGUAGAAAGACCAAUGGUCCUCCCACGUAGCUCUGAAGCGCGGCGGCCGGCGUCCGAGCUGCCGGACCUUUCCCGAGUACAAGGCCUCCGUCGUCUAGGCCCCGGACGAUACUCGAUCACCUCCCUCAGGCAACGAUUGCUGGAGGAAGGACGUGGGUGUUUCUACGCCGCCGAACCGGACUCCGACUCCGAGACAGAUAGCUAUGACCCUACGAGGGAAUGCUAUCACAUCGACGGGGCGGUAGAAACUACUGACGAGACACGGGAUGCUGCUGCGGGUGGUCGAGCCCCCGCGGCGCGAGAAGACCCCAGGACGCCUGGGAACGACGGACAGGUCGACCCCCCUCCUCAGGAAGACAGAACCGCGCAGCUCGCGCAGCUGCGGAAGCUCAAGAUGAAGCUCGACGAAGACCGCGAGCGCCUCGUCCUGCUCGAGCAAAUCCUCGAGCAAGACCUGCCCUACCCGCCGGGCGGAAGUGUCCGCAGACGCGCUCGAGAGGUACAUCGACAGAUCGUCGGCGACGCAGAGCCAGAGCAACCUGUCAGCCGUUUCCCUCGAGCAGGCCAGAAUGUAGUGGCAGCGACGAUGCUGCUACGUAACAUGCCAGAGCCGUCGAAUUCCCAGGCCCGACGCAUUCGAGAUGAGGUACAGACAUUGCUCCAGGUGGCGGCGGUUCAACAAGCCGAAAGUUCGGCGUCUCGACGACGAGGAGCUGCCACAGAGAAGCGCGACGAACAGCCUCUGAACGAAGAGGAGGUGUCAGUCCAUCAACAACCUCCCCCUCGAGGUAGAAAGACCGCUCUCAUCCUCCCCGUCGAGGCGACUCCCAACUCGUCAUCGACCAGGUGAUGAAGGCUUCGAGCUGCCACGACCCGAAAAUGGAGGCGUACUGCAAAGAAGUACGUCGACUCGAGGACAAGUUCCAUGGUCUCGAGCUCGCCCAUGUUGCCCGACGCUACAACGAGGCAGCCGACGAGCUCGCCAAGAUCGCAUCGACUCGAGGCACGGUGCCACCUGAUGCAUUCUCAAGAGAUCUUCACGAGCCAUCCGUCGACUUGGGCUCGGGGGCUGGCGUCGAUGCCGCACCCGCCCAGCCAACCGACACCGUCGAUGCGUUGCUGAGAGCAGCAGAGGUGAUGGAGGUAGAGCAGCGACCCGGUCGACCGUUCGACUGGCAUACACCGUACCUCGACUGCCUAAUCCGCUGCGAGCUGCCAGAAGAUCGAUCUGAGGCCCGCCGUAUCGCUCGACGGGCCAAGUCAUAUGUGAUUUAUGGCGAAGGCGAUGAGCUAUACCGACGAAGCCCGACGGGGGUCUUGCAGCGUUGCAUCACCGUAGAAGAAGGCCGAAAACUCCUCGAGGACAUACACUCGGGGGCUUGCGGCCACCAUGCUGCCCCACGGACCCUCGUAGGAAACGCUUUUCGACAAGGUUUCUACUGGCCGACGGCCGUGGCAGAUGCCAUCGAGCUCGUACAUUCAUGUCAUGGAUGCCAGUUCUACGCCAAACAGACGCAUCUGCCUGCCCACGCUCUUUAGAUGAUCCCCAUUACCUGGCCUUUUGCGGUGUGGGGGCUCGAUUUAGUAGGACCCCUGCAAAAGGCGAAAGGAGGGUACACCCACUUGCUGGUGGCCAUCGACAAAUUCUCCAAAUGGAUCGAGGCUCGACCCAUCACCAACAUCCGCUCCGAGCAAGCCGUCCUUUUCUUCACCGACAUCAUACACCGAUUCGGAAUCCCUAACGUGAUCAUCACCGACAACGGCACCCAGUUCACCGGCAAAAAGUUCUUGGACUUCUGCGAUCAGCAUCACAUCCGUGUGAACUGGUCCGUGGUGGCUCACCCUCGAACUAACGGCCAGGUCGAGCACGCCAACGGCAUGAUCUUGCAGGGGCUCAAACCAAGAAUCUACAAUCGCCUAAAGAAAUUCGGCAAGAAGUGGGUCGAGGAGCUUUCCUCGGUCUUAUGGAGCUUGAGGACGACGCCAAGCCGGGCCACCAAAUACACCCCGUUCUUCAUGGUCUACGGUUCUGAGGCCGUGCUCCCAACGGACCUCGAGUAUGGGUCACCUCGACUCAAGGCCUACAACGAGCAAUCGAACAAAGAGACUCAAGAAAACGCGGUCGACCAACUUGAGGAGGCUAGAGACAUGGCCCUCCUCAACUCUGCCAGAUAUCAGCAAAGGCUUCGACGCUACCACGACAAGCAUGUGCGCAAGAGGGACCUCAACGUGGGCGACCUAGUCCUACGACGCCGGCAAAGCAAUCAGGGACGCCACAAGCUGACUCCGCCUUGGGAAGGUCCGUACGUGGUAGCCGAGGUCCUGAAGCCGGGAACGUACAAGCUGGCGGACGAAAAGGGGGCAAUUCUCACCAACGCAUGGAACAUCGAACAGCUACAUCGAUUUUACCCCUAGAAGUUCAAAACUUAUGUUCUUACGUAUAUUUUGUACCAAGACCCUGUAAACGAAUAUAUGAAUAGAUGAGGUCCUUCCCUCGAACAUCCAACUUCUUUUUGUACUUAGGCUUUACAAGUCAUGAUCUCGACGAUAGAAGGGGGUGCCGACUAUGACCCAUCAUAGUCAACACCCCCCUCGGGGGCUACCAGGGGGACGACCCCCCCCCCAAACGUCGAAAAAAGCCAAGAAAUUUUCUUUUCUUACUUAGUAAACCUUGCACGAUUCGAGUAGCCAAAGCACCUCGAGCCCCUCAAAGGCCGAGGGACAACGAGCCUGAGAACUCCUACGCCCCCGGGCUACGGAAACUCUACUCACUUCCUUACCCUUGAGGUGAUCAAGGUUGUUUUUGACGAAAGAUCGAACAAGGAAUACAAACGUAGGAAUAAGGAAGAAUAAAAGAACCUCGAGCGGAAAGACAAACAAAAUAAGCAUUUAACAAUUACGAAAGUGAUACAACAUCAGUUACCCACAGAAUUAACAAAGUAUCGUACAAGGGGCCUCAGGCGCCCCGAGCAGGCUCGCAGGCCUCAGUCCGCGUCACGAUCCUCACCGCCCUCGCCUCCGCCCGAGCUAGCCUCAGGAGGGAGCACCUCAGGCUCGAAAAGCUUGGCCAACCUUUCCCCAGGAGCCUCCGCGUCGUCGAUCAAGGCAUGGAGCCUCUCCUCGUUCUCCGCGUCGGUCUUGGAGAUGUCGGUGACGAAGCCAUGGGACCCUCCAUGUCGUAGGAGAAGCCCGAGCAGACAACCGCCAUCGCCCGCUUCACCCCGAUGUGGAGGGCGUCCCGCACCCGAUCUCGCAGCGUCGCGCCUAUGUAGCACAACUGGUCGACCAGGGCGUCGCCUCGAGCGUCCUCCCUCGACUCAUCCAUAGGCUCGACCUCCCAAGAGGUCGAGAGAUCACUUAUCGCCGUCCGCACUCGACGGUUCAAAGCAACCUCCGCCUCGAGCUGAGCCUUGGCGUUGCGAGCCUCGGCUUGGGCGGCCAGGAGUUCGUCCUUGAGCCCUGUAAAAGCCAAUAUAAAGAGACCUUAGGAAAAACUAAGCACACCUCGGAAAAAGAAAUCUGAUAGAGGAAACAUACCGCGUACGGUCUCCUCGAGGGCCGUGUUCUCGCCGACCAGCCUGGUGUUGGCCCCCUCGAUCUCUUUGUUGGAGCGUGCCAGCUCGGUGUUGGCAACGCGGAGAUCCUCGAUCGCCUUGCCAGCCUGAGCAAUGGCCCCCUCUUCUCCAGCAAUUCUCCCUUCAGACGCUCGACGUCGUUAGAGAGACUGCGGGAUCGAGCUCGCUCCGCCUCGAGAUCUUCGAGGGCCUUCUUCUUGGCUUCCUCCGCGGCGCCCCUGGCGACCUCGCCGUUCACAUGCUCCACCUUCAUCUUUCGGAAGGACUCUCGGAGAGAGUCCAGGUCGGAUUUAAGGAGGCCCUUCUCCUUGUCCAGAUCCGCGAUAACGCUCUUGUAGGACAGGGCCUCCUCCCGGGCUCUGGACGCGGCCUCCUCGACCGUAAGAACCCGCUCCCGUAGCUGCAUCGUCUCCUCCUCCGCCUUCUUCGAGGCCUCUCGGGCCUCAGCCAAGGCAGCCUCCCUCGCCUUCUUCUCCUCCUCGAGUGCUAUGAGAUCUUUGUAAGCUUUAAGGAGCUUUUCCUGCGACUCGAGGAGUUGAUCCUUGAGGAGGGGGAGCUGCUCCCAACCGCCCCUCGUGACGUGUAUGAAGCUGGACUUGAUGCGGGAGGUCUCUUUCAUAUCCUACGAAUCAAGGGUCGGAUGGAUUAGAAUACAGAAACCAGAAAGCACCAUGAGGAUUGGAGUUCGAGAAACACUUACAAAAUAAGCCGGGCCGAGCCCGUUGUUGAUAACGUCCGAGAGGAGCCCCACCACAUGCUUCAUCCAAAGGCGGAGCUCCUCGACGUGUUCCCACUUCUCCGCCUCCUUCCGAUCGUCGAGGAAGAUGUCGGGCUCAGACGGGUCGUGGGAGGCCCGGAUACGGAUGCGGUCGGGGCACCAGUGCUCCAUCUCCCGGUCAGCCCGCGCCUUAACGCCGCGGAUGAGGCCCUCGACGGUCUCGAGGGAGCCCCCAUGGCGCAGGAACAGGUCGACGAGGCAUGGGAACCGUCCGUCGUCAUCCACCGUCUUCCAGGUUCCAUCCUUGGUCCCCGAUGCCCCAAUUUCAUCCUCCUCGGAAGGAAAGCGGUCCUCCCACGCCCGACGUUCCCGGAGGAACCCUGGGGCGAUCCCGUCCAUGCCGAAAAUUGUCCUCUUGAUAUCGGACUCGGGGUCGGGGGGCGUGCGCUUCAGGCAGGCGAGCGCCACCACUCCAUCCGCUCGCCCCGGCUCUGCCCGGAUCGCGGCAGGUGCCCCCGGGAGGAGCCACGCCGGGGUUGGGGGGCCGUACACCGGCAAGUCCUCCUCCUCGCCGAGCUCUUGCGGCUCCGGUGGCACUGGCUGGGCCGGACCUUGCGGCUCCGGUGGCACUGGCUGGGCCGGACCUUGGGGCACUGGCUGCUGCUGCUGCUGCGGUUGCUCCUGCGGUUGUUGCUGUUGCUGCUGCCGCUGUUGCUGUUGUUGCUGCUGCUGUUGUUGUUGCUGCUGUUGCUGUGCCUCAUGCUCCUGUGGCUGCCGCGCCGCCUCGCGCUCCCGCUGUUCAUCCCCCUCCCUCUUCUUUUUCUGCUCCUCGAGGGUGCGGAGGCCGGCGGGCCAGGGAGUUGAUCCCUCGACAUGAGGGGUCGACGUUUCCUCCUCCAUGGGGCGGGCACCCCCAGACGCUCUGUCACCAUCAGACGUGUCGCUGAUGGUGAUGGGUUCCCCCUCGACCCCCAAUCUAGGGGGAUCGGGGGCUCCCUCUGACGCUUGCGUCUGGGGCGCCUCAUCACAAGUCGGCAGCGACGGAAUAGGCGCGGGACGAGACGGAGCCCUCUCGACGCCGGCUGGAGGUUGGGAACUGGAGGAGCCUACGAAACAAAGGGUAAAAAGGUCAGACGUUAUAAUAACCGACACAAGAACAUCGCAAGGCCCAGAAAUAAACUACGAACCUGGUUCCUUGGAGGCGGCGCCCGUUUUGAGCCUCUUUGCCAUGGAUGGCUGGGCCUGCUCGAGGGUCCGCUUUAGCCUGAGAAAAGAUCGGUAUAUGAGCAAACGCAGAGGAACAGGAAGACAAAAGCCACAGCAUCGAGAAGGCUUACCCCACGGGGAGAACAGCUCGCCUCCCUCCGCCCCGACCGGUGGGCCUCGAGCCACCCCGCGUCAGGGCUCCAGGCCCCUCAAGGGCAGGUGCUGGCCUAGGUGCGUCAGUUCCAGCCUGACGGGCGCCGGGACUGGCGCUCCUGCGGCCGACCUCUCCUUUCUCGGAGGCUGCUGCGCGACCGCGGGUCAGUGGCCCCAUCGCUUGGGGCCUGGCAUGACCGCUCUCCCUGAGCGCCGGGGGAGGGCGCGGCACGACUUGGCUGACCUUGGGCGCGGGAGGGGUAUCGGCGCGAGGACGGUAGGAUCCGCCUGGGCCCCCCGUCGGAGCUUCCGCCCGAGGAGCGUCGACGUCGCCUUGAGAUGGACCCCCGAGGAUCCGGUCAAGACGAGACGCCAUCCCCUCGGAGUCCUCACUGUCCUCGUCAUCGUCGUCAUCUUUCUCGCUGGGGGACUCUUCCUCAGGCUCUCCCCUCUGCCUGGACUUGGACCGGCGCGCCUCUAAGGCUUGCCGGUCGAGGUUUUUCUUCUUCUCCCCCUUCUUCUUAGAGUCCUUGACGGACUUCGACUUCUCGGCGGACCGGCGCCGCGCGUCGCGGUCGACUUCGUCCUCCCUCACCGGGGGCCUCGAGGAUCGAACGUCGAUCCGCCCCUACCACCGUAAAAAGUAGACUUAGAAAAAGGGGGUGGAAAAGGAACCCAGUGUCAAGGCUACCCGCGAGGAAGAAAACAUACCAGAUCGACCGAGCCUUCAUCAGGCCUCAUGGGGAAGCCGUUGACGUGCUGCGACUUGAAGUCGCCGGCGAUGGCCGCCCUGACCCGGGCGGCGACUUCAUCGUCCGCCAGAGCCACGUUGGACAUCCGGCAAGCUUCGAGAUCCCGGGACGAGACGCCCGGCCCCAUUUCGUCCAUCCUCAACGGCCGAGACAUCAGGGGAAGGACCCUCCGACGAUGGACGGCCGAAAGGACGAGAGCGGCGGACAGGCCCUCCAGGCGCAGCUUCUUCAUGGCGUCGAGGAGGGGGUCGAGCCGCGACUGGUGCUCCUGGACGACGCCAUACGUCCAGUUGUCUGGGCGCUCUGAGAUCAGACGGCCCGUGUAGGCGGGGAAGAGACCGUCGUCGUUUCUCAGAUAGAACCACUAGGAGUCCCACCCAGCAUGGUUCGACGACAGCCCCACCGGGAUGUACUCGCGCGGCCUUUCCGUCUUCUUCGUCUUCAACACCAGGUUGAGGCAUCCGGCCCGCACGGGUUUCCUCACGCCGGUGGUUCCAGUGGGGGCGUUGAAAAGUUCGCCCCUGUAGAGGUGGAGCCAUAGAUCCCAAUGGGGCAUCAUCCCCAGAUAGCCCUCACACACCGCGACGAAGACCGCCGCGACGGUGAUGGCGUUCGGAGAAAAAUGCUGGAGCUCCACUCCAUAGUGGAAGCAGAGGGCCCGCAUAAAGCGACUCGGGGGAGCACCCAAGCCACGGCGGUGGAACUUGGCGAAUGACACCACAUAGCUCUCGGGUGGCUGGGGCUCCCUGUGACUCGCCGGCGGCGCGAUCCACUCCGGCGAAGACUGCGAAGUGCGGCGGCGCAAGAGCCCUUCAUUCUCGAGCUCUAGCAGACGGCGGUCCGUCAUCAACGACGGACGCCAGUCGUCGGCGGCAACAAGCUUCACAGGCAUCUUGGUUGGAAGGAUGGUGGAUUCACUACCGCUCGAGGGGGUGCACGCGCGCGUGGAGGAAGCAAGAGAGCAAAGGCAGCGAGAAGACGAAGGCGAGAGGACGGAAGGGGAAAGAAAGAAUGGAGCAACGCCACGGCGUAUUUAUAGAUAGCGGCCAACCAACGGAUAGAUCCGAUAAAUGAGGUAACUCCCCCCAUAAAUGCGCCGUCUAACGGUCCUUUCUCUCCUCACAGGCCGGACGCUCCGAAUUCCCCGCCGAUACAGUGUCGCAACGUCACUUACCUCAAAAGGUGCGCCCAACGGGCAGAAAGACGAACCGGCACGGCAGCUUCCUUACUUCGUAAGCCAAGAUAUGCGCCCACGAUAGUCUCGAGAGGUCGAUGGCUGGCCCGUCGAAAGGGUUCGACAGCCGAUCUCGAGCACCAAGAGUCAGGGAUCCCCAGCGAGUGGUCGAAAAUCGAGGCCCGCCUCGAGGACUCGCUGGCGAUGUCCAAGGUAGGGUCGAGACAGUCGAGAGGAAUCCCCCCGAAGGGAGGCAUCGAGCCGCUGGACUCUAUCGAAUGAGACCAGUAUCCCCGACCACGUCGACCCUGCUUUAUGAGGACGCCUCCGGGCUACAGCUGACCCCCUCGAAAGGGGCACAGGUUCUCACUUGGACUACCCGCUAGGAACUCAAUCUGGGGUGGAAGACGCUCGCUCUAUCGAGAGUACGUCGAAACCUCCACGCAAGGCAAAGCCGAACAAAACCUUCCACCACGGGUGUUGACAGCGUUUCUGCAAAUUUGGCAAAAUAACCCUCGAAGGAGUUAAAUACUCCCUCGAGGGCUCGGGGGCUACCCCCCGCGGGGUCGCUCGCGCGCCCCCGUGGAAGCUCGACCGUAAAAACGAAAGUCUCCACUCGAGCGCCAGCGCUCGAAUGAAGACUCGGAGGCUACUGUCGAGGGUAUCAACAAGGGGUACCCUCACCAAUGCGUAUAACGAGACCAUCCGUACACACGCGCGGCCAUCGACGGCCGCAGCCUCGAAGACGGAAAUAGCGUCGAGCGAAUCGGUCAGGGCUCGAGCGACAACUGCCGUCGAAUACGGAAGCGGGCUCGAGCGAACCGAGAGGCGUCGAGCGCAAGGACACUGUCCGCCGCCUGACGCGCGCACGAGAGCCAGGGCAUUUAAUGCACCUGACGCUUCCCCACCUAACACACGGGUCACGGGAGGCGUGAUAGGGAACAGGCUUCUGUCCCAUCGUUCUUUUUGCAGCCUUCCCACCGAACGACCCAGGGCGUGUCAGGACGCGGGAAACAAGGAUGGAACGUCUAAUCGGGACCCCCUCGAGACACCCAAGGUCAGCGCUCCAGAUAUCGACACCUCGUACGGCGUCCGACCCUCGACUUCACCAGGCUCCUUCCUGGAGACGAGUCGGGCGUCGACUGACCACGCCGUAACCGCUCCGCCGGAUUUGCCGCCGAGCCAUAUAAGCGUGCAUCCGCCGAACCAAUCCAAGACGGCGCGCAGAGCAGAAUGCAGGGGCACGCGUGAUCAUCACCUGGCUAUUAAGACGGGACGGCUCGAGGUCAUGCCGGUACGGAAACCUCGAGUAGGUCAGCGCUCCAUGCUGCUAUCGACUCCAAUUCCUACACCUAUACAUGUACCCUAGGUCCUUCCUUUGAACUAUAAAAGGAGGGACUCAGGAAUAGAACGGAGAGGACGACACAAGACCACGCUCAUACGUAGUAGAGCUCCACACUUCAUACCACGCUUGUAUUCGCCCCUGUACAAGCACUUAGGUGCAAGAUAAUACAAACUCUCUCCCCCCGCUGGACGUAGGGCCUUCUCUUACCCGAACCAGGAUAAAUCUCUGUGUCUUCUUGCAUCACCAUCCGGGAAAGGGAGCACGCAUACAAAUUUACUCGUUGGUGUGACCCCCGGGGGAAAAACACCGACACCACCCAACCCCGCCGUCCUCCCUGUCUCCGCCAAAGCAAUGUUUUCAGUCCUUUAUGCUGCUCCUAGUCUCAUGUUUGGUCUUGGAUAUUUGCUGUGGCAUGCCGAUGUUGAGCUUGGUGCCACAACCGCACAUACCAUGGUGCAUUUUCUUGUCAUCUUUAUCUUGGCAUCUGAGAACCAGAACAGGAAAUUAGCUACGGUGGGUAGCCUUCUCGGGUUGCUGUUGUUGGCUCAUGUUUCUGGUGGUUUACAUCUGGUCUUGGAUAAUAGCUUGGCCAUGAUGAGACGCGGCAGUGAAAUCCAAAUGGUUAGCAGUUACGAUUACGAACCUUCUCAUGGUAGGAGUAGGAUGCUAGUUUCAAUUGGCCACGAGACACAAGGUAAUGCUAGCAAGGAUAUGAAUGAUGGCAUAAUCAACUCUGAUCUCAGAAUGACACCGGGGAGUGCUGAUGGAUCUGAUUCUGGACACAAUAACAAUGUGCUGGCACAUUGGAUGUCAGAUCAUAACAGAGAAUGGCCAAGCAAAUAUUAUGUCACAGAGAAGCAAAGCAGAGCAGGCAAGCCUCAUCUGUCAGCAGCACAAAAGGCAACCAAGACUGGCGUGGCUUCGUGGAUUAUUGUCAUAGCUGCGCCUAUCUUUGUUGUGGUUGUGGUCUGCUGUAUUGCUGCUCUACUUUGGUACAAAUGUGGAAACACAGCGCAACAAAAUGUGCUGGUAGCUAAGCUUGAACUUUGGAGAUCUACUUUACCUAGGCUGUUCGAAUACAACGAGCUGGCGGCUGCAACCAACAGUUUCUCCGACGAGAACAAGCUUGGGCAAGGAGGGUUUGGCCCUGUGUACAGGGGCUUCUUGACGGACCCGGACCGCCAUGUGGCUGUCAAGAUGCUGUCUGCAGACUCUUCUUGGCAAGGGCAGAAGGAGUUUGAGGCAGAAGUCAAAGUCCUGACCCAGCUGAGGCACAGGAACAUCGUGGAGCUCGUCGGCUGGUGUGACAGUAAUGAAGGCCUCCUGCUCGUGUACGAACUGAUGGCUCAAGGCAGCCUAUUGACAAGCAUCUUCACAAUCCUGUUAGAGUUUUAUCAUGGCAACAGAGGUACCCACCCAAAUUGGCAUAACCAGUCUUCUAUCUAACAUCUCGUCCAGUAGUUCCAUUCCAUUAAAUAACAAUACUAGCAAUCUAAGAUAACUUCUUUCAUCCGUUUCUAGUUUAUCUAGGGUACCCAAAUUAGCCUAAUUAAGCAGUCUAUAUAUCUAACAUCUCGAUCAGUAGUUUCAUCAGUUACUACAAUUCUAUUUGUUUAUUACAUCUGUCCUCCUCUGACAAGUUCUUUCUUACCUUUCUAGGUACAAGAUUAUAUUUGAUUUGGGCUCUGCUCUGCUCUACCUCCACCGGUGCUGCGACAAAUGCAUCGUCCACGGCGACAUCAAGCCUGAAAAUGUGAUGCUUGACGCCUCAUACAACGCUAAGCUCGGUGCCUUCGGGAGAGCAAGGCUCAUCGAGCACGGAGCGGAGCCCCGAGCCACGGAAAUCGUUGCUGGGACCCGUGGGUACAUCGACCCAGAGUUCGUCAACAACCACCUUCGUUGCCCUGAGGCAGACAUCUACAGCUUCGGCGUUGCCCUGCUCGAGAUUGCUUCUGGCAAGCGGCCGGCGUCGAGAUCGAGACAGCCAGAUGAGGCCUCUGCGCUGCUAGUCUGCAGGCUCCGUGACCUGUACGAUCAGCGCAUGGUUCUCGAUGCAGCAGAUGCCAAGAUGAACGGCGAGUUCGACCAGCAGCAGAUGGAGCGUGUGCUUGUUACGGGUCUCUGGUGUGCGCAUCAGGACCCGAGCCGGUGACCGUCUAUUGAACAAGCUAUGGACGUUCUGCGUUCUGCAGAUGCAAUGUUGCCGGUGCUUCCAGCGACGCGCGAUCGGCAGCGCGUUAGCAUCUUGGAGGAACAGGCUUAUGGCGAUCUCACAGGUGAUGGUGCUGCCGUGGAUGCCGUCGUCCCUGCAAGUACCUGCUAUCUUACUUCCAAGGAUUCAGCGUAUCUGCUUGCUGAGCAAUGAGGGUUCUGUUGAUCACAAGUUACUAUUACUAUACAGUAGUACCGUUUUAGAUCCCAGUAAGUUUACCUUUUUCAAACCGCUAAUCCUGUGGGUGUUAUGUAUGUAUAUGUAUCCAGCUCCACCAGGCCCCAUGGCAUGCACGAUCUGUGUUGUAGCAGAAUCUUUUUAUGCAAAAGAAUGUUUCUGUCGUUAAUGUUCUGUCUGUGCUAAUGGGUACCCAGGGUAGUGAAUAUUAUUCGGUACCCGAGCCCCACACCAGUCACGCAGACCGACAAUUUGUACGCCCGCAUGGAAGAUGGGCUCCCGGCUCGACCUUUCAUGGAAGAUUCGGCGCUUUUUGAGAAGUCACGGAAGUGUUCCUCGCAGUGAAACACUCAUCGGACGCUGACCAUUGAGGCACCGGACGCAGAGGCUGUGCGUCCGGUGUGCUGUGGUGUUAGGGUUAAGCACCGAACGGUGAGCACCGGACGCAGGGUAGCUCCUGUUCAUGCGUACGGUACCAUCUGUCUUCUGCGAGUAAACCUGACUGGAAGCACCGGACGCUCUGGGAGCGUACGGUGGUGUGCGUCCGGUGACCUGUGUGUUUUGCAAACCUCUCUAGGUUUAAGACCGGUGAGCACCAGACGGUCCGGUGCUAAGCGUCCGGUGCCCUGCGCGUUUUACAGACCUCCCUCAGUUUAGGACCGGUGUGCACCGGACGCGUCCUGUGGCAACUUGCUCAGUGUCCGGUGCUUUGCAGGUUACCGUUAGACUCUGACACCUGGCUGUUUCUAGAGCACCGGACGCAGGUGUUGAGCGUCCGGUGCCCCUUUAAGAGUGUCCGGUGACCUCGUGUUUUGCCCAGUGAAAAGAGCCAACGGCUCUAUUUGUUUGAGGGGCUAUAAAUACGUGUUUGGCCGGCUUGGGGCUCACUCUCUUGGCAUUCUUGACUACUAUACAUUCUUGUGAGCCUAAGCAAACACCUCCCACUCAUCUCCUUCAUAGAUUAAACAUCUCUGUGAGAUUGGUAGUGAUUCCAAUUGCAUUUGCUUGAGUGAUUGCAUCUAGUGGCACUUGGGGAUCGAUUUGGCUGCAGUUUUCUUGUUACUCUUGGUGGUUGCCGCCACCUAGACGGCUUGGAGCAGCGGAGGAGCAUUGACACGAGUUGGUGAUUGUUCGUAGCCAUCUCCCGGUGAUUGUGAGGGGUCUUGUACCUUUCCCGGCGGAGAGCCGAAAGGUAACUUUAGUAAAGUGCUCGUGUCAUUGAGUUACCUCACUUGUGGGUAGGUUCUUGUGGUGUCCUAGUGAGGACGAGGUUCGUGCUACACCUCUUAGCCACCGAACCACCAAGUGUUGGUCGACACAACGGGGACGUAGCGUGCCGGCAAGCACGUGAACCUCGGGAGAAAAAUUGGUGUCUCAAUUGUGUUUGAUUGGCAUUCUCCCGGUGCUUGAUUGUUUAUAUUGGUGAUUGGUUCAUCCCCUACUCGGUGGUAUAAUUUUCUCAUCCACUCUUUUACAUUCCCGCAAACUAGAGUAGCUUACUUACUUGUAUAGAAACUUUAGGUAGCUUUCUAGUGUAAGUAGUGACAUAGCUCUUGUGUGCCUAGUGAUUAUGUCAACUAGAAUUGUGGGAUAGGUGGCUUGCAAACAUCCUUUUAGAGCUAGAGCAAAAAGCUACGCUUUAUUAUUUACUAACCAUUUGCUUUAGUGAGUUUUGUAGAAUUUUUAAAUAGGCCAUUCACCCCCCUCUAGCCAUAUUAGGACCUUUCACUCGGCACGUCCCAAAAAGCCAUGUCUGAGACCCAAGCAGGUGUCUCAUUAGUGGGAUCCCAUCGAGGGAGGCACCAAGCCCUCAAAACUUAGUGAACAGUUCCGAGAUCCACCAAGACAACCCUCAGGUAUCAUGGAGCGCACCUAUGUGGCCGCUAGAUGACCCCUAGCGAAUGGAGCUCGGGCCUCCACUUGGACUAACGCGUUAGAAGCUCACCGGGAACACCAUAGCUCGCCCACCGAGGGUAGCAUGGUGUCACCCACACUACAAGAAAUGUGCCAUCUUUUGACAAUUGAAAUAUGUCAUAAUAUAUGCAAAAUAAUUCAUAGAUCACCAUUUAUGGCACCAAGUUGACGAAAACUGAAAUGUCAAAAGAUGCACGUCUUUAUUGACAACUUGUGACACAUAAGUGUUCAUGUCAUAAUAUUAUGACAUUGGUUUUAGAUGUCACAAGCUUUUAUGACCUAAAUUUAUGUCAUAGGAUGAAUGAGGGACACUAAAAAGCCAGGAAGUCCCUGACCGACCCCUCCUCCGAACGAAAAGGAUGAAUGAGGGACGCUAAAAAGCCAGGAAGUCCUUGACCGACCCUUAGGCUAAAAAGCCAGGAAGUCCCUAACUGCACCCGCACCAAGGCUAAAGCCAAAAAAUGGCUCGUGUAUAGAACGCAACUUUCAUCUACAUACACCAAAUUACUAAAAGCCCUUGAAGGAAUGACCCAUUCCUUCAAGGCCUCGAGGGCUACACCCGGCAGGUGCACUCACGUGCACCCGCCAGAGGACACAAAUACUGCCCUUGAAAGAAAUACCCCUAGUAAAAAUGGAAAAGACUCUGAAGGAGAAACCAACUCCUCCACAGGCUCGAGGGCUACUGUCAGCUACUGUAAAUUGGGGUACCCAAGCUAACACCAUAAAAAGCACAAAUCUGCUUAAACAAAGGCCAAGGCCCAAAUCACCUGACCUUAGUAAGGAGGACAGCUAGGCCGCCCAAAGGACAUUUCCAAACUGGGCUAGAACCACUCUGCUUCAGUCCAAGGCGGGCCUCGGGCAACGGGAGGUUGAAAGGUCCUUGUUUGGUUUUGAUAUUUGAGUGACAACUUAGGUGGACUAAUAGUGUUUAUGUGAGAUACACAGGAGAUUAGUCCACAGGUGAUUAUGUGAUGAUGGAGAAGCUCAUUGCAUAUGAGACAUGACAUGGAGUCAUGUGACCAAGGUGGAGAAGAUCAAGAUGAGGCUUGGCUUGAUGGACCGGUUGCAAGAGUGAAGGGCAAGUCGGAGGCUUUGAAGCGAGGGACCGCGUGUGACGGUGAAGCUUGAGCAAGACUUGGCGCCGAUGGACCGAGGCAACGGUGAAGAGCAAGUGAGGUCAAGAUCGAUGAACCAAUACGGUCAUGUGAUGAUAUGAAGUGGAUCAUAUCAUUUGGUGAUUGGUUGGUGCAUGUGUUGCAUCAACAUUGGAGGAGAUGGAAUGGAAAGCGCAAGGCAAAGGUAUAACCUAGGGCAUUUCCAUUUCACCGGUCAUAGGUGUGUAGAGAAGUUUAUGACCGGAUUUAGGAUAGAUGGCCGUACUAUCAAGAGGGGCAAACUUGUUUGCAUAUCGGUCAUCUAGUGCCACUUGAGCGAUCUAACUUUGCAUACGUGUUAGGAUCGAGUGGCGUGGCAAGUUUGAGAGACUAACUCCUUUGGGAAAAUGUUUGUGAAAAUGCUAACACACAUGCACAUGGUGGUGUACACUUGGUGGUGUUGGCACAUUUGCAAAGGAGGUGGUGUUCCCAGGGUUGAGAGAGGUGUGGGUUUCUCUCUCCCUCCCGCCGAGCUUGCGAGGCGGGAUUCGGCGCUUUUUGAGGAAAUUAAGUGCAUAUUUUCUAUUGCGCCAGUGGGAAUUUUUAGAGAAGUCACGGGAGUGUUUCUCAAUUGGAAACACUCACCGGACGCUCAGCGCGGAGGCACCGGACGCUGGCCUUUAGCGUCCGGUGUGCUGUCGGGUGCAGCAGAGUGCACCGGACGCACCGGAGUGAGUCCGGUGCUCAGCGUCCGGUGUGAGGGGUUUUUGCAACCCUCUCUGCGCACGAGUCCGGUGAGCACCGGACCGUCCGGUGCCUAGCGUCCGGUGAGGUCGCGAGUUUGACAAACUCUCUGCGCACGAGUCCGGUGAGCACCGGACCGUCCGGUGCCAUCGUCCGGUGGUGCUGUGCAGGCGCGCGUGCGAAGUAGCCGUUGGCGGCAACGGUCGACUUCAAACGGCUAGUGACACGUGGCGGUCAGCUGAGCACCGGACGCUGGGUGUUGAGCGUCCGGUGGCUCCUUGAGAGCGUCCGGUGCUCACGUGUUUUGCCCAGUGAAGGGGCAACGGCUAGUUUAGCCCUUGGGGCUAUAAAUAGAAGUGGUGGCUGGCCUUGGCCGGUGCUGAGCACCCUUGGGACUUAGUGUCCAUGCUUGGGGAGUGCUAGUGAAGCCUCUAACUCACAUAUGCUUGAUAGUGAUCAUUCGAUUGUGUGAGUGAGCGAUUCUAGUGCGUUGCAUUGAGAGAUUGCAUCGAGUGGCACUAGGUGUUCGUGUUGCAAGCCGGUGGUGCUUGUUACUCUUGGAGGUUGCCACCUCCUAGACGGCUUGGUGGCUUGUGACUCCGUCGAAGCACGCAAGGAGAUUGUGCGGUGCUCCGGAGAAGAGAUUGUGAGGGGUACGGUGCUCACCCCGCGGGGAUCGCGAAGAGCAACUCUAGUUGAGCGAGACGUGAAGAGCGACAAGUGGUCCGGCCGGGUCAAGUGCUAGAGCUUGUGGUAAGCACUCCACGUGGGAGAGUGUGACUUGCGGGUCACCACUAGCAAGAGGACCGGCGGCAACCUUGGAGCUUGUCUCAACGGGGACGUAGCUUGGUGGCAACCAAGUGAACCUCGGGAGAAAAUCAUCGUGUCAACAUUGUUCUUCCCGUUGGUUUGCAUGUCCCUAACACAAGCUGGUUCUUACGUUCAUAUACUUGUGCUUGUGUAGUUGCUCUUGUAAUUAGUUAGCUUGUGUAGCUUGCUAGUUGCCUUCUUGCUUGUGUAGCUAGAAGUAGUUUCCUUGCGUGACUAAUUUGGUUUGUGUAACCUUGUUAGUCACAUUGCUUAGUUUGUGUAGCUAAGUAAGUUGCGCUCUCUAAUUUGGCAUUAGUUGCCUUGUUAUUGAGCUUGCUAGUGAGCUUAGGCUUUGUGCGCUUUGCCUCACUAGUUUGUGUAGGAGCUCCCUCGGUUUGCAAAAUACUAGUUGCAUAGGUUUGUGUGACCUUGCUCCUAGAAUUGGUUAGGUGAGCUCUUGCUAAGGUAGCACCUUGCUUGCUUGUUUAGGAUCUUUUCAAGGUGCUAGAGAACUUAGAUAGAGGGGUGUAGUCUUGGCUAGACCGAUAGUUUUAAUUCCGCAUUUGUUUCGGUUAGCCGGCGUAAUAAUUUUUAGAAAGGACUAUUCACCCCCCCUCUAGUCCGCCAUCUCGACCCUUCAGAGGUGUCCUCCAUCUCAUCCAAGGCCAAGCCUCAGACGAAUUCUCUCUCUCGUCCAAGAGCAAGCCUUGGAUGUCUUUUUUGUCUCGCCCGAGACCUAAACCUUGAACUAAUUCUUCCACUUCGCCUGAGCCUGUGCUCGGAUCCCCUCUCCUCGAUAUAGUAACCAGGCUUCUUGCGCACGCCGAGUAGCUGCUGUAUAACAAAUAGGACACAAGGCAUGUCCUUGCACCCAUGCUAUGUGGUAGGGUAUGGCACACGUUGUGCCGCCUACUCUGAUCACUACCAUACCCGACUCUUGUCACUAUACGUGUGAUCGAGUCAGGAUGAGUGGGCGACGUCAAAUCCCAAGUACUAUAGCUAUGAACCCAUCAACACUCCUGAACGUGGAUUAAAGGAAGAGGCCUCGGGAAUAACCCGAAUGAGAGCUAGGGGUCGACAUGGCAAGAACAGGGAUAAGCAUCAUGUCUACAACAUAAGUAUUGCUCGGCACGAUCAACAGGGGCAACCAUGCCGAGAUCAUGAUCCACUACAACGUCAGAGAUGGAGCACCUCACCUCCCGUACGACACCAUACCUUAACCCACGUCUUGGAACAACACCACGACAUUGUAACAUAAACACAUGUACCCCUCACUCCUCUUGAGCUAUAAAAGGGGAGGGAGGGCCUCGUUCAAAGUAGGAUACCGAACACACACUGUCAAUAACACCACAAGUACGAGCCAAGCUAAGGCUUGUGACAUACUUCCUCUCUCGCAAAUUGUUUGUAACCCCUACUACGAGCACUUUGGAUGUAGGAUAAUACAAGUCGACUCCCCACACUAGACGUAUGAAACGCUUGGCCUAAACCAGUAUAAAUCUCUAUGUUCUUCUUGCAUCCGCAUUUGGGUUGAAGGGUACGCAGACUUGUAUUACUUGUUACUGUUUAGAUCGCGAGUCGAGACACCGAUAGUGUGUGUAUAUAUCUUUUUUAGAAUUUGAGGGAUAUUACCCUAGCUUUUCAAUUAAAUAAAAAAACCAAAGUACUUUACAACACAGUUUAAGAAGCCAAAAGUCCACCAGGACCGAACAAUGUCAGAACUCAACACCAGGGCUCUAAAGACAACAAGGCACAACUACUAGAUAAACGCCAAAGCAGCUAGACCACCGCUUCGAGCACUUGCUGAACCGUCCAUCCAAGAACUGUGACAGCCAAAUAGCUACCCAACUCAAUCAGAGAGGGAGGUGUCCAGCGCACUCCACCAAGGCAACUCUUUCUUCUUCUCUACAGCUUCCAUCAGCUUGUAGUGUCCAGACACUUCUUCAUUGCUUCUCUGAAACCUCAUAUAGUGUCUUGAUUGGAGAUAUACAGGAGCCACAAAAUCUUGCUUGCUGCUGAAUUGAUCUUGUCUAUACAUUCUUUCAGAGAGUCCUUCUUGUCUGCUGGAUAGAGGACCACCCAGUUCAAUAAAAGACCAACAAUCCUGCAAAGAAGCAUUUCCAUGCCUCUCCAGCCAAUCCUCUAAAAACAAAGAUCAUUUCUAAGUUUCCACAUAGCCCAAAUAACAGUAGAAGAGACUAUAUUAGAUAAACAAUGCUUUUUAUUGCUUAGCCAGUAAGUUUCAAUAUUAGUCAAAUCUACACCUAUUUCAACCCCCAAACUAUCAGACACAACUUUCCAGCAUUGUCUAGCCACUACACAAUCAAAGAAAACAUGAUGGAUAGUUUCUUUCUCUGAGAAAAACAAGCAAGUAUCAUCCUCCAACUUUCUUCUUUUAGCCAAAUUACCUCUUGUUAAUGCUCUAUUAUUCAUCACUAGCUAUAAAAAAUGGACCCUAGGGGGAAUUUUGAGACUCCAAGCAGCUGAAACAUAAACAAAAUUAAUUCCUCUAAAUUUUAUAUUUUUUACAGGGAUUGUGAAGAAUAAAUACUAGAGGUAUUGAACUACCAAAUCAUUUCAUCCUCUUCAUCUGAUAAUUCAACAGAAGCAACUAACUCUACUAUAUCCAGCCAAGAUUGAUAAAGAUCUCUAGAAACAUUUCUUCUAAAAGUACACUGUAAAUUAACCCCAUCCCAUAGAUCUUCUAUUGUUUUACCUUCUGGAUUCAUAAUCCUAUACAAAGGAUAAAACUAGAUCUAGACUAGAGGAGCCUAGCCAGUUAUCUUCCCAGAAUCUAACUUUUUUUUACCACUACCUACAUUCCACUUAUAACCCAUUUUGGCUGCUUGUGAUGCCUACAUAAACCCUUUGAAGAAGCUAGAAGCACCGUCCAUUUUAGUUUGGAAGAUGUUUGGUCUCUGUGUUUCAUACUUACAAUCAAUAACCUCUUUCCAAAGCUUAUCUCUAUCAAAUUUAUGUCUUUUCAGCCAAGAAGCCAACAAACUAAUGUUUAGGUCCCUAAGGUUUGGAAGACCUAAACCACCAUAUUCUUUCUUAAGUGACACUAAUUCCCAGAUAGCUAAAUGAAACUUGUGAUUAUCUGCUGAAUCAUUCCACAAAUAAUCGCUAAGAUGGGUAUUGAGAAUUUUAACGGCCCACUUAGGAAACUUAAUGAAGGCUAGCAAAUACAAAGGGAUAUACUAGCUAAACAAGAUUUAAGCAACAUAGCUCUAGCAGGUAGAGAUAAGAGUUUCACCCUCCAACCUGCUAUCUUUCUCAAAAUUUUAUCUACUAGAGGUUGUAUGUCUUCUCUGGUCAGGUUAUCAUAAUGGAGAGGAACUCCUAAAUACUUUUUAGGAAAAGCACCUACAGGACAAGAGAAAAUGUGGGGAAAAGCUAUGUGUUUCUUCUAUAUCUAAGUUGAGAGGUACUAAUUCACUUUUAUUAAAAUUAAUCCUCAUACCAGAGAUCUGUUCGUAUGACAUCAAAACACAUUUAAGAUUCCUUAAAACAGGUGCAUCUGCUUUAGAAAACAAUAUUGUAUCAUCUGCAUAUUGUAGUGAUAUAAUCCCCCCUGGUCUAAAGUCCUCUAAGAGACCUUUGACUAAACCUCUAUUAGAAGCCUUAGCUAGCACUUUUUAUAAGCCAUCUCCAACUAAAUUAAAAAGAAAAGGAGACAAAGAAUCUCCUUAAGCCUUAAGCCUUUACCAGCUUUGAAGUAAGCACUAUCUUUACCAUUGAGCAUAAUCCCUAUAGAACCACUCAUAACUACUUGUUUAAACCAACUGAUGACCAUGGGGUUUAAAUUCCUAGACUGUAGCAUCUCAAAGAGAAACGUCCAACUAACUCGGUCAUAAAACACACAAGACAAUGGUCAAUGGAAGAAGGCACAUGGAAACUUCCUUUCCAUGUCGCAACCAAAAAAAUCCAAAGUAGCCCUCGGCAACAAAGGAGCUACGUACAACUUUGGUCCCACACGCGGCGGUUCAACUUGUUUAUAUGCGAACGUGAAGCCAAAGGUGAACCCAAACGCGUAUAGACUAUUAACAACUGCAAUCUGAUAGAUGAUAUAUGCAAAUCAACAAAGGAGAUAGUUUAAUAGAUUAUUAUGGAGAAAAAUAAAUUAAUACGUACUCCAACGCUGCUGAGUGGCAGUUUUACAAGUACUGAUGAUUAUUUACACAAGCGGCAGAAGCAGGGCUUGCACUUCUAUCUAUAUAAUAGUAGUAGCAUAGUACGACGUGUGAACGCAGCUAGGCUCUGCUUACUUAAUUAGGAUCCCUUUGGCACAUCUUCUUUAGCAGAUUCAUACGUUGUUUGAUUCUGUUUUAUAUGCCAAAUGGUUAAUUUUUCAAGCAAGUGUGAAAACAUGUCGAACUUCUUAAAACACACUCAACCUAGGUAAGGUAGCUAUAUACCAAACGAGGCCUAACAUGUACCCCAUCCAUUCAAAAAAAAGUCACAUAGAUUUUGUACUAGUUUAGUUAUGUUUGUAGAAAAUGUCAGCAACAUUUGAAUCUCAAAUAAAUUUAUUAUAGAAGUAUUUCCAAUGAUUAAUAAUAUAAUCAUACUUGUUAUACAUUAACAAUAUUAAUAUUCUCUUAUAUAUAUUUGGUCAAAGUUGAAAAACUUAAACUCAUCGAGAAUGAUACUAUUUAUGAGACCAAGAUAGUAGUCAAAAUAUAAUAGAGGCUCAAUAUAUCAAUCACUAGAAUCGGUUAAAAACAUGUGUAAACACAGAAAAUGAAAACAUGGAAAGAAAAAAAAAAUAGUGCAAACGCUGUAUGUCCCCGUACACAAAUUGAAAUGGUACUGUGCUCCCGUACUUCUUCCGAAUAAAAAGCUAGAGAGAACCCGAAAACAGACAAAUAGACAUCCACUUGCCAGUUGCCACGCGAUUUUUCCGGUUCCUGUCGCCAUAUAGUUGCCAGUUCCCCGACCAACAAAUGAAUCAACUAUUAUUGCUAACAACUGAAGAACUAUUAGGUUUAUUAGCAGUUUUUGAAGUCGCUAAUAUGUGCUAACAGUUCAUAUACACCUUGAACUCACUAUCCAAUCAUCUAUUAGUAGAUGUCUACAACCAACCUCCUCUUGAAAAUUAGCUAACUAAAAAUUAGCAGCUAUCUAAUUUUUAGUGCCGCCCUUAGUUUCUUGUGGUUCAAUCAAUCUACAUGGAUUUACUCCCUCCAUUCCUAAAUAUUUGUCAUUUUUAUUUCUUAAGAAACAACUUUGACUAAAUAUAUAUUAAAAAAUAUUAAUAUUUAUGGCACAUAAUUAGUAUCAUUGUAGAUAUUUGAAUCUAGCUUUUAAUAAUUUUAUUUGGACACACAAAUGUUGAAUAUAGUUUCUAUAAAUCAAGGUAAACUUAUCGACACAAACUAUAUCGACACACAUUUAGGGAUAGAGAAAAUAAGUUUUUGAUUUAACAUGUAUUCGUAUUUUUAUUAAUUUAUUUUAGUAUUUAGCGAUGCUAUUCUUUCAACAGUUCUCGAUUUAACAAAAGUGUUAUGAAUUUAUUUUAGAAAUUAUUUGUGCUAUUUUUUAAGAAUAAACGAUAUGUCCGCCAAUAGUGAUACCAAUACGGCUAUGAUAACUUUGUUAAUCUUAAAAUUUGUUGUUCUAGUUGUGUGGCCAAAAUUGCUCAUAGGGGUUGUGACCGCAAUACGAGACUUGGUCCCAGAUUUAAUAAAAAGUGUGUGUAUAGUGCUAUUCCACACCUUAGCUAUACAAUACUAUUCUACACCAAACUGUAUAUUGAACCGAAUUCAGUAUGAUACAAUACUCGUGUUUUAGUAUUUGUUCAGUAUUUUAUGGUUUUGGGUGUAGUAAUGGGUGAUACGCGGUUCAGUAGUACUCAGUAUUUUUUCUAGUCAGUUUUAACUUGCGGUGUAGAAUAGCGAUAUAUAUAUAUAUAUAUAUAUAGAGAGAGAGAGAGAGAGAGAGAGACACACACAAUAUGAAGACUGCUUGGUCAUCAAAACAAAUGCAACAUCACACGCUAUAUUAUCCCUCUAGUCUCCCCAAUCCCUGUCACUUGAGAUUAUGCCUGCCAUCCCCUUCCUCAUACUCCCUAGUGCUAGAAACCUACAGCUAUGCCACAAAUCGUCCACGGAGAGAGUGCCAAUGGCGGAGCCAACCCUCCUGGACCACAAGCCUGCCCACCUCUUCGACCAUGGCUUCCUUCUUGUCGCCAUGACCUGCAGCUGGCCAACGACAACAGCAACGUCAACGCCGCUGUUCCUGUGGACCACUGUUGCUCCGGUGAUGGCUCUUCCGCCGCCGCCUUGUCCUCCUCCCAUCGUAACGCUGCUGCUGCUGCUGCAGUAUUUCUCAUAUUUUUGACCUGUGGUUUUUUCACGGGUUGUUUUGGAGGCAUGCGUGGGACCGACAACACAAAUUUCAACACUCAUAUCGAACCGAUCCUACUAUAUCUGUUUCUCUACUAUUCAGGGGUCCUGGUGUCGCAUCACUUGCUUGUGAGUAAAGAACGACCACACCACUGCAAAAUCUCGGCUAUGGCGUGCUUUGUUGUGGAUCAGGUGUGCGACAUCUUUGAUGUGGAGCAGGUGUAUGGUUUGCUCGUCCUGCGAUCAUGGUUGAAGUUUAUUGCAGAUGUCAAGGAGCUUGUGACCUCUGUGUAUUCCAUCUUGACAAGGAAAUCGGUGAUGGUUAGACUUCUUGUGAUGCUGUUUUCUGCUCUUGUUUUUGGUGCUUUAGAUCUGGGGCUCAAUAAUUGGUCAGGCAUGAGAAGAGCGAGGGACAGCGCAAUUUUACACAAUUAUUAUGAUGAGUCUCAUGGUAGGACGUUACUUGCAUUUAAUCAUGACAAGGAUAGCACAGUUAGAGUUGAUCUCAGAAUGACAACGCCGGUGAAUGCUGAUGGCUCUGGACAGGAUCAGAAAGCACUUGCACAUUGGAUCUCAGAUCAUAACAGAGAUCGGUCAGGCAAAUAUUAUGUCACAGACAAGCAAAAAAGACCACAGAAGCCUCAUCUGUCAGAACACAAGACAAUCAAAACUGGCGUGGUUUGGUGGAUUGUCAUAGCUUCAGCUAUCUUUAUUGUGGUGGUGGUCUGCUUUGUUGCUGCUCUGCUUUGGUACAAGUGUAGGAACAGAGGGCAACAAAAUCAACCCCAAGUUCAACUUCAACUCUGCAGAGUAAAAGGACCUAGGCCAUUCGAAUACAACGAGCUGGCGGCUGCUACCAACAAUUUCUCCGACGAGAACAAGCUUGGGCAAGGAGGGUUUGGCCCUGUGUACAGGGGCUUCUUGACGGACCCGGACCGCCAUGUGGCUGUCAAGGUGCUGUCUGCAGACUCUUCUUGGCAAGGGCACAAGGAGUUUGAGGCAGAAGUCAAAGUCCUGACCCAGCUGAGGCACAGGAACAUCGUGGAACUCGUCGGCUGGUGUGACAGUAAUGAAGGCCUCCUGCUCGUCUACGAACUGAUGGCUCAAGGCAGCCUUGACAAGCAUCUUCACAAUCCUGUUAGAGUUUUAUCAUGGCAACAGAGGUACCCACCCAAAUUGGCAUAAGCAGUCUUCUAUCUAACAUCUUGUCCAGUAGUUCCAUUCCAUUAAAUAACAAUACCAGCAAUCUAAGACAACUUCUUUCAUCCGUUUCUAGGUACAAGAUUAUUCUUGAUUUGGGCUCUGCUCUGCUCUACCUCCACCGGUGCUGCGACAAAUGCAUUGUCCACGGCGACAUCAAGCCUGAAAAUGUGAUGCUUGACGCCUCAUACAACGCUAAGCUCGGUGACUUCGGGACAGCAAGGCUCAUCGAGCACGGAGCAGAGCCCCGAGCCACGGAAAUCGUUGCUGGGACCCGUGGGUACAUCGACCCAGAGUUCGUCAACAACCACCUUCGUUGCCCCGAGGCAGACAUCUACAGCUUCGGCGUUGCCCUGCUCGAGAUCGCUUCUGGCAAGCGGCCGGCGUCGAGAUCGAGACAGCCAGAUGAGGCCUCUGCACUGCUAGUCUGCAGGCUCCGUGACCUGUACGAUCAGCGCAUGGUUCUUGAUGCAGCAGAUGCCAAAAUGAACGGCGAGUUCGACCAGCAGCAGAUGGAGCGUGUGCUUGUUACGGGUCUCUGGUGUGCGCAUCAGGACCCAAGCCAGCGACCGUCCAUUGAGCAAGCUAUGGAUGUUCUGCGCUCUGCAGAUGCAAUGUUGCCGGUGCUUCCAGCGACGCACGAUCCGCAGCACAUUCGCAUCUUGGAGGAACAUGCUUAUGGCGAUCUCACAGGUGAGGGUACUGCCGUGGAUGCCGUCGUCCCUGCAAGUACCUGCUAUCUUACUUCCAAGGAUUCAGCGUAUCUGCUUGCUGAGGAAUGAGGGCUCUGUUGAUCAAAAGUUACUAUACAAGUAUACAGUAGUACCAUCUUAGAUUCCAUUAAGCUUUUACCUUUUUAAACCGGUAAUCGAGCUCCACCAACCCCAUGGCAUGCACGAUCUGUGUUGUAGCAGAAUCUUUUUAUGCAAAAAAAUGUUUCUGUCGUUAAUGUUCUGCCAGCAUAUAUAUAUGCCCUGUCUAUGAGUUGCUUUAUACCAGUAGUGAUAGGCGAUGUCCUAUGUAUUAUUAAGAAAACAUUAAGAUUGUUGAUACUUAAAGUAAGACAUGGUUAUAGAUGGCCAAACGGGCCGAUUUAAACAGGCCGGCACGAGCACGGUACGAGAAAGCACGGUCCGAAAACGGCCCGGCCCGGCCUGCCUCGUGCCCGUGCUGGCACGGCACGCCCCCGUGCCCGUGCCCGUGCUGGAAGCCGCACACGACAGCACGGCACGGGCACGGCCCGCUCCAGCGGCCGGCACGGCCUCGGCCCGCUCCAUCAGCCCACUCCAGUCACGAGAGCCGUUGGAUCCCUUCCCCAAGCGAUCUCCUCCGUCCAUUUCUUCCUGUUACGCGGCCGUGUCGUUCUCGUGCUCGUGCUCGUGCUGGCGUGCUGCCGUGCCUAGCGGCACGGCACGGCACGCUCCAGAUCUAGUCGUGUCGUGCUCGUGCUGGGAGGCUGGCACGGUAGCACGUCAGGCACGGCACGGCAGGCACGCGUGCCAAAUCGUGCCCGUGCCGAACCGUGCCCGUGCCGCGACGUGCCGUUCCGUGCUCGUGCCGUGUGGCCCGUUUGGCCAUCUAUAGACAUGGUUUCUAAUUUAUUUUGUUAUUGGGACCUCAUCAUCUUGGUUAUUUGGAUCGGUAUCAUUACAAUUUUCUAAGUUCUGAAAACUACCAUUACUAUUCACCUAUUUUGAACUCUAACAUUGCAAUUCUAUGGCUCUCUGAAAUAUGCCACUUCAUACACAUUAGAUAGUGUCAGGCCCAUCUAUAGUCAAUUGUACUAUUAUAUUGCCCAAAAUGCCCCCUCUACAUUUCUGACUUAUGGGCCUCAAAGGUGACCUUCCUCCUUCCUUCCCUGGCCUCAGGUCACCGCUCGACAUAGUGCUGUGUAUGAUGCGCCGGGGCUGGCCUCGCACCCAUACAACGUGGGGUAGCCUCAUGGACGGGCUUGCUCGACCUCACAGUGGCGGCCAGCUUCACACCGGUUGUAGCUUUGUGUGGCCGCGUGAACGAUGAGACUGCGUCGACACUAGCCAGCCUUGCACUUGGGAGCUUCCACCACCACCGCCAUGUUUGGAGACGACCAUGCCGAUGGCCACACGGUCCUUCUUUGAUUCUGACCCCUCCUACUCAUCUUCUGUUGGAGCACAACGCACUCUAGAGCUCGGAUCGCACCGGCGGAACAAUGGUAAUCACGACGAGUCUAACCUAGUAGAUGCAACAAACAAGAAGAUAUGGCACUGCCAACCAUCGCAGCCUUUUCUGGUCUUUGUUCCUUGUUAUUUAUAUACAAGUCUUGCGAUCUCAAUAACCACAAUAUCCUCCCGCGCCAUACCGCACAAAGACGCGAUACCGUUUCGAUCGGUCCACGCUACGUGCGCCCGGCUCGACAUGUCGCGGUGACCAACAGACACCGGGCUAGAUCAUGAUCAUGCACGUCAAUGAUCACGCCCAUCCCCUACUCGACUAUUACAAACUCCGACUCGAACAAGAUUACAUUUAUUCGUGCAUCUCUUUAGCUAACAAAUCACCCCUAAACUUGAUGCACAUCGAUGCCACCCAAUGCACUCCUGAACUCCAUGAACUUCACUCGUCCCAACGACUUGGUGAAGAUGUAAGCGACCUGAUCUCCUAUCCCAACAUGUUGAACCUCCACCUUGCCCUCCUCGAUGCAUUGACGAAGAAAAUGACACUUAGUAUCAAUAUCCUUGCUUCGGUCAUGAUAUACCGGAUUCCUGCUUAGUGCUAUCACAGACAUGUUAUCCAUGUGCAGUUUUACUGUCGUCUCCCUCGUUCCCAGCAUAUCUGCAAUCAGCCGACUUAGCCAUAUGCCUUGACAAGCUGCCCCCACUGCCGCCACAUACUCCACUUCACACGAAGACAAAAGCAACGAUCCUUUGCUUUUGUGAUGCCCAGGUAACAAGACUGCUACCGAGGGAAUAGCCAACUCCCGAAGUGCUCUUCCUAUCCUCAAUGUCACCAGCAAAAUCACUGUCACUGUACCCAAGUAGAAUUAGUUUCAGCUCAGCUUCUUUCUCAUACUUGCAGCCAUACCCCAUGGUACCUUUAAGAUACCUGUGUUUUACAGCGGCCCAAUGUUCUUUGCCCAGUGCAUCCAUAUAUCUGCUCACAACACCAACCGAGAAUGCCAGAUCAGGUCGAGUGUUAACAAUAUACCUUAGGCUGCCGAUUAAGCUCCUAUAUCCCGUAGGAUCCAUUGCUUCUCCAUUCUUUACCUUGCUUAGUUUUAGUCGACAUUCCAUUGGGGUAUCACACGAGUUGCAGAUCCUCAUUCCAGCCACUUCUAAUAUCUUUGUCGCAUAGGAACUCUGACACAGAGUGAUGCCAUUUGCAUCCAGCUUAACCUCUAUGCCUAGAUAGUAGCUUAAAAGCCCCAAAUCACUCAUGCUAAACUUCUUCUUCAUCUCAUGUCUUUCACAUCUGGUCCAGAGAUGAUCAAGUCAUCGACAUAAACAACCACAAGUAGAAAAAAGUUCCCACUGUUUCUUCUGUAAACAACAUGAUCCAACUUGCUCCUGACAAAACCAAGACCCACAAGUUCACAGUCAAGUUUUGCAUUCCACGCCUGAGGCGCCUGCUUCAAACCAUAGAGUGCCUUUUUCAGUUUGAGUACCUUGUCUCCAUUGCCGACAACAAAACCUGGAGACUGUUGCACAUAGACACUUUCAGAGAGAUCACCAUUCAAAAAAGCUGAUUUUACAUCCAUAUGAUGGACCUCCCGUCCACCUUGAGCUGCGAGUGCUAACAUAACUCUUACAGUUUCAAUUCUGGCCACCGGAGCAAAAACUUCAUCAAAGUCUACUCCAUACCGUUGAGCAUACCCUUUUGCAACUAGGCGUGCUUUGUACUUGACCACGUUACCUUCAAGAUCCUUUUUGACCUUGAAAACCCAUUUCAGGCCAAUUGCCUUGUGUUUGGGUGGCAACACACUGGCAUCCCAGGUUCGGUUCGCCUCUAUUGCCUCCAUUUCUGCCUGCAUGGCUUGCUUCUAGCACUCCUCCAUCAUUGCCUCUUGAACUGAUCUUGGUUCCUCAGCCACAACAAGACAAAGUCCACUGUACUCAAAAUCCUGAACAUCUUCAGUAUCAUCCAGCAGAUCAACGAUGGUCCUAUACCGGAGUGGAGCACCUUCUGAAUCCAUGGACUCUCCACUGGGUGGCAUGGCGCACUGCAUCAAUGGUGUACCCAGAUUGGAAAUAGGAGUCCCAGGUGGUGUAUUUGCACCCCCUACUGAUGGAAUUGUCGCAACAGGCAAAACUGGCUCGAAACCGCGCACUGCAGCAUCGUCAGGUCCCAUUGCUGGACCGUGAACAGUAUCGUCAAUAUCAUCCCACUGAAAAUGAAAAGUUUUAGUUUUAUCUGCUGCCUCUUUCACCUAGCUGUCUUGCUUCCCUUCCCAAUUCCAUGGUUUCUCCUCAUCAAAGAUCACAUCAUGAGUCACCAUGACCUUGUUCUUCACUGGAUCAUAGAUACGAUAACCUUUUGUCCCCGGCUCAUAGCCAUGUCUUCCUUCCCUUCCCAAUUCCAUGGUUUCUCCUCAUCAAAGAUCACAUCAUGAGUCACCAUGACCUUGUCCUUUGUUGACGGUCCUUAAGUAUCAAAUUUAAUUAUCAAAUAAAUAAAGAAAAGGAUCCAAAUGAAAUCAAGAUUUAGACUUAGGGUUUUAUCUGACAGAAUUCCACGAGUUUUGGUGUUUGUCUAUUUCUGCAGGGGGUUAUCAGGAAAUAUGGAAGAAAGGCCCACAUGUCAGGAUUACGUAAAGAUAUUAACGUGCCGUGCAAUUAUCUUACAUCUAGAAGACUCCAGAAGCCACGAGACCGAAGCGGAGGCGAAACGGGGCCUGACCCUGGGCGGCCGCCCAGUUGGUCAGGGCGCCCGCCCUGCCCCUGAGUCCAAUCAGGACUCUGCUUUGCAGGAGAUCUCCACCGACCUAAAGGAUGAAUCUAAACCAUACAAUCUAUGUCGGUUUGAUCCAAGGGCCCAUAUUCACUUGAAGGGACUAUAAAACCAGACCCCCUGGCCCCUGGAGGAGAGAGCCUCUCAACCCUAAUUCAUUGUUCCAUCAAGGGAGAAGAAGCCUCUGAUCAAGAUUAGAGCCACCACAUCAAUUAGAUAUCUAUAUUAGCAUAGCUACAUAGGAUUAGAACUAGAAGGAGUCAAUCUUCGAUUGCUUUCCGGAUCUGUCAAGAGGAUUCUUGAUAAUUCUCUAAUUGUGCUUCUAAUUUCUUUCUAAUUAUCUUUGUUCUUCAAUAUUAUGAAUAUGACUUUGUUCUACUUCAAUAUAUUGCUUAUGACUUUGCUCUACUUGCUUAUAUUCAAGAUUAUAUUGUUCUUAGUUUAUCAUAGUUCUGUACUUGGCUUAGUUAGAUUCGAUCUAUAUACAUGCUUAGGAUCGUAUAGCGUUUAUCCAUCGGAUCCACGGGUAAAUGAUAGAUAUUGUGUAGGCGUGGUGCUUAUACCGUAUUUAUCUGCGAUUGUACCCAAUAUGCCAGAUCGUGGGGUGGUUCGUGAUAGUGACAGCUUCAUUGAUUCUUAUAUAGUCCCCCUCUCGUGUAUUGGGCUGGCAGAGCAACAUUAUUACUGGGGAGUGAUUGCUAUGUUUCUCAUAUUCCUUGCUAAUAUCACUAUGCAUGGGCGUAGUCUUGUCUCGCAAUGAUUGCUAAGUAUGCUUGCACUAACUAUGAUAAUGCUAGACUAUAUAGUUAAGAAUAACUUAGGGAAUAUUCUUGUAGUUCGUUCUAAUACCAUGCUAAUGACUUUCUAGAGUAUCUAAUUGAGGUGCUUAUCAUAGUUGUUAUGUGGCUAGAUCAGAUUAGUUAUCCUUGUCACUAUUAUUAUUUCAUAUAUCUUUUAUGUGACACUUAUCCCUGUAUGAUGAGUUAGAUAUAAUGUUCUCAAUUAUACAUGCAAUGAUAGAUGCUCAAUCUCAUAUUCUAUUCUGUAAUCAAUAUUGAUGAUUGCUAAUCCCUUCCCAGUGGUAAAAAUAUAAAUAACGAUACCUGGAAUACUUCCCGGUUAAAAUGCUGCAUCGGUAUUAAUCUGUGCGCUUGCAGAUCCCAUUCAUUAUUUAUUUAGAAGAGCAAUUGCAUAUUUCAAUACCGCGUCUCUCAUGUCAUGCUGGGGAUGACAACUUGGCUUAAGUGGUGUGAGGGAUAGGUUUGGCAUUUUUGGCACCGUUACUAGAUUUAGAGAACUUAGUCUACUUUUGGUAAUGAUGUUAAGAAUACCCAACAAGCAUUUUUGGCGUCGUUGCCAGGGAAGGUUGAUUACUAAUCAAGAAUGGAAUAAAAGAUUUCAAGUUAUCAUUCGCAUCACUAAUAUGAUUGAGCUUAUCUAUUCUCUCAUACAGUUUUACCCCGAUAUUUUUCUAUUUUAUCUUAUGCAGGGGAAUGUAUGAAUAGAAGACAUCUUCCAGGGAAUUUUGUUGACAAUCCCGAAGCAUUAUUCAAGAAGACAAGAGCCAAGCUAAAGAAAUCAUCAACACUUCACGAAGAAGUUUCAUCCAAUCCAGAAGAUCACCGGAACUUGUCUUCAGAGUUCGAAGCCAUGGCGAACAAAUCAAUCCGCGAGUUCUCAGCUCCCACUACGGACAACAUCCGCACUGGACCUGCUGCAGAGAUCGAUGGCAAUUUUGAGCUCAAGCCUGGACUUAUCAACAUGGUGCAAUCCAACCAGUUCUGUGGGAAGGCACACGAAGAUGCUAGUGCUCAUUUACAACACUUCCUGGAGAUUUGCAACACAUUCACCAUAGCAGGAGUUUCCAAAGACGCUAUACUACUUCGCCUCUUCCCAUUCUCACUGUUAGGAAGAGCGAAGCAGUGGUUCUACGCUACAAAGGAGAAGAAUACUACGUGGGCACUCUGCUCAACAAACUUCCUGGCAAAAUUCUUUCCCAUGGGCAAGACCAAUGCUCUCCGUGGGAAGAUUACAAGUUUUCAGCAACAAAAUGAUGAAUCUGUUCCAGAAGCAUGGGAGCGCUUUCAAGACUACAUCCUAGAAUGUCCCCAUCAUGGAAUGGAGAGUUGGCUAUUGAUGCAGAUAUUCUAUCAUGGGCUCGGCAACAGUGCCCGAGAAACCAUGGAUGCUGCAGCUGGAGGAGCAUUCUUAUCACUUACUAUACCACAAGCCACAACUCUUGUGGAGAAGAUGGCGUCCAACCAAAGCUGGAAUGAAGAGAGGACCCAGACACACAAGAGAGGUGGAGGCAUGCAUCAGCUGAAGGAGGUAGACAUGCUGUCUGCAAAGCUAGACCUGCUCAUGAAGAAGCUCGAUGAUAGAGCUGGAGACAAGAAAGAAGUUAUGCACAUCUACGACUCUCACAUGACUUGUGAGGAGUGUGGAGACACUGGACACUCAGGCAACCACUGCCCUGAGAUGCUUGAGGAUGUGAACUACAUCAACAACAACAACAACUACUACUACAAUCGUCCUCAACAAAAUCAAGGUUGGAAUCAACAGAAUCCUAACUACUCAGGUAAUUAUCAAGGUAACAAUUCUUACAACAACAAUAAUAAUUUUCCACCUUUGAGAGAGUUAGUGUCUAAUCAUGGAAAGCUAAUGGAUAAUCUAUCUAAGAAAUUGGCAUCUAAUGAUAAAAUGCUAGAAAAUAUAAAUAAUAGAAUGGAUAAUUUUUCUACUGCCAUCAAGAAUCAAAUUAGCUUUAAUAAAAUGAUUGAAUCUCAGUUAAAUCAAAUAGCUGCUGCUGUUCCUACUACUAACCCCGGUAUACCAUCACAACCGGAAGGAUUAGAAUCUGCAAAUCUUGUAGACAUGUUUGAUGCAGGUAAUUGGAGUAACCCCGUCACUGAAUUUUCUACUGACCGUCUGCCGGUCAAGAGAGGCGAUCCAGGACGCCCCGUCAUCCCGAUCUCCAUCGGCAUGGUGGACUUCCCAGAAGCACUCUGCGACUUUGGCUCUAGCGUCAACAUUAUACCCAGGGUACUCUAUGAGAAAUUCUUUACAUAUCCUUUAUUAGAAACAACCAUGUGUUUGCAGUUUGCAGAUCAGACGAUAACUUUUCCAAAAGGAAUAGUGAGGAAUCUUUGUGUCCGAGUUGGUACCUUGUAUGCCCCAGCAGACUUCGUAGUGGUAGAGACCGGGAAUGAUGAGAGAGCACCUAUCAUCCUAGGGAGGCCAUUCUUGAACACCACGGGAGCUAUCAUCUACGCUAGUGCUGCCAAGAUCAGUUUCUACGUCAAAGGGGAGAAGGAGACAUUUUUCUUCAAAAACAAGACUACACAAAUUCAAGAUCAAUCCAGACGUAAAUUAAGGAAGAGGACCAACAGGAGAAACAUGAACAAGCAAGUGUGGACCGAGUCAGCUAAGAUGGUCACUGUAGUCCAUGGAGGCCAAGAUCAUCAACUUAAGUCACCGUUUUUGACCAAGAAGGACGACCCAGAAAUGCCAAGCAUUUACUGCUCCAUAAAUGGAUACAACUUCUACAAGACGAUUUGCGACACCGGAUCGGGCGUUAACAUAAUGGCCGCAGUCACCUAUCGGCUCUUGUUUGGGACCCUGCCACUAAGACCAACAUACAUUCAGCUUCAGAUGGCAGAUCAGACAUUUCGAGAAGUUCAAGGAAUAGUAUCUGAUGUCCCAGUCAAAAUAGACGAUCACUUUGUCUACACAGACUUUCAAGUUGUUGACAUGGGAGAAGACGAGUACGAUCCACCCAUCAUCCUUGGAAGACCGUUCCUCAGCACUGUUAAGCAAUUAUCUACAUUGGAACCGGAGAAGUCCAUAUGCACUUCCCCUCAGAGAAGGUACGCUGUUAUUUUACUGAUCCUAACUAUAUUAUUGAAGAAUCUAAGCAGGUCAGAAAGAGACGCAACCGCAACCAGAGGAGGCAGAUCAUCAAGGACGGAUGGGCAGACUAUGAAGGAGAAGUUGUAAGGUCAGAAGACGUUGAGUUUAAACAGAAUUAUCCAGAGGAGAUUGAAGCACCAAGCUAGGUGUGGAAAAUGAAGAUAACUAUACAAGAAGAGGAGGCGCUGCCGGAAGUACCGACUACGCCACCCAACGAACCUCAGGACGAUUAAGAAAAUGGAGAGUCCCGUUCGGAGGACUUAAAAACACCGAACGCCUUGCCAAGAGGUAAACUUGGUAGUUAUCCUUUCCUUUUUAAUUAUUUCAAAUAGUUACUUAGUUAAUUAAGUUCGUGCUAUAUUAAAAAGAAAAUGAAAAAAAUGUGAAAAACAAUAAGCCCCAUGUGAGUAGACGAGUGGCAUACAACCCAUAAGUACAUUCACUGUGGUGGCAUAAAAUUUUUUCUGUUUUAUAAAAUAAAAAUAUAAAAACAGGGAGUAAUAUUUAUUAAGGAGUCUCAAGAUAAUAAAGGCUAGAUAUUUACGCUAACACUUAAUCAGUUCCACAAGCUUUGUUGUCUAUUUGAGGUCCACAGAAUUUAAGAAUCAAGAAGACUAGCAGACGGAGGACAUUUUAAUGGUUGUCAGAAUGCUGCUGACUUUUAAAUACACCUUUGCCACCUGCUAGCUACAUCAAGAGAAAUUACGUCAAAAUUCAGCUUGGGGGAGAGCACCCCCAUUUAUCUCGAUAAGUAUUUCUAUCUAUCUUUAUACUUAUAUUAUUUUAGAAUAUUAAAAUACACAUAAACUAUGGAAAACCAAAUAAAGAUUUUAUGCUUAUAUAUAUAUAUAUAUAUGUCUUUUGCUUAGUGUGUUUAAUAAAUAAAUAAAGUGGCUAUGCUAAUCUGUAUCUAAAUAAAACUUAAGCAUGGAUAUGAUAAAUAGUUGCUCUGCCUAAUUUGCGAAUUUUAAGUUCUCUCUCAAGUUUAGAUAUAACUGUUAUAAUUUAAGGCUUGCCCUAGACUUAAACUUGUGGGAUGAAAACUUGAUCUGAAGUAUAAGUUGUUAACGGAUAUGAUAUGGAAAGGUUGAGCUGCUGUUUAUCUGUUCCUAGAGAUGCUAGAAUUCUGGAGAAUUUUAUCUUUGAAAAUCUUUAAAAUGUUGCAUGAUGAGUUCCUGUAUGAUGAGAGUUUAAAUUCCUACCACAGCCAUAUAUACAUGCUUGCUAGACUUUGAGCCACACAUUUAUUAUUUACUGCUUAUGAGCAUUGAGUGUGGUCAAGCUGUGUAGACCCUUAGGAGCUUGUCAUGUGGUUAAAUCAAGAUUUCACUUGCACGUUCACUCAUAUAUGCUACUUCUACUCCGGAAGUACCAUCCACAUAUAUCCACCCAUUCCAUCUCCAGAACCAACCAAAAAUAUUCUACUCCUAAUCCGGGAGAGAAUAACCAAAAAUAUUUCUAUUUUCCCCUUGUGAAAUAAAUGCUCAAGUUAUCUUGUUACUACCACUUGCUAUAUUAUCUCAAGAGAUGAAUGCUCUAAAAAAAAAGAGAGAUACGAGGAAAUAAAAAGGAGCAAGUGCUCGGAACCUCGAAAGAAAAGAAAAAAAGUGAGACGAGAGGUAAAAAUGGACAAGUGUCCGACAGUAGAAUUAGGGGUACAAUAUACCCACCUGAGAGGAAAGGAAAAGAAGAGCUUCUCAUUCUCAUCAUAAAGUUUCAAAAGCAAGGAAGGUAUGUAUCCCCUCAAAGAGCAAAGUAGAAUUAGACUUCCAUCACCAUUGUUUCCACCAUUGUUAUCGCCAUCAUUACCAUACAUCAUUCAUUCGCUACACAUGCACAUCUUGAUUUGGCUUAUUGAUUUGUUUCUUUGGAUCCAUGGUUUGACUAUGCAAUAAAUGUCUUAUAAGUAUGUUAACUUUAUCUCCCACCUAUGAACUCCAGAUAUUAAAGCCUUAUUAGAGUAGGGUGAGAGAGAAGGCAAUGUCACUAUGCCUCAUACCACAAAUACCACAUAUCUUGAGAGAAGGCAUAUACCAUCACUGCCUUGGUAAGGAUCCAAAAAUACCAGAAAAGAGAGAUAUGAAAGAAUCAUACAAGGAAUCUCUGAGUUUUAUUUGAAAAUCUACAAAAACUCUAGAGCUAUAGCUGAUCAAGAAUAAGAGACAUGACACUUGACUAGACUGUUCUAUCUUUUAACCACUCAAGACAGAAGUGACGGUUACAAGUCCCAUGGUGAAGGUAAAGUAAGUAAGUUUUAAGUCUUGACAAUUUACUCUAACUCAGAGAUGAGAUCUUAUUUAAAAGCAUGUGUACCGUCAAAUUUUUAAAGAUAUUACAACUACUUAUGAUCCAUAACUGAGUCUAUCCUUGCUCAGGGACGAGCAAGAGGUAAGCUUGGGGGAGUUUGUUGACAGUCCUUAAGUAUCAAAUUUAAUUAUCAAAUAAAUAAAGAAAAGGAUCCAAAUGAAAUCAAGAUUUAGACUUAGGGUUUUAUCUGACAAAAUUCCACGAGUUUUGGUGUUUGUCUAUUUCUGCAGGGGGUUAUCAGGAAAUAUGGAAGAAAGGCCCACAUGUCGGGAUUACGUAAAGAUAUUAACGUGCCGUGCAAUUACCUUACAUCUAGAAGACUCCAGAAGCCACGAGACCGAAGCGGAGGCGAAACGGGGCCUGACCCUGGGCGGCCGCCCAGUUGGUCAGGGCGCCCGCCCUGCCCCUGAGUCCAAUCAGGACUCUGCUUUGCGGGAGAUCUCCACCGACCUAAAGGAGGAAUCUAAACCAUACAAUCUAUGUCGGUUUGAUCCAAGGGCCCAUAUUCACUUGAAGGGACUAUAAAACCAGACCCCCUGGCCCCUGGAGGAGAGAGCCUCUCAACCCUAAUUCAUUGUUCCAUCAAGGGAGAAGAAGCCUCUGAUCAAGAUUAGAGCCACCACAUCAAUUAGAUAUCUAGAUUAGCAUAGCUACAUAGGAUUAGAACUAGAAGGAGUCAAUCUUCGAUUGGUUUCUGGAUCUGUCAAGAGGAUUCUUGGUAAUUCUCUAAUUGUGCUUCUAAUUGCUUUCUAAUUAUCUUUGUUCUUCAAUAUUAUGAAUAUGACUUUGUUCUACUUCAAUAUAUUGCUUAUGACUUUGCUCUACUUGCUUAUAUUCAAGAUUAUAUUGUUCUUAGUUUAUCAUAGUUCUGUACUUGGCUUAGUUAGAGUCGAUCUAUAUACAUGCUUAGGAUCGUAUAGCGUUUAUCCAUCGGAUCCAUGGGUAAAUGAUAGAUAUUGUGUAGGCGUGGUGCUUAUACCGUAUUUAUCUGCGAUUGUACCCAAUAUGCUAGAUCGUGGGGUGGUUCGUGAUAGUGACAGCUUCAUUGAUUCUUAUAUAGUCCCCCUCUCGUGUAUUGGGCUGGCAGAGCAACAUUAUUACAGGGGAGUGAUUGCUAUGUUUCUCAUAUUCCUUGCUAAUAUCACUAUGCAUGGGCGUAGUCUUGUCUCGCAAUGAUUGCUAAGUAUGCUUGCACUAACUAUGAUAAUGCUAGACUAUAUAGUUAAGAAUAACUUAGGGAAUAUUCUUGUAGUUCGUUCUAAUACCAUGCUAAUGACUUUCUAGAGUAUCUAAUUGAGGUGCUUAUCAUAGUUAUUAUGUGGCUAGAUCAGAUUAGUUAUCCUUGUCACUAUUAUUAUUUCAUAUAUCUUUUAUGUGACACUUAUCCCUGUAUGAUGAGUUAGAUAUAAUGUUCUCAAUUAUACAUGCAAUGAUAGAUGCUCAAUCUCAUAUUCUAUUCUGUAAUCAAUAGUGAUGAUUGCUAAUCCCUUCCCAGUGGUAAAAAUAUAAAUAACGAUACCGGGAAUACUUCCCGGUUAAAAUGCUGCAUCGGUAUUAAUCUGUGCGCUUGUAGAUCCCAUUCAUUAUUUAUUUAGAAGAGCAAUUGCAUAUUUCAAUACCGCGUCUCUCAUGUCAUGCUGGGGAUGACAACUUGGCUUAAGUGGUGUGAGGGAUAGGUUUGGCAUUUUUGGCACCGUUACUAGAUUUAGAGAACUUAGUCUACUUUUGGUAAUGAUGUUAAGAAUACCCAACAUCCUUCACUGGAUCAUAGAUACGAUAACCUUUUGUCCCCGGCUCAUAGCCAAAGAACACACCUGGAAUUGAUCUGUCAAUUAACUUGCUUAUCCCCGGGCCGGCCUUCUUCGCAUAUGCAAUACAGCCGAACGUCCUCAAAUGCUUGACGUCGGGUUUCCUACCAAACCAUGCUUCAUAGGUAGCCAUUCCUCUCAGACUCUUGGUUGGAGAGCGAUUUAGGAUAUAUACUGCUGUUUUCACAGCCUCACCGCAGAACUGGGAUAGAACUCCCAUACUAUUUAGUAAACACCUCUUCAUCUCCACUGUUGUCCGAUUCCUCCAUUCCAAAACCCCAUUCUAUUGUGGAGUAUAGGGCAUGGUCGUGUUGUGCUUAAUGCCAUGCUCAUUGCAGAAAACCACAAACCCCCUGGAGUUGAACUCGCCAUCGAGGUCCGUCCCUAGCGCCUUUAGGCAACGACUUGACUCCAAUUCUAUCACCGCCCUGAACUUCUUGAAGCAUGCCAGUGCUUCAUCUUUUCUUGCCAGCAAUUCGAGCCACAUAUAGCGGCUGUGAUCAUCAACCACGAGCAUGAAGUGAUCGGGCCACACAAGUCUGUGUGCACAUAGGACUUGCUUCCAGGUGUGAUUGUCGUGAUCGGGCCACACAAGUCUGUGUGCACCAGCUCGAGUCCUGUGGACACCCACCAUGCCGAAGCUUGAGGAAAUGGCGCACGAUGCUGCUUCCCUGAGGUGCAACCAUCGCACACUUGCUCCACCAUCUUGAUCAAUGGCAGUCCCUCUACCAUCUCCUUGGCACCGAGAUCAUGCAGAGCCCUAAAAUUCAAGUGACCGUACUGUGCAUGACAUCACCAGGCCUCCUCCUCCAUCUUGGUCAGUAGGCAAACAGGUGAUGACAGAUUCACUUUCAGCCAGUACAAGCAAUUCAUCCUUUCUGCUCUGAUCACGACACCUCUUUCCACACCAAGUUGUUCCCGGUCGAACACCACCAGAACACCUUUGUCAAUCUCGACACGACAUCCUGCUUCUUUGAGUUGGCCAAGACUGUUAAUGUUGCAUUUCAAAGAGGGGAUGAAAAAUACCUCGAUGAGAAUGUGAUGCUCCUAAUUUCUGCCGACCAUUGUGACCGCACCAACCCCGCAAAUCUCCACGGUCGAUCCAUCGCCAACAUGAUAGAGCCAUGCACGGACUCGUCUAGGCUUACCAGUGAAGACCGACAGCCUGUCAUGUGAUUUGUUGCCCCUGUGUCAAGUAUCCAUGCUCCAUCAUCAUACUUCUUUGGGAACACACGUUCCAAACCUUGGGCCAAUGAUUCCGGUGUGCGCACAAUGUUGCACACCUAUGCCACCAAGAGAGCUGGUUUCAUCUCCGUGUCAGCAAGGACAUGGUGUGCGGCAUCUACAUGAUCCUCUGUUCCAGCCUUCUUGGUCAAGCACUCGUUGCCUAGUGCCCGUAGACACCACACUUUCGGCAUCUUCCCUUCCAUCGAGGCAUGCCCUUCGACGUGAGGGCACCACCGGACUCACACGUGUCAUGGCCAUGCUUGCCACCACCAGAUGAGACACCGCAGCCUCCAGAUUGAUCUUUUUUGAUAUAUUUUCUGCCUCCUUUCCCGCCACUAGAUGAUGAGUCAUCCACCAUGUGGCUCUUGUUCCUGGCCAUCCACUCUUCCUCUGUGAGCAGAAGACGACCAGUUUUGUCUGUUACUUGCUCGACCGUGGGCCCGAACCAAGCCUCCACCGCCCUGAGACGACCAAAAAGUUCCUUGAUGGAUAGGGUCUUUACUUCGCAGAACAUCUCGAUCGCCACCGCCACCUGAUUGUAGCGUGAUGGCACAACCCUCAAGAAUUUCUUCACCACCCACGCGUCAUCAACUCUAGUCUCGCCUAGACUGCGUAAUUCUGCCACGAGCUUUGUAAUUCUCAUGGUGAAUUCUUCAAUGGUCUCGCCGGUCUUGAAGGAUAUCGCUUCGAAAUCGCUCAACAACUUCUGCGCAUCCACCUCCUUGACCUGAUCUACUCCGAGAUGCAUUGUCUUUAGCGAUUCCCACGCCUCCUUUGCCAAUUUCUUAUUCAGCAACAUGGCGUGCAUGUCCUCAGAAACGCCCUUCAGCAUAGCACCCAUAGUGAGCCGAUCAUUCCUUUGAGAUUGCAUUGAACAUGGGCUGACCAUGAGUGGUAAUUAGUGCGCAUUAACAUCGGCCAUACCAGAUUGUAUGCGGCCUGAUUCCACACGCGCUGCAUCACCUCCUUGUCGGCUCCACUUGACUUUGGCGAGUUAGGUGCCAUGACUCCGAUGACGUUCAUGUCUUCUACCUCUUGAUUGUGAUAGAUUCAACAACCCAGCACCUAGCACAGCUCCUCUCUACAACCAAAAAUGCCUCCUGCCGGCUUCCUUUGGCUCCGAUACCAGUUGUUGGAGCACAACGCACUCUAGAGCUCGGAUCGCACCGGCGGAACAAUGGUGAUCGCGGCGAGUCUAACCUAGCAGAUGCAACAAACAAGAAGAUAUGGCGAUGCCAACCAUCGCAGGGUCUUUGUUCCUUGUUAUUUAUUCGUAAGUCUUGUGAUCUCAACAACCACAAUAUCCUCCCGCGCCAUACCGCGCAAAGAACGCGACACCGUUUCGAUCGGUCCACGCUAUGUGCGCCCGGCUCGACAUGACGCGGUGACCAACAGACACCGGGCUGGAUCGUGGAUCGUGAUCAUGCAUGUCAAUGAUCGUGCCCAUCCCCUAAACAUUUUCCUCCGCCAACGAGGCCAAUCUCACCAGGGGGCUAGCAGGGGCCAAGGCCCCCCUAUCGUACAAUACUUUUGUAUAUACUUCUGCUUCAGCCACUAGUAUAAGUAGUUAUUUUAAAGAAAAUAAGUUUUUCAAAGUAUUAUUUCUAUGGCUUUCCUUUAUCUUGGCCCCCUCUAAUUUGUUUCUCUGGCUCCGCCUCUGAAUAUCACCACCUCCGGCUCCGCAGCAUCAGCAUCCGCUGCGUACCAUUGUACCUAUCUAGCCGCUCUGAUGGCUAGGUGCACGUCAUCGACUAGGGUCCCAAUGCCAUACAAUGUGGAUCAAAGAGGUUGGUUGAGUUGGCCAAAUAAUGUAUUCACACACCUUGACAGCAAAAGGUUGACCAAGCCAUUGGGCUUGCAUUACCAGAUUGAGUACAAACAGGGUCACAACAACAGGUUGGCUAAUGCUUCUAGUUGCAGUGCUUUGUCGGCAGUGUCUCCAGUUUGGCUACAAUCGGUUGUGGCUUCCUAUGACUCGGAUCCUUCUAUCCGUUUGUUAGCUAAAUUGGCUGUUGAUGCCGCAGCGGUGUCCAAUUUCACCCUCCGCAUUGGUAUUCUCAGGUACAAGGACGAUAUAUGGGUGGGCGCAGAGACUUUUAUCUGCAGGCUCGUUUGCUGCCAGCGAUACAUGCUAGUCCAGUUGGUGGCCAUUCGGGAAUUCCAGUGACUCUGCACUGCGCUAAGCGGCUGUCCGUGUGGCGCAGUUUCAAAGCUUCAGUAAAGGAGUUUGUGCCUUCGUGUCCGGUAUGUUAGCAGGCAAAGCCUGACCAAUUUCAUUUGCCCAGGUUGUUUCAGCCGCUGGCCGUUUUCGAUCAUGCUUCACUACUACAGAUUUGGUUCACUGCCGACUGUAUCACUGCCGGAUUUAAAAAGACCAACAAUGAUAGUGCUUCCCGGUACAUCACUAUCGGUUUUUGGCUUCAACCGAUAGUAAUAGGGUCAACCCAUAGUAAAAAUCGGGUCUUCACUACUGGUUCAUAUUUAAGCCACGAACCGACAGUGAUAUGAGGUUAUGACUGUCGGUUUUAGCCAAGAAUCAAUACUGAUGUUAUCACUAUCAGUUUGUGGCUGGUACCGAUAGUGAUAUGCAAGAAAACUUCGUAACUUUCUCAUAUGAUGUCCAAGGAAAUGAACUUUAUAUCAAAUUUGUAGUAUUCGAUGAGAUCUAUAAAUUUGUAGUUUAAACUUUUUUAAUUUGAGAUCGUUUAGAUGUCCAAAUAUUUAUAAUUUAAAAUUUAAAUUUUUCAAAUGACCUUGAAUGAAGAAACAACUAAAAUAAAAGUUUUAGAUCUUGAAAAGCUAUGAAACAUUAUAGUUGAUAACUUUUUCAUUUAAAAUAAACUUAUCAAGGUUAACUACAUUUGAAUUUCUCAAAUUUGGAAUUUAAAUUUUGUAAACGACCUUGGAUGAAGAAACUCCCGGAAUGAAAGUUAUAGAUCUUGGAAAAUUAUACAACUUUUUAGUUGACAACUUUUCGAUUUGAAACCAUCUUGUCAAGGAAAACUAUGUUUGAAUUUUCAAAAAAUGAAUUUUGAAUUUUAUAAAUGACCUUGGAUGGAUAAACAAAAAAAAAGUUGUAGAUCUCAAAAAGUUAUAAACUUAUAGUUGACAAUGUUUUAAUUUGAAAUCAUCUUGUCAAGAAAAAUUACAUUUGAAUUUCUCGAAUUUAAAAUUUAAAUUUUGUAAAAGAACCUCCUGCUCCAUUGCAGACACAGAACGAGUGCCCUACGAAGCAGAGGAACCACCAGAGCCAUAAAAGUUGCGUCUAUCACUAUGCCCUUACCAGUUGUGCUACUUCUUGUGACAGUCCUUCUCGGCCAUAGAGCUUGCAGUAGCCACACUGCACACCAAAAGGUACCCCCACCCUGACCGGAGACUGGGACAAAGGCGGAGAGACCAAUGGAGAUGUGACCACUAGAACGGAGGGCUACGGCAGAGCACAACUCACACCUCUAGCUCAAAGACGGUUCUCCUUAGCUCGUAGCUCAGGCGUUGCCGCUGCAAGCGAUGGGCACGAAUGAUAGGUCAAUAGCUAUGCGCGAACAGUCUCAAACUCUGAACGUAGAUGAGAGAGGAACUCAUGGAGAUGAAGUGUGUCUCUGAUCCCGGUGGCGGGCACAGCACCGACAAGUACCACAACCGCAUAACUCGACACCCAAACCAUCAAGACGAUGCCAGACGUCUGUCAUCUAACGGUGGAAGUCCUCAACUGUAGAAUCAAGCUAGCGAAGUGACUGAGCCUCCUCAACAAUAGCAAGGUACAUUGCUUGAUUAUAGAUAUCGUAACUAUGACGGAGGUGAUCCCAUAUGAGGUGUGAAGUGGCAAGUAAGAUGGUCUUAGCAGAUUUCUCCUCACACAGCCAAGUCUCAUAGACACCAAGAUCAGAGUGAUAGCUCUCUAUUUGAGCCUCAAAUGCAUCGGGUGGGUAGAUGGGUGAAGGGUCAAGAUGGCGGACUAGAGGGGGGUGAAUAGUCAUUUCUAAAACUUAUCGCGCCGGCUAACCGAAUUAAGUGCGAAAUUAAAACUAUCGGUCUAGCCAAGACUAUACCCCUCUAUCUAAGUUCUCUAGCACCUUGUAAAAGAUCCUAAACAAGCAAACAAGGUGUUAGCAAGAGCUUACCUAACCAAUUCUAGGAGCAAGGUCACACAAACCUAUGUCACUAGUACUUUGCACACCGGGGGAGCUCCUACACUACUAGUAAGUAAAAGCACAAAGCUCCUAAGCUCACUAGCAAAGCUCAAUAACAAGGCAACUAAUGCCAAAUUAGAGAGCGCAACUAAAUUAACUACACAAACUAAGAAAAAUGACUAACAAGGUUAUACAAACCAAAUUAGCCACGCAAGGGAACUACUUCUAGCUAGACAAGCAAGAAGAUAACUAGAAAGCUACACAAGCUAACUAAUUACAAGCAACUACGCAAGCACAAAUAUAUGAAUGUAAAUACAAGCUUGUGUUAGAGACUUGUGUUGAUAUUUGGUAACGCAAUAAGGAAAUGAUCCGCAAGCGCACGGAUAUUGGUGAGCAUUUCACCCGGGAGGUUAUCUAGAGUAUCGUAUUUAUAUUUUUACCACUGGGAGAAAGGGUGCAUCUGACUAACCAAAUCUAUUGCCACUACCCCUUUAGGCUACAAAGAAUGUUUCUCGAUGUGAGUGAUAAAUAGAGAAGACUACAACCGUAGUCUCGUUCUAACCUUGGUAAGGAUGAUCUACUGUUUUAUUGGGGAAGCUUACGGAAUCUAGACACCACAGAGAAUGUUCAACCCGCACCUAUAAACCCUAUCCUUCCUGCUAAUGAGAUAUGGUCUGCAAAGGUAACUCGUAAAUGUCACGUUCCUCGCUACUACCACAGUCUAGCUAGUCAAGGAAUAUCUAUGAGUAAUGUAGCCCAAACACCACGUCUACGCUAGAGAUGAUUACUCUAAACUCUACGCGAAGAGAUUAAAGUAAACUCAUAAACCAAAAGAACAAUAAAACAAGAACUUACUAGAAUUUAGAAGUCGAAAUACUGAAGAAUCCUAGGAGCAAGCCUCGGGUUAGAAGACUUGAUCCCGCAGGUACAAGCUCGGAGUAGACACCGACAGGCCGGGCUUCCUCCGAUCUACACCUCCACUCUAUGUCUCUCAAUCUAGUAGAAACUAGAAGAUCUAUUUCUACUUACAUUGGAUGCUAAGCCUAAAAAGAAAUUUUAUUUAGAGGAGAGGUAUUCCUUCGAGGGCUCCUCUCAACUCUAUGAUGAACUUGUCUCCUCCAGGGGCCAGGGGGUCUGGUUUUAUAGUCCCCUCAAGUGAACGUGAGCCAUUGGAUCAAACCGACAUUGAUUGGACGGUUAUCCUUGAUCCUUUAGGUCGGUGGAGUGUCGUCCACGAAAAGAGUUCCGAUUGGCAUCCAACAGAGGGCGGGCGCCCAAGGGAGGAGGGCGGGCGCCCUGCCCCGGGCCCGUUCAGCCUCCCGUUCGUUCCCGAGGCUUCUGGAGUCUUCUAGAUGAUAUAAAAUUUCGCGGCAUGUUAAUAUCUCUAUGUAAACCCGACGUGUGGGCCUUUCUUCCGUAUUUCCUGAUAACCCCCUGCAGAAAUAGACAAACACCAAAACUCGUGGAAUUCUGUCAGAUAAAACCCUAAGUCUGGGUGUUGGUUGCAUUUGGAUCCUUUUCUUUAUUUAUUUGAUGAUUAUAUUUGGUACUUAAGGACCGUCAACAACUUGUAAACCAACGGGAAGAAUAAUGUUGACACGAUGAUUUUCUCCCGAGGUUCACUUGGUUGCCACCAAGCUAUGUCUCCAUUGAGACAAGCUCCAAGGUUGCCGCCGGUCCUCUUGCUAGUGGUGACCCAGAAGUCACACUCUCCCAUGUGGAGUGCUUACCACAAGCUCUGAUACUUGACCCAACUGGACCACUUGUCGACCCUUCAUGUCUCGCUCUACUAGAGUUGCUCUUCGCGAUCCCCGCAGGGUGAGCACCGUAUCCCUCACAAUCUCUUCUCCAAAGCACCGCACAAUCUCCUUGUGUGCUUUAAUGGAGUCACAAGCCACCAAGCCGUCUAGGAGGUGGCAACCUCCAAGAGUAACAAGCACCACCGACUUGCAACACGAUCACCUAGUGCCACUCAAUGCAACCUCACAAUGCAAUUGCACUAGAAUCACGCACUCACACAAUCGAAUGAUCACUAUUAAGCAUAUGUGAGUUAGAGAGCUCCCAAGUAGCACCACAUAAGCCACCAAGGCCUUAGUGUGCUUAGCCACCGGCUAAAGCCGACCAAGACUACUAUUUAUAGCCCCAAGGGCUAAACUAGCCAUUGCCCAUUCACUGGGCAAAACUCGUGGGCACCGAACGUGUAGAAGGUGAGCCACCGGACGCUCGAACCUAGCGUCCAAUGCUCACGAAGUAGCCACAUGUCACUAGCUGUUUGAACUCGACCAUUGCUGCCAACAGCUAACUCACAUGAGUGCUUGAAAUAGUAGCACCGAACGCGUCUGAUGCACACAGGACCCGUAUGCGGAGAGGAUGUUUUUGACACUGGGUCAACGGACGUGGGCCACUGAACGCUCUCCUGUGUCUGAUGUUGUGAGCGCUUCUGCAGUGAACCACCAGACGCACAUCACGGGACUCGCUCACGUUACUGUACGCGGCCGGUGUGUACACCCUGUUGGGUAUUCUUAACAUCAUUAACAAAAGUAGACUAAGUUCUCUAAAUCUAGUAACGGUGCCAAAAAUGCCAAACCUAUCCCUCACACCACUAAAGCCAAGUUGUCAUCCCCAGCAUGAUAUAAGAGACGCGGUAUUGAAAUAUGCAAUUGCUCUUCUAAAUAAAUAAUGAAUGGGAUCUGCAAGCGCACAGAUUAAUACCGAUGUAGCAUUUUAACCGGGAAGUAUUCCAGGUAUCGUUAUUUAUAUUUUUACCACUGGGAAGGGAUUAGCAAUCAUCAAUAUUGAUUACAGAAUAGAAUAUGAGAUUGAGCAUCUAUCAUUGCAUGUAUAAUUGAGAACAUUAUAUCUAACUCUUCAUACAGGGAUAAGUGUCACAUAAAAGAUAUAUGAAAUAAUAAUAGUGACAAGGAUAACUAAUCUGAUCUAGCCACAUAAUAAAUAUGAUAAGCACCUCAAUUAGAUACUCUAGAAAGUCAUUAGCAUGGUAUUAGAAUGAACUACAAGAAUAUUCCCUAAGUUAUUCUUAACUAUAUAGUCUAGCAUAUCAUAGUUAGUGCAAGCAUACUUAGCAAUCAUUGCGAGACAAGACUACGCCCAUGCAUAGUGAUAUUAGCAAGGUAAAUGAGAAACAUAGCAAUCACUCCCCUGUAAUAUUGUUGCUCUGCCAGCCCAAUACACGAGAGGGGGACUAUAUAAGAAUCAAUGAAGCUGUCACUAUCACAAACCACCCCACGAUCUGGCAUAUUGGGUACAAUCGCAGAUAAAUACGGUAUAAGCACCACGCCUACACAAUAUCUAUCAUUUACCCAUGGAUCCGAUGGAUAAAUGCUAUAUGAUCCUAAGCAUGUAUAUAGAUCGAAUCUAACUAAGCCAAGUACAUAACUAUGAUAAACUAAGAACAAUAUAAUCUUGAAUAUAAGCAAGUAGAGCAAAGUCAUAAGCAAUAUAUUGAAGUAGAACAAAGUCAUAUUCAUAAUAUUGAAGAACAAAGAUAAUUAGAAAGUAAUUAGAAGCACAAUUAGAGAAUUACCAAGAGUCCUCUUGACAGAUCCAGAAACCAAUCGAAGAUUGACUCCUUCUAGUUCUAAUCCUAUGUAGCUAUGCUAAUCUAGAUAUCUAAUUGAUGUGGUGGCUCUAAUCUUGAUCAGAGGCUUCUUCUCCCUUGAAGAACAAUAAAUUAGGGUUGAGAGGCUCUCUCCUCCAGGGGCCAGGGGGUCUGGUUUUAUAGUCCCUCCAAGUGAAUAUGGGCCAUUGGAUCAAACCGACAUAGAUUGUAUGGUUUAGAUUCAUCCUUUAGGUCGGUGUAGAUCUCCCGCAAAGCAGAGUCCUGAUUGGACUCAGAGGCAGGGCGGGCGCCCAGGGUCAGGCCCCGUUUCGCCUCCGCUUCGGUCUCGUGGCUUCUGGAGUCUUCUAGAUGUAAGAUAAUUGCGCGGUACGUUAAUAUCUCUAUGUAAUCCCGACGUGUGGGCCUUUCUUCCGUAUUUCCUGAUAACCCCCUGCAGAAAUAGACAAACACCAAAACUCGUGGAAUUCUAUCAGAUAAAACCCUAAGUCUAGAUCUUGAUUUCAUUUGGAUCCUUUUCUUUAUUUAUUUGAUAAUUAAAUUUGAUACUUAAGGACCGUCAAGAAACUCCCCCAAGCUUACCUCUUGCUCGUCCCUGAGCAAGGAUAGACUCAGCUAUGGAUCAUAAGUUGUUGCAAUAUUUAAAAAUUGACGGUACACAUGCUUUUUUAAAUAAGAUCUCAUCUAUGAGUUAGAGUAAACUGUCAAGACUUAAAACUUACUUACUUUACCUUCACCAUGGGACUUGUAACCGUCACUUCUGUCUUGAGUGGUUAAAAGAUAGAACAGUCUAGUCAAGUGCCAUGUCUCUUAUUCUUGAUCAGCUAUAACUCUGGGAUUUUUGCAGAUUUUCAAAUAAAACUCAGAGAUUCCUUGUAUGAUUCUCUCAGAUCUCUUUUUUGUGGUAUUUCUGGAUCCUUACCAAGGCAGUGAUGGUAUAUGCCUUCUCUCAAGAUAUGUAGUAUUUGUGGUAUAAAGCAUAAUGACAUUGUCUUCUCUCUCACCCUACUCUAAUAAGGCUUUUAUAUCUGGAGCUCUUAGGUGGGAGAUAAAGUAUACAUACUUAGAAGACAUUUAUUGCAUAGUCAAACCAUGGAUCCAAAGAAACAAAUCAAUAAGUCAAAUCAUGAUGUGCAUGUGUGGCGAAUGAAUGGUGUAUGGUGAUGAUGGUGAUAACAAUGGUGAAAACAAUGGUGGUGGAAGUCUAAUUCUACUUUUGCUCUUUGAGGGGAUAUAUACCUUCCUUGCUUUUGAAACUUUAUGAGGAGAAUGAGAUGCUCUUCUUUUUCCUUUCUUUUCUCUCAGGUGGGUAUCUUGUACCCCUAAUUCUACUGUCGGACACUUGUCCAUUUUUACCUCUCGUCUCACUUUUUCUUUCGAGGUUCUGAGCACUUGCUCCUUUUUAUUUCCUCGUAUUAUUAUUUCUUUCUUUUUUUAGAGCACUCAUCUCUUGAGAUAAUAUAGCAAGUGGUAGUAACAAGAUAACUUGAGCAUUUAUUUCACAAGGGAAAAACAGAAAUAUUUUUGGUUAUUCACUCCCGGAUUAGGAGUAGAAUAUUUUUUGGGUGAUUCUGGAGAUGGAAAUGGAUGGAUAUAUGUGGAUGGUACUUCCGGAAUAGAAGUAGCAUAUAUGAGUGAACGUGCAAGUGAAAUCUUGAUUUAACCACAUGACAAGCUCCUAAGGGUCUACACAGCUUGACCACACUCAAUGCUCAUAAGUAGUAAAUAUUAAAUGUGUGGCUCAAAGUCUAGCAAGCAUGUAUAUAUGGCUGUGGUAGGAAUUUAAACUCUCAUCAUACAGGAACUCAUCAUGCAACAUUUUAAAGAUUUUUAAAGAUAAAAUUCUCCAGAAUUCUAGCAUCUCUAGGAACAGAUAAACAGCAGCUCAACCUUCCCAUAUCGUAUCCGUUAACAACUUAGACUUCAGAUCAAGUUUUCAUCCCACAAGUUUAGGUCUAGAGCAAGCUUUAAAUUAUAACAGUUAUAUCUAAACUUGAGAGAGAACUUAAAAUGUGCAAAUUAGGCAGAGCAACUAUUCAUCAUAUCCAUGCUUAAAUUUUAUUUAGAUACAGAUUAGCAUAGCCACUUUAUUUAUUUAUUAAACACACUAAGCAAAUGAGAUAUAUAUAUAUAUAUAUCAUUUGCUUAGUGUGUUUAUUUGGUUUUCCAUAGUUUAUGUGUAUUUAUAUUCUAAAAUAAUAUAAGUAUAAAGAUAGAUAGAAAUACUUAUCGAGAUAAAUGGGGGUGCUCUCCCCCAAGCUGAAUUUUGACGUAAUUUCUCUUGAUGUAGCUAGCAGGUGGUAGAGGUGUAUUUGAAAGUCAGCAGCAUUCUGACAGCGAUUAGAAUGUCCUCCGUCUGCCAGUCUUCUUGAUUCUUAAAUUCUGUGGAGCUCAAAUAGACAACAAAGCUUGUGGAAGUGGUUAAGUGUUAGCAUAAAUAUCUAGCCUUUAUCAUGUUGAGACUCCUUAAUAAAUAUUACUCCCUGUUUUUAUAUUUUCGUUUUUAUAGAGCAGAAAAAAAAUAUUUAUUUUAUUUUUAUGCCACCACAGUGAAUGUACUUAUGGAUUUUAUGCCACUCGUCUACUCACAUGGGGCUUACUGUUUUUCACAUUUUUAUUUUCUUUUUAGGAUAGCAUGAACAUAAUUAACUAAGUAAACUAGUUGAAAUAAUUGAAAGGGAAAGGAUAACUACCAAGUUUACCUCUUGGCAAGGCGUUCGGUGUUUUUAAGUCCUUCGAACAGGACUCUCCAUUUUCUUAAUCGUCCUGAGGUUCGUUGGGUGCCGUAGUCGGUACUUCCGGCAGCGCCUCCUCUUCAUGUAUAGUUAUCUUCAUUUUCCACACCUGACUUGGUGCUUCCGUCUCCUCUGGAUAAUUCUGUUUAAACUCAACGUCUUCUGACCUUACAACUUCUCCUUCAUAGUCUGCCCAUCCGUCCUUGAUGAUCUGCCUCCUCUGGUUGCGGUUGCGUCUCUUUCUGACCUACUUAGAUUCUUCAACGAUAUAGUUAGGGUCAGUAAAAUAACGGCGUACCAUCUCUGAGGGGAAGUGCAUAUGGACUUCUCCGGUUCCAAUGUAGAUAAUUGCUUUAACGGUGCUGAGGAAUGGUCUUCCAAGGAUGAUGGGUGGAUCAUACUCGUCUUCUCCCAUGUCAAUAACUUGAAAGUCUGUGUAGACAAAGUGAUCGUCUAUUUUGACUGGGACAUCAGUUACUAUUCCCUUGACUUCUCGAAAUGUCUGAUCUGCCAUCUGGAGUUGAAUGUAUGUUGGUCUUAGUGGCAUGGUUCCGAACAAGAGCCGAUAGGUGACUGCGGCCAUUAUGUUGACGCCCGAUCCGGUGUCACAAAACGUCUUGUAGAAGUUGUAUCCAUUUAUUGAGCAAUAGAUGCUUGGCAUUCCUGGGUCGUCCUUCUUGGUCAAAAGCGGUGACUUAAGGUGGUGAUCUUGGCCUCCAUGAACUACAGUGACCAUCUUAGCUGACUCGGUCCACACUUGCUUGUUCCUGUUCCUCCUGUUGGUCCUCUUCCUUGACUCACGUCUGGAUUGAUUUGGAAUUUGUGUAGUCUUGUUCUUGAAGAAAAAUGUCUCCUUCUUCCCUUUGACGUAGAAACUGAUCUUGGCAGCACUGGCGUAGAUGAUAGCUCCCGUGGUGUUUAAGAAUGGCCUCCCUAGGAUGAUAGGUGCUCUCUCAUCAUUUCCGGUCUCUACCACUACGAAGUCUGCUGGGGCAUAUAAGGUACCAACUCGGACACAAAGGUUCCUCAAUAUUCCUUUUGGAAAAGUUAUCGUCUGAUCUGCAAACUGCAAACACAUGGUUGUCUCUAAUAAAGGAUAUGUAAAGAAUUUUUCAUAGAGUACCCUGGGUAUAAUGUUGACACUGGAGCCAAAAUCACAGAGUGCUUCUGGGACGUCCACCAUGCCGAUGGAGAUCGGGAUGACGGGGCGUCCUGGAUCGCCUCUCUUGACCGGCAGAAGGUCAGUAGAGAAUUCAGUGACGGGGUUACUCCAAUUACCUGCAUCAAACAUGUCUACAAGAUUUGCAGAUUCUAAUCCUUUCGGUUGUGAUGGUAUACCGGGGUUAGUAGUAGGAACAGCAGCAGCUAUUUGAUUUAACUGAGAUUCAAUCAUUUUAUUAAAGCUAAUUUGAUUCUUGAUGGCAGUAGAGAAAUUAUCCAUUCUAUUAUUUAUAUUUUCUGACAUUUUAUCAUUAGAUGCCAAUUUCUUAGAUAGGUUUUCCAUUAGCUUUCCUUGAUUAGACACUAACUCUCUCAAAGGUGGAAAAUUAUUAUUGUUGUUGUAAGAAUUGUUACCUUGAUAAUUACCUGAGUAGUUAGGCCUCUGUUGAUUCCAACCUUGAUUUUGUUGAGGACGGUUGUAGUAGUAGUUGUUGUUGUUGAUGUAGUUCACGUCCUCAAGUAUCUCAGGGCAGUGAUUGCCUGAGUGUCCAGUAUCUCCACACUCCUCACAAGUCAUGUGAGAGUCGUAGAUGUGCAUAACUUCUUUCUUGUCUCCGGCUUUAUCGUCGAGCUUCUUCAAGAGCAGGUCUAGCUUUGCAGACAACAUGUCUACCUCCUUCAGUUGAUGCAUACCUCCACCUCUCUUGCGUGUCUGGGUCCUCUCUUCAUUCCAGCUUUGAUUGGACGCCAUCUUCUCCACAAGAGCUGUGGCUUGUGGUAUAGUAAGUGAUAAGAAUGCUCCUCCAGCUGCAGCAUCCAUGGUCUCUCGGGCACUGUUGCCGAGCCCAUGAUAAAACGUCUGCAUCAAUAGCCAACUCUCCAUUCCAUGAUGGGGACAUUCUAGGAUGUAGUCUUGAAAGCGCUCCCAUGCUUCUGGAACGGAUUCAUCAUUUUGUUGCUGAAAACUUGUAAUCUUCCCACGGAGAGCAUUGGUCUUGCCCAUGGGAAAGAACUUUGCUAGGAAGUUUGUCGAGCAGAGUGCCCACGUAGUAUUCUUCUCCUUUGUAGCGUAGAACCACUGCUUCGCUCUUCCUAACAGUGAGAAUGGGAAGAGGCGAAGUAGUAUAGCAUCUUUGGAAACUCCUGAUAUGGUGAAUGUGUUGCAAAUCUCCAGGAAGUGUUGUAAAUGAGCACUAGCAUCUUCGUGUGCCCUCCCACAGAACUGGUUGGAUUGCACCAUGUUGAUAAGUCCAGGCUUGAGCUCAAAGUUGCCAUCGAUCUCUGCAGCAGGUCCAGUGCGGAUGUUGUGCGUAGUGGGAGCUGAGAACUCGUGGAUUGAUUUGUUCGCCAUGGCCUCGAACUCUGAAGACAAGUUCCGGUGAUCUUCUUGAUUGGAUGAAGCUUCUUGCUGAAGUGUUGAUGAUCUCUUCUUGAGCGUGGCUCUCGUCUUCUUGAAUAAUGCUUCGGGAUUGUCAACAAAAUUUUCUGGAAGAUGUCUUCUACUCAUACAUUCCCCUGCAUAAGAUAAAAUAGAAAAAUAUCGGGGUAAAACUGUAUGAGAGAAUAGAUAAGCUCAAUCAUAUUAGUGAUGCGAAUGAUAACUCAAAAUCUUUUAUUCCAUUCCUGAUUAGUAAUCAACCUUCCCCGGCAACGGCGCCAAAAAUGCUUGUUGGGUAUUCUUCACAUCAUUACCAAAAGUAGACUAAGUUCUCUAAAUCUAGUAACGGUGCCAAAAAUGCCAAACCUAUCCCUCACACCACUUAAGCCAAGUUGUCAUCCCCAACAUGAUAUAAGAGACGCGGUAUUGAAAUAUGCAAUUGCUCUUCUAAAUAAAUAAUGAAUGGGAUCUGCAAGCGCACAGAUUAAUACCGAUGUAGCAUUUUAACCGGGAAGUAUUCCAGGUAUCGUUAUUUAUAUUUUUACCACUGGGAAGGGAUUAGCAAUCAUCAAUAUUGAUUACAGAAUAGAAUAUGAGAUUGAGCAUCUAUCAUUGCAUGUAUAAUUGAGAACAUUAUAUCUAACUCUUCAUACAGGGAUAAGUGUCACAUAAAAGAUAUAUGAAAUAAUAAUAGUGACAAGGAUAACUAAUCUGAUCUAGCCACAUAAUAAAUAUGAUAAGCACCUCAAUUAGAUACUCUAGAAAGUCAUUAGCAUGGUAUUAGAACGAACUACAAGAAUAUUCCCUAAGUUAUUCUUAACUAUAUAGUCUAGCAUAUCAUAGUUAGUGCAAGCAUACUUAGCAAUCAUUGCGAGACAAGACUACGCCCAUGCAUAGUGAUAUUAGCAAGGUAAAUGAGAAACAUAGCAAUCACUCCCCUGUAAUAUUGUUGCUCUGCCAGCCCAAUACACGAGAGGGGGACUAUAUAAGAAUCAAUGAAGCUGUCACUAUCAUGAACCACCCCACGAUCUGGCAUAUUGGGUACAAUCGCAGAUAAAUACGGUAUAAGCACCACGCCUACACAAUAUCUAUCAUUUACCCAUGGAUCCGAUGGAUAAAUGCUAUACGAUCCUAAGAAUGUAUAUAGAUCAAAUCUAACUAAGCCAAGUACAUAACUAUGAUAAACUAAGAACAAUAUAAUCUUGAAUAUAAGCAAGUAGAGCAAAGUCAUAAGCAAUAUAUUGAAGUAGAACAAAGUCAUAUUCAUAAUAUUGAAGAACAAAGAUAAUUAGAAAGUAAUUAGAAGCACAAUUAGAGAAUUACCAAGAAUCCUCUUGAUAGAUCCGGAAACCAAUCGAAGAUUGACUCCUUCUAGUUCUAAUCCUAUGUAGCUAUGCUAAUCUAGAUAUCUAAUUGAUGUGGUGGCUCUAAUCUUGAUCAGAGGCUUCUUCUCCCUUGAAGAACAAUGAAUUAGGGUUGAGAGGCUCUCUCCUCUAGGGGCCAGGGGGUCUGGUUUUAUAGUCCCUCCAAGUGAAUAUGGGCCAUUGGAUCAAACCGACAUAGAUUGUAUGGUUUAGAUUCAUCCUUUAGGUCGGUGGAGAUCUCUCGCAAAGCAGAGUCCUGAUUGGACUCAGAGGCAGGGCGGGCGCCCUGACCAACUGGACGGGCGCCCAGGGUCAGGCCCCGUUUCGCCUCCGCUUCGGUCUCGUGGCUUCUGGAGUCUUCUAGAUGUAAGAUAAUUGCGCGGUACGUUAAUAUCUCUAUGUAAUCCCGACGUGUGGGCCUUUCUUCCGUAUUUCCUGAUAACCCCCUGCAGAAAUAGACAAACACCAAAACUCGUGGAAUUCUGUCAGAUAAAACCCUAAGUCUAGAUCUUGAUUUCAUUUGGAUCCUUUUCUUUAAUUAUUUGAUAAUUAAAUUUGCUACUUAAGGACCGUCAACACAACCCAGUAAGUGUCACUUACCGGACUCACAGAGCGCGUCCGGUGCAGCGUCCGAUGCUAAGUCCGAUGACUCUGAGAACAGCGUUCGGUGAGUGUUUUUCCAGUGAAAAACACUCUCGUAACUUCUUCGGUGUAAUAGAAAAUAUGUGUUUCAUUUUCUAAAAAAAGCGCCGAAUCCCGCCUCGCAAGCUCGGUGGGAGGGAGAGAGGAACCCAAACCCCUCUCUACCCUAGGAACUCCACCUCCUUUGCAAAUAUGCUAACACCACCAAGAGACCACCACCAAUGUGCAAGUGUGUUAGCAUUUUCACAAACAUUUUCCCAAAGGAGUCAGCCUCUCAACUUGCCACGCCACUCGAUGCUAACAUGUAUGCAAAGUUAGAUCGCUCAAGUGGCGUUAGAUGACCGAUAUGCAAAAAAGUUUGCCCCUCUUGAUAGUAUGAUCAUCUAUCCUAAAUUCGGUCAUAAACUUCUCUACACACCUAUGACCGGUGAAAUGGAAAUACCCUAGGUUAUACCUUUGCCUUGCGCUUUCCAUUCCAUCUCCUCUAAUGUUGAUGCAACACAUGCACCAAACAAUCACCAAAUGAUAUGAUCCGCUUCAUAUCAUUACGUGACCAUAUUGGUUCAUCGAUCUUGACCUCACUUGCUCUUCACCUUUACCUUGGUCCAUCGGCGUGAAGUCUUGCUCAAGCUUUACCAUCACACGCGGUCCCUCGCUUCAAAGCCCCUGACUUGCCCUUCACUCUUGCAACUGGUCCAUCGAGCCAAGCCUCAUCUUGAUCUUCUCAAACUUGGUCACAUGACUCCAUGUCAUGUCUCAUAUGCAAUGAGUUCCUCCAUCAUCACAUAAUCACUUGUGGACUAAUCUCUUGUGUAUCUCACAUAAACACUAUUAGUUCACCUAAUUUGUCACUCAAUUACCAAAACCAAACAAGGACCUUUCAAUGGGUGGUGUAGGAAGAACAAGAUAGGGAGGAUUGACCCACAUUCCCAUGAUGUAGUACCACAAGAUUUGCCCAUCCAUGUAGACCUCAAGAUGAAAAACAAAAUCACCCUAGUUGAUGCCAUUGAAGAUGACUGGACACCAAGUGAUAGGAAUGGCACUAGGGCAAGUGAGACCAAGGGACGGCCUGAGACAAGCAAGGAGCUACUGGUGUGUGUGCGUGUGUGUGUUUGGCAAAGGGAAAGGAAGCAGAGUCGAGCAUACGCACCGAAGAGGGAGAUGGAGGUGCGGAGCCAAGCCUCAAAAUAGAGGCGACAGAGGAGAGACGGAGGCCCCCCGGAGUCCAACCCCUUUGCCGCGCACGCCAUGUGCCUCUACCUCCACAAGGUCCACGAGCACCAGACCCACGCCCAGGGCUCUAUUAGGCCUGGGGCAGCCUUGACGCCCUCGUGGGCCACCUCUGUUCCACCUUCAAGGAGAACGGAGGCCGCCCAGAGUCCAACAUGAAUCAUGUGGCCAUGGUGCCAAGAGGUCGAGUGUGGGCGAGGUCUGCGCGGCCGGGCGAGGAGGAGAGGCCGAGUGGCACACGCAUGGGUAAGCAGUGCUAGAGAGGAAGGGUGGUAGGUGUGUGUUGCAUGCGUGGCCAGGUCCACAAGGUUGGGCAGGCUCGAAUCACCGGCGGCUGAGAAGGUGAGGAUUGAAACCCUAGUUGGAUACCAUGUUAGAAUAAGUGACCAGCUGUUGACGGUCCUUAAUGCUCACAUUUAACCAUCAACUAAUCAUAAAAAAGGAUCUAAAUGGAACCAACAUCUAGAUUUAGGGUUUUAUCUGAUAGAAUUCCAUGAGUUUUGGUGUUUGUCUAUUUCUGCAGGGGGUUAUCAGGAAAUACGGAAGAAAGGCCCACACGUUGGGUUUACAUAGAGAUAUUAACGUGCCGCGCAAUUUUCUACCAUCUAGAAGACUCCAGAAGCCACGGGAACGAACGGGAGGCCGAUCGGGCCCGGGGGCAGGGCGCCCACCCUCCCCCCUUGGGUGCCCGCCCUGCUACAGUGCCCAAUCAGGGUUAACUUCGCGGAUCGUGCUCCACCGACUCUAAGGAUCGAGGAAAAUCACACGAUUAAGGUCGGUUUGAUCGGAUGGUGGAGAAUAACAUGGAAAUUCCUUGGGAGCUACUCUUCCUAGAUUUCUUGGGAGCUACUCUUCCUAGAUUUCUUGGGGGCUACUCUUCCUGGACUAUAUAAGCAGACCCCCACCAGCCCCUGGAGGCAUACCUCUUCUACAGAAUCAAAACUAGGGUUUAAAUUCUUCAUCCAAGUAGAGAGGAUCCCUCUAGUUCUUCUAGUUCUACCUCUAGUUCAUCUAGAUCUAGUUCUAGUUCAUCUAGUUCUAGUUCUAGUUCUUCUAGUUCUAGUUCUAGUUCUAGUUAGUUCUAGUUGUAAUCUAGAAAAUAGGGAGAGAGAAGAGGAGAGCGGAGGAGGAGCCGGAUCUGUCGGAUCUUCCUCAACAUUGUACUUUUGCAGCAACUGGUUCGUUCUUCAUCGUUCUCCAGGUUCUUCAAUUCAUAAUUCCUGAGUUCUUUAAUUACUUUUAUUUACAUUCAAGUUAUUUAUUGGAUUCCCGCUUGCAUCAAGUGCUCUAGUCUUAUAACGCUAGAGUAGUAAUUAAUAGAUUAGACGUGGUGUUUAGUCUUGCAGUUACCUGGAAUUGCACCCAAUCCUGUGGAUUGUUGUGGUAGCCUUAGGGUAGUGACAACCCUAACGGUCGACGUAUUCCACCUCAUUCGGAUCGGUGUUUGUAGGACCGUAGUCAGACCUUCCUAGCCCCCUUCUCAUCUCUUUCUGUGGUUAGUGCUCUGAUGUCCCGAUAUAGAUAAUCUUGAAGUAAUUCUUGAAUCUUAGAUCAACUAGAGAACUCUCAGGAAACUUCCUCUCUUCCCACCAAAAAUAAUUAUAUAGUUAUCCUUGGGCGAUCUUGAAUCUUAAUUAGUACACUCACGUUCUCUGUGGAAAAUCGAUACUCUAGAAUACUCCCGGGUAAAGGCUACAUCGGUAUCCGUGCGCUUGCGGAUUUUUCUGUUUGCGUUUAAAAUACCCAACAAGCUUUCUGGCGCCGUUGCCGGGGAGCGGUAGCUAUGCUAGUUUCGAACCAAGUUGUCCGUGUAUCCUUUUUCUUUUCCUUUUUUUACCACACUCACCUUACCAUUUUCACCAUACCACAUGGAUUUCACUCUAAGCAUUAAUGAGCAUGGAAUUUAUUUCAUAGCCGCUUCAUUUACUCCAUGCUCAUAUGCAACAUCUUCCCAAUCCAUUGGUUUUUCCAACAUCACCACAUUCGAGAUCUCCAACCCCCUCAUCCUUUCUAUUUAUAAAAACUUUAAAAGGGAGGUUGUCGAUGCAUAUGUCUAUAUUAAAUAUUGUAGAUCUCGUUGAGUUGAUCUUGAUAUAGGUCAGCGUUGGAGGGGAAACCACUUCGCCGACAUAAAUUGAUGGUUUCCCAAGGACAAGCUUAGUGUCCUAAAACAAGCAUUGAUCAGAUCGUAACAUGAGCUUUUAAUUAUUUACAACAUUACCUUGCGUGUUGAGCAUAUAAGGAUAAUUGUAAAAAAUUCCUUCGGGUAUUCUUGUCACUAACCUUUCCAGGAUUGGAGCAAGAAGAUCGGAUGAAUGACAAGCAUAAGGUAUGUCCAACCAAUCAUCAUAGAACAUUGAAUUAAAUUCAUCCAAAACUUGAAUUUUGCAAAAUUCAAGCUUGGGGGAGUACUUUACAUAAAAACAUCCUUUGCCCUGUUGCUAUGUUGGUUGUCCUUACCUUUAAGACAUGCUCAAUUUUGUUAAAUACUAAUCACACUACUUCAUCUCCACUUGAGUAGAUCUCUAUAAAUGCUUUCAUGCUACCUUUAUUUGCUUUAUUAUAUGUCUAGGAUUGGAGUAGUUUCAUUUAUCUCUUAAUUAAGCAUGGUGCUUAGUUUAGGAAUGAUGAUCUUACUUCCAAAGGAUUUUAAAUUAAGCAUGAUGCUUAGGUUAAAAUUCCCUCCUAAAUCAAAUUAGACAUGUUGUCUAGGUUGAUCUUUGAGCCGAUAGUAUGCUAUAGUAGAUAUUGGAUAUUUUGUUGGACUAACCCCUGCAGGAAAACUUUCAAUAUCGACCUGGGAAGUCCUGAGACAAACUCACAUUGGAGACAAAGAGAGAUGCACAUGAAGUUUAACAAUUUGCACGAGGAAGGCAUAGCUCAUAAGAGAUGAUCCAUGGAGGGUGCUACAAACACGAUGCACAACCGCUAAGAAAGGAAAGCUGCCACAAGGUGAUACUGUACCAUCACUCUUCAAGUAAGGUAACAUCUUAAGAUACUUCACUAUCACUUUUAUAAGCUUCUCCUUGGUUCUGGCGUUCACAUGAAUAAAAGAGACAAACAUGUAUGAUUUACAACUCUAGAUUAACCAACCCAAUUGAUUCAAUAUGUUUAGUCCUUCCACCUUUGUGAUUCCACACUCCUAAUCAUAUGAGCUAAAAUGUUGCACAUUCAAUAUUUGGAAGAUAUAAAUAAAACAUAAAUAUAGAUAGAUUAUCUUUCCAUUAGGUUGAGCGAUCUGAUAUGACAAAUGCUUUAAAUGUUACACUCAUGAUCUUAUUAUCCAACUUUGUCUUGCUCACUAUGCUUAAGGUUAGAGAGAACAAAUACACUUUAGGUUCUGUUGGUGUUUUCCACCAACAGGGCCCAUGCACUUGAUCUCUGCCUUGUCUCUAUGAGCAGGUACACUUCAAGCAAAAUAUGAAGGAGUUUUACAACUCCUAGACUCCACCAAGUGAUGAACCUAGAUCUACGAGCACAAACACACUAGAGAUACUGGACACUCAGGCAAUCACUGCCCUGAGAUGCUUGAGGACGUAACUACUGGAGUAACCCCAUUGUGGAAGUAAUUACUGACCUUCUGCCGGUCAAGAGAGACAAUCCAGGACGCCCCGUCAUCCCGAUCUCCAUCGGCAUGGUGGACUUCCUAGAAUCACUCUGUGACUUUGGCUCCAGCGUCAACAUUAUGCCCAGGCUUGCAGAUCGUACGCUAAGUUUCCCAAAGGGAAUAGUGAAGAACCUCUGCGUCCGAGUUGGUACCUUGUACGCCCGAGCAGACUUCGUGGUGAUAGAGACCGGUUCUGAUGAGAGGGCACCCAUCAUUCUAGGGAGGCCAUUCCUGAACACCUCGGGAGCAGUCAUCCACGCUAGUGCUGCCAAGAUCAGUUUCUACAUCAAGGGGAUGAAGGAGACGUUUUCCUUCAAAAACAAAACUACACAAAUCUCAGAGCAAUCCUGACAUGAACCAAGGAAAGGACCAACAGGAGGAACAGGAACAAGCAAGGGUGGACCGAGUCAGCUAAGAUGGUCACUGCAGUUCAAGGAGGUCAAGAUCAUCGACUUAAGUCACCAUUCUUGACCAAAAAAGGAUGACCUAGUCACCUAUCAGCUCCUAUUCAGAACCAUGCCCCUAAAACCGACAUACAUUCAGCUCCUGAUGGCAGAUCAGACAUUCUGAAAGAUUGAAGGUUAUUGAUAUGGGAGAAGACGAGUACGAUCCACCCAUCAUCCUUGGAAGGUCGUUCCUCAGCACCGUUAAAGCAAUCAUCUACAUUGAAACCGGAGAAGUCCACAUGCACUUCCUCUCUGAGAAGGUACGCUGCUAUUUUAAUGACCCUAACUAUAUAGUUGAGGACUCUAAGCAGGUCAGGACAAGAAGAAGACAAUGCAACCGCAACCAGAGGAGGCAAAUCAUCAAGGACGGAUGGGCAAACUACGAAGGAGAAGUAGUAAGGUCUGAAGACAUACAACUUGAACAGAACUAUCCUGAGGAGACCGUAGCACCGAGUCAGGUGUGCAGAGAGAAGAUAGUUAUACAUGAAGAGGAGGUGCCGCCGGAAGCACCGACUACGCCAUCCAGCGAAUCCUAGGACGACUCAGAAAACGGAGAGUCCCGUUCGGAGGACUUAAAAACACCGAACGCCUUGCCAAGAGGUAAACUUGGUAGUUAUCUUUUCCUUUCAAUUAUUUUAAAAUAGUUUGAUUAGUUAAUCAAGUUUAUAUCAACUUGAAAAGAAAAUAAAAAUGUUAAAAAUAGUAAGCCCCAUGUGAGUAUGCUCAUGGCAUAAAACCCAUAAGUACAUUCACUGUGGUGGCAUAAAAAUAAAAUAAAUAUAUUCUUGUCCUAUAAAAAUAAAAAUAUAAAAAUAAAUUUAUGAUCCUACUAAAGAGAGUAACAUUUAUUGAGGAGACUCAACAUGAUAAAGGCUAAAUAUUUAUGCUAACACUUAACUAGUUCCACAAAGCUUUGUUGUCUAUUUGAGCUCCACAGAAUUCAAGGAUCAAAGAAGUCUAGCAGACGGAGGACAUCCUAAUCGCUGUCAGAGUGCUGCCGACAUUCAAAUACACCUCCGCCACCUGCUAGCUACAUCAGAAGAAAUUAUGUCAAAAUCCAGCUUGGGGCAGAGCAACCCCAUUUAUCCAGCUAAGUGUUCUACUCACGUUUAUACUUUACUCGAAUAAUAAAAAGAUGCAUAAUCAUAAAAACCCAAAUAAAGAUUUUGUGCUUAUAUAUAUAUCUUUGCUUAGUUUGCUAAAUAAAUAAAUAAGUAAAGUUUGCUAUGAACCCUCAUGAUAAGCUCUCACAUGGAAAUGAUGAAUAGUUGCUCUGCCAUGUACCUAGUUUUCAGGUUUAAGCUUUCUCUCAAGUUUAGGCAUAACUGUUAUUAAUUAAGAUUUGCUCUAAACCUGAACUUGUGGGAAAAGUACUUGAUUUAAAGUCUAAGUUCUUAACGGAUAUGAUAUGCGAUGGUUGAGUUGUUGUUUAUCUGUUCCUAGAGAUGCUAGAAUUCUGGAGAAUUUUAUCUUUGAAAAUCUUUAAAAUGUUGCAUGAUGAGUUCCUGUAUGAUGAGAGUUUAAAAUCCUACCACAGCUAUAUAUACAUGCUUGCUAGACUUUGAGCCACACAUUUACUUUUUACCGCUUAUGAGCAUUGAGUGUCGUCAAGCUGUGUAGACCCUUAGGAGCUUGUCAUGUGGUUAAAAUCAAGAUUCACUUGCACGAUCACGCAUACAUGCUGCUUCUACUUCGGAAGUACGCAUCCACAUAUAUCCAUCCAUUUCCAUCUCCAGAACCACCCAAAAAUAUUCUACUCCUAAUCAGGGAGAGAAUAGCCAAAAACAUUUCUGUUUUCCCCUGUGAAAUAAAUGCUCAAGUUAUCUUGGUUACUACCACUUGCUAUAUUAUUUCAAGAGACGAGUGCUCUAAAAAAAAGAGAGAGAAAAAAAUAAAUACGAGGAAAUAAAAAGGGGCAAGUGCCCGGAACCUCGAAGAAAAGAAAAAGUGAGACGAGAGGUAAAAAUAGACAAGUGUCCGACAGUAGAAUUAGGGGUACAAGAUACCCACCUGAGAGGAAAGAAAAAGAAAAUAUAGAGCAUCUCAUUCUCCUCAAAAAGUUUCAAAAGAGCAAGAAAGGUAUGUAUCCCCUCAAAAGAGCACAAGUAGAAUUAGACUUUCACCAUUGUUAUCACCAUCAUUACCAUGCACCAUUCAUUCGCCACACAUGCACAUCUUGAUUUGACUUAUUGACUUGUUCUUCUGGAUCCAUGGUUUGACUAUGCAAUAAAUGUCUUGUAAGUAUGUAUUAGCUGUCUCCCACCUAUGAGCUCCAGAUAUCAAAACUUUAUUAGAGUAGGGUGAGAGAGAAGGCAAUGCCACUAUGCCUCAUACCAAAAAUACUACAUACUUUGAGAGAAGGCAUACACCAUUACUGCCUUGGUAAGGAUCCAGAAAUACCACAAAAGAGAGACUAGAGAGAGUCAUACAAGGAAUCUCUGAGUUUUAUUUGAAAAUCUGCAAAAACUCCAGAGCUAUAGUUAAUCGAAGAACAAGAGACAUGGCGCUUGACUAAGACCGUUCUAUCUUUUAACUGCUGAAGACACAAGUGAUGGUUGCAAGCCCCAUGGUGGAAGGUAAAAUGAGUAAUUUUAAAUCUUAACAGUUUACCCUAACCCAGAUAUGAGAUCUUGUUUGAAUUCAUGUGUAUCUAUAAGGCAUGAAACCACUGCAGAAACUCUUGAGUUCAUCUUUGCUCAGGGACGAGCAAAGGUUAAGCUUGGGAGAGCUUGUUGACGGUCCUUAAUGCUCACAUUUAACCAUCAACUAAUCAUAGAAAAGGAUCUAAAUGGAACCAACAUCUAGAUUUAGGGUUUUAUCUGACAGAAUUCCACGAGUUUUGGUGUUUGUCUAUUUCUGCAGGGGGUUAUCAGGAAAUACGGAAGAAAGGCCCACACGUCGGGUUUACAUAGAGAUAUUAACGUGCCGCGCAAUUUUCUACCAUCUAGAAGACUCCAGAAGCCACGAGAACGAACUGGAGGCCGAUCGGGCCCGGGGGCAGGGCGCCCGCCCUCCCCCCUUGGGUGCCCGCCCUGCUACAGUGCCCAAUCAGGGUCAACUUCGCGGAUCGUGCUCCACCGACUCUAAAGAUCGAGGAAAAUCACACGAUUAAGGUCGGUUUGAUCGGAUGGUGGAGAAUAACAUGGAAAUUCCUUGGGAGCUACUCUUCCUAGAUUUCUUGGGUGCUACUCUUCCUAGAUUUCUUGGGGGCUACUCUUCCUGGACUAUAUAAGCAGACCCCCACCAGCCCCUGGAGGCAUACCUCUUCUACAGAAUCAAAGCUAGGGUUUCAAUUCUUCAUCCAAGUAGAGAGGAUCCCUCUAGUUCUUCUAGUUCUACCUCUAGUUCAUCUAGAUCUAGUUCUAGUUCAUCUACUUCUAGUUCUAGUUCUUCUAGUUCUAGUUCUAGUUCUAGUUAGUUCUAGUUGUAAUCUAGAAAAUAGGGAGAGAGAAGAGGAGAGGGGAGGAGGAGCCGGAUCUAUCGGAUCUUCCUCAACAUUGUACUUUUGCAGCAACUGGUUCGUUCUUCAUCGUUCUCCAGGUUCUUCAAUUUAUAAUUCCUGAGUUCUUUAAUUACUUUUAUUUACAUUCAAGUUAUUUAUUGGAUUCCCGCUUGCAUCAAGUGCUCUAGUCUUUAUAACGCUAGAGUAGUAAUUAAUAGAUUAGACGUGGUGUUUAGUCUUGCAAUUACCUGGAAUUGCACCCAAUCCUGCGGAUUGUUGUGGUAGCCUUAGGGUAGUGACAGCCCUAACGGUCGACGUAUUCCACCUCGUUCGAAUCGGUGUUUGUAGGACCGUAGUCAGACCUUCCUAGCCCCCUUCUCAUCUCUUUCUGUGGUUAGUGCUCUCAUGUCCCGAUAUAGAUAAUCUUGAAGUAAUUCUUGAAUCUUAGAUCAACUAGAGAACUCUCAGGAAACUUCCUCUCUUCCCACCAAAAAUAAUUAUAUAGUUAUCCUUGGACGAUCUUGAAUCUUAAUUAGUACACUCACGUUCUCUGUGGAAAAUCGAUACUCUGGAAUACUCCCGGGUGAAGGCUACAUCGGUAUCCGUGCGCUUGCGGAUUUUUCUGUUUGCGUUUAAAAUACCCAACACCAGCCAGAUUCUAUUCCAAGCCCAAAGAGGCUAGUAUAGAUGUGUGUACAUAUGCAAAGAGGUCCUCCAAGUAUAGAGAAAAUAUAAAGUACAUCUACACGUCUAACAGGGGACAAGCUGGAUUCCAAAGGGGAGGAAAUGUCAAGACCAAGGACAAGGCAUGGAAGGAGACCAUAGCUAAUUUGGCAUCGGGUUCGAAUGAUAGUGUAUGUGGCUGAUGGCCUAAAAUGUUUGAGCAUUUAGUUAUAGGGGCUUAUAUACUGCCCCUGUCUCAACACUGACCCAACUCAUUAUAGCCCAAGGCUGUCUAGACUAUCUCCAACAAGUGACCUAUAUAGGAACCCAAACCUAAAAUGGAUAACCACAUAUACAAAAUUAGCCUCCAACAGAUUACCUACCGAGGAGACCUAUUUAGGAUUUUUUGGGAGACACAACCCAAAUAUAAAUAUUCUCUCUCCUAAAAACCCAUUUGCAGAAAGAAUUCUUUUUUAGUCAUGUUGUUGUUGGAGAAUAUGCCUUUUUUAGUCAUGUUGUUGUUGGAGAAGAUGCCAAAUGAAUAUUGAACUCUUUGGCUAUAGUGCUACCCAAAGGUCGAGUGGAUCUUGUAUUUUGAGUAUUGUUGUUGAAGAUAGUCUAAAGCCUGUAACACUACGGCAGAUAGCGCCUUUGCCUAGCACCUGGGUAUUUGCUGAGCGCUAUUUAUCGAGCGCUUGGCAAAGGCCACCUUUGCCUAGCGUCGGGCUCUCGGCAAAGACUGCGCUCGGCAAAGAUUUCUUUGCCGAGCGUCGUGCCCUCGGCAAAGGGCGACACUCGGUAAAGAAUGUCUUUGCUAAGAGCCAAGCGCUUGGCAAAGGAUCGCACUUGGCAAAGAACGUCUUUGCCUAGCGCCUGACAAAGGCUCGCACUCGGCAAAGAGCUAACACAGAGGACACGGGGUACCUGCCGUCAGCCUUUGCCGAGCACCCUUCGUCAGGCGCUCGGCAAAUGCACCUCUUUGCCUAGCACUGACCUUUGGUGCUCGGCAAAGAAAUUUUUUUUGCUUUUUGUUUCCAAACUUUUUUGUUAUGCAUUACACAUUAUUUAAUAGUACAUGUUUAAGUUUUGGUACUUUUUUUAAAUCUUUUUAUUAUAUAUCGUUAGUUUAUUUGAUUUAAUUGAAUUUGUCUAAUAAACGCGGGUUUGAACUGUAGGUGUAUCAAAUCUCCAAAUUCGACGGUUCGAAAAUUGAUAUUCCCAUUACUUAGCGUAUUUUAAGGCCAUAUCCAGGAGCAUGCAUGAAAUAUCGAACAUCUCGCGCAUGGAACAGACGACCAAGUUGCGCAUAAAGUGCUAUUACAUUAUAUAAAAUGCAAACGAAGUCCGAAAAUCACAAAACUUAGCGACACGUCUUUGGAGCACAUGGUGGAGGCUAUGGUAAAAACAAAGUUUGAUGCACGUUGUCAUGGAAGUUAGUUAGAAACCUAGACUCCCGUGGUCCAGCCUAAGCCUCAGCAGGAGGACGUCGAGGAGCAGCCGCAGCAAGAGGAGGACGAGGAGCACCAGGUGGUGCAGUAAAAUGAGGAGGAUUGGGGGGGACGACGACAGGGACCUCGGCGGUGGCGGGGCCGAGGGCUCUGCUAGGACGUCGUCUUCCACUACUGCAUGGAGUGUCUACUUUCGAGGUCCCAUGUCUCUCCCUAACAAACCAAGGCGACGCGUUUCGAUUGUCCUAGAGGGGCAAGCGUAAGACACCUCUACAUGUUAUCACUAUUACUUUGUAUCCUUUGUUCAAAAUCUAAAUAUAUACUAAUAUGUUUACUUAAUCACUUGUGCAGGACCUGGAGGGUUGUGUUGGAAGGGGAUUCACGCCAUGUGAAUGGCGUCCUAGGGGCCCUGGUCAGGCACUACUUUCCUGGCAUUGUAACGCAUGCCGGGAAGGACGAGCCCGCCUACACGUGGGCCCACUACAAGUCCGCCCACCACGCCACCGCAGGCAACGUGGCAGCGCUCAUCCUUCAGGAAAUCUGGGUAAGUCUUCCUCGCAGUACAUGCCUCAAUGCAACGCAUUCAUUGGAUCCUACUUGAAAUAACUAAUGCAUACAUCGUGUCUUCAUAUGCAGAUGUACUUCAAGCUCGAUGAGAGCUACGAGGGCAAUGCGGACGCCAUGGCUAGGAAAGCUUGUAGGAAGUGCGUCACAGACAUGUACCACGAGGCGAGAGUCCAGGCCAUCAGAGAUUACUAUGGGAAGCAGUUUGGAGAGAGCAUCAACAAGCAACAAAUUCGAGAGUGGAGGCUCUCCCUUACCAAAGAGUAGUUCAUGCAGGUAACUGGACAACUUUAAAUUAAGUUCCAUUCAACAUUAGGUGCUAUGAACUUGACUUCCUAGCAUGUCGAUUACUUCAUGACGUGUAGGUCAUUCCUUGGUGGUGCGAAAAGUCCCCCAAGGCAUGGGGGCAAAUCGUGGACCGUUGGCUAAGCGAGGAGUGGCGGCAGCAGCACCAGCUGCCCGGGCUCACCGUUUGGCCAUGCCAGGUGUGCCUCACCAUCAAGGCAACCGCAACGUCGGCGGCUUCGGCCGAGCUUGGGUACGUCAUCAUGUUUGUAACUAUUGCCAUGCUUUAAUUUAACUAGGCAAAGACUACUAACAAACUUCUUUUCGUUCUCGCAGUCGGCGGCGCACGGUGGCCAGCAAUGCUCCUACUUCCCAGCAUAUACCAUGUCCUAUGACGUCUCCUUCAACCCGGAGGACCCACCGGAGGCGUACACAAGUGAGAGCGCCUAUAAGAAAGUCACUGAGUACCACAAGGCGGCGAGGGCGAUGUAUGGGCCGGUUUAUGAUCCAACGACUGACAACAUCGAUGUGUGUCUUGUCAUGUGUCCUGGAAAGGGAAAGCAGCAUGGGCGCUACUGGAUGGCGAACAGUGUGAUCGACAGCGCCACUACUCCUGCUCUCUCCCAGAUCCGAGCACAGACCACGAGCGGCUCCAGACUCCCGCCGAUACGUGAGCUGCUGGCCUAUGGACAGGCCCGGGUCGAGGAACUAUAGGUUAGUUUUGGUUUACUCAUCGUGCAUUACACGGGGAUUUCCUUCUCGCUUAACUAAGAUUAUUUUUGCAACAAUGUAUAGGCCUAGGUGGUGUUGGGACAAUGCGCACUGCACUCUCCCCUGCGACACAACGUACAGAGAACCUUCUCACACGAUGCAGUGAGAGACUCAAUCAGCAGCGGACAGUGGGGUGAACAGUGGGAGGAAACAGUAAAUGCUCUCCCGCUCCCUUGUUAACGGUGGCUUCACUCCCUUUAUAUAGGGCUCGGAAACCGACCUAAGGUAAUUACAAGAAUGCCCCGUGACGGUGGGGGAAUAUCUCAGCAUAUUCCUAUGUUACAGUCUACUGGCCCUGAGCCAUUUAUGUAAUUUCACACUACGAGCUUCUCGCACACUCCUCGUCCAGGUCUUCAGCUCGUUGAAGGCUCGAAUCCGCAGCCUGGGUGGCGAACCUUCGACGCUUCUAUGCCGAAGGUCCUUCGGCUCGGCCUAGCCGAAGGUUCCCUGACGCAGGCGCUCCGAGGGCUCACCGGCCCCGCUGCGUCCUCCAGCAUUCCUUCAGCCAUCCUUCGCCGUGGGAGGAUUCGAAGGUUCAUUCCUUCUCCGCUCGCGACCUCCGCCUUUAUCUUGGUUCCUGCAUUUACUCAGUACCACAAGAGAUGCAUCAACAUUAGGCUUGCCUCGAACCUCCGCACUAUUUCGUACGAAGGUUCUUGGGGCGGAGGAGAUCCUUAGAAGCGACCAGGGGGAAGGAAGCGACCAGCCCCCAACAGUUCCCUCCUUUUUGGCUAAUGGCACACCUGCGGUCCAUAUGCUCAAAAACGUGUCACGCCGCGGAGGCUGGGAGCAUGGUUGCUGCCUUCCCCCCUGGUGCGCAGGAUGUGCUUUUUGGCCGCAUGAAAAAGUUUCUUGAACUUAGUCAUGAAUUCUCUUAGUUUGCUUCGUUUUUUGACAUCCUUCUCCCCUUGUUUGAUGUUUGCAAAUUUUGCUUUGUUUUUGGGGGUGAUUAGUUUUUCUGCGAGAUUCCUUCGCUGUUGUUUAGAGUUCUUUGCAUUUGAAGUAGCUGGGUUUAUCCUUCGUCGAAUGAACGACGGAGGAUAGCAAAGAGCCGUUAAAUGGAUGGCAAAAUUUGCGCAGCUAGCCAUUGGCUUUUCCUAUUUUUCGCUAAUUGCCAUUGGGAGCAGGGAAUCGCAACGGUCGCGGCGAGUCCUCCGCUUAUAGCUGUUGGGCGCUGGGAAUGGCAACGGUUGCCAGGCGCAAGCCCCCCCAGUGUAAAAGGGGGUGGAGGGUAGGUGGAAGUCCUCACCCUUGCCGCUCAUUGCCUGCCUAGUUUCCUUCGCCAACUUUCCACUUAGCCUCUGAGUUGCUUGCGCGAGUUGUAGUUUGGUUGUUUUUUAUUUAGUUCCUAAGUGCUUGCGGAGGUUAUAUGGUGGCUUUUAUUCCUUUGACUCGUCCUUUGAGGGCAGAUUUCUCUGGUCCUUUGCGGAAAUUUCUGAGUAUGAGGUCCGGAGGUUGGCUGUGGAGGUUUGAGGAUUGGAUGCUUGAGGUGGCUGCUGCUCAAGAUCUGGAGGAAACUCUAUCUGACGCCAAGGCUUCUGUUGGGGAUCUGAUAAGCUUGAAGGAAUUUGAGUCGAUAGCUUCUAUUACCUUCGAGUUUGGGGAGUCAACCAUCAAGCCGCAGGACAUAGCGGAUAUGGCUGAGGUUGGGUUUUUCAUGGAAGGUCGUGUGAAGCUCCUCCUGCGGGACAAACAGUGCCUGCGCCUGAGGAGGAGUAUGCCAUGGUGUUCAUGGAUUUCUUCACCUGCGGACUCCGGUUUCCUCCGUAUGCUUUCCUCCGCCAAGUGAUGGAGGCUUUUAAUGUUGAGCUGCAGCACUUUAGCCCGAACAGGAUUCUUACCCUUAGUAAGUUUGCGUGGGCCUGUGAAUUCUAUGGAGCGGUGCCACACAUUGACACUUUUUGCUCCUAUUUUGAGCUCCAGCGGUAGCCGAAGAAAGUCAAGAAUGCCGAAGGAGAGGAAUUCAUUGCGCAGUUCGAAAGCUGCACGUUCAUGCCGCGUCGCACAAUGCCUGGAGCGCGAUGCGAGAUUUCCUUCUAUCAAAAGGGGAAGUGGGAGAAGGAUUGGAUGAAGGCUUGGUUUUAUGUCAAGUCUCCUCCAGCUUCGCGCACCCUGGAUGAUGGUAAGGUGGAGAAGGUUUUUCCUUAUGCGUCGAAGAUGAAGGAGCUCAAGCCAGUCUACAAGGUUGAUCCUUCAUCGGAGAUGUCGGAGGAACACAAGGCCUGCGACAAGGCCUUCGCACUGGUCUGCCGUUUCUCAGGCGGGCAAGACUUGGUUGAGGAGAUGGUGGCUUCUGACUACUGGCCUCUUGGCCACAGGAAUGAGGAGUUUACCAUCGAGAUGGUUCAGGUGUCGGUUUUUGGUCCUCCGGAGGGGAUCCCGAUUCCUCGCUUUGGCGUGGGGUUGUCGGAGGGUGAGACGAAAGAGUCUUUCCUUGAUCGUGUCAAAGCUUCGGCUUGCAGGAUAGUGGGAAAGAUUUCUGAGAAGGAGUAUGUCCAGCGGAAAACUACGCUGGCGACAAUGUCGUGGUUCAACCGCGUUUUUGAAGAGGUGGGGAUCGAGUAUGAUGAGUACGCCGUUCCUUCGGAUGUGCUUCUCGGCUUGGAGAAGAGGAGGGAUGCUUCCAAGACUAUUGCCGCUGCUGAGUCGCGGAAGAGGAGGGGAGGUGGGGCUACCAAGACGCUAGCGAAGAAGCAUAAGGUGGAGGUUGUAGCGGAGGCUCUGGUUGAGUCCUCCUCCGACCGCUCCUCCGCAGCCGAGUCUAACUCUGUGGAGUCUCAGCCUGUGGAGGAAGUGCCGGCUGUACCUACGACUGCUCCUACUGGCGGUCUUCAAGGUGAAGUCUCCCGAGCGGUUUCGUCUGCCCGCUUACCCUUCGCGUCACUUCUUGGCGAGGAUUCCUCCGACGCGGAGGCUCCGGGGGCUAGUCCUCCGCGAGAGAUCCCUACCGGUGGAGCGUCGCCGCCAAAGGAAGUGUAGAAUGACUCUAGCGAGGAGGUUGAAUCUGCUUCUGUCCGAAGGAUAAAGAGGGUGGUUGAGCCCCCGCAGCCAGCUAGCGGAGGGAUCAACUCUCUUUAUAUUGGUAAGUUUUUAAUUUUUGUUGCUUUUGAUGUUUUGGCAUUUCUAUAAAUCUUAAAUUUUUUAUCCUCCGUACGCUUUUAGAGGAUGUUAUUGCGGAGCUUGCGAGUGUGGAGGAGCUAGACAGAGGAGAUAGCAUUGCGCAGGAAGGGCUUGAUGUUCCUCCGCCCCGCAUUCCUACGCCAUCUGCGUUAGACACUCGGCCUUCGCCUGCUAAUGUUAUUGGUCCUAGUAAGUUUUUAAAUAAUUUUUCGUCUUUGCACUUUGAGUGGUUUGGUUAUCUCUAGUUGAUGCUGAUCACGCUUUUCAUUUUGUGCAGGUGCUUCUGAUCCUUCGAUCACAGGUUGGACUAAUACACUGCAAGAAGUUCAUUCUUUCGUCGGAGGUUUGAUUUCCGACCUCCGCUCUAUUAUGACUUUAACUUUGUAUUUUGUUUUUUCUUACCAUUAUUUGCUCUUCAGAUCGUUUCUGGCCGAAGCUUUGGGAUAUGGAUUAUGACAUGCUGCUUCGCAUGCAGUUUGAGCAUCAUAGCCUUGUAAGUUUCGAGUUUGUUUUAAUUUUCCUUCGUAGUUUUCCGUUCGGAGGUUUUAAUUUUUGUUGUUUUGACCAUGGGCACAACAUGGUUGCUGCCUUGGAGGAGCGAUGCUCCCGAGAGGUUAUAUGCCGUAAUGAAGCCAUCAAGGCUUUGAAAAAAGAGAACGAAACCUUGGAGGCUGAGAAGGCCCGCCUGUCGGAGGAAGUUAAGGACUUCUCUUCGACCUGACAGGAGAUUGAGGCGCUGAGGAAGGAGAGGGAUGAGCUCAAGGUUGGAUCAGAGGUCAACAGGAAGGAGAAGGAUGAGGUUGAAGCUUCAGCCGCCGUCCUUCGUGAGAGUGCCUCCGAGGCGGGGAGGGCCAAGGACCUGGCCGUGCAGCGGGCCAAGAAAGCCGAGGACAUCGCUGACCGCCUCUGCAAGGAACUUGAUGCCGAGCGUGUGUCUGCAGCUGCUAUGCAGACUCAAUUGCAAAAGGCAAAGGCAAAUGCUGCGGCCGUCAUCAGACUUUACUCCGGCUCGCUGGCGCAGUUCGGAGGUAGCACCUCCGCUCCUCCGUCCGACGGUGACGUUGGGGUUAGCCUUGCGUGGCUUAAGUCACAUGUCAGCAUGCUCCCUGAAUUUGUUGGGGGAGCUGUUGAUUUUGGGGCUUUGGCCGCGGUUAACUCCUUUGCCCGGCUCCUUCUCCGCGGAGGCUGUUCUCACACCGAGGUGGUCACAAAGGAAGAAUUCUCCUCCCCUGAAGAUGUUAGCGAAGCUUCGUCAGGCCUGCGCAAGUCUGUCCGAAACUUUAUCAGUUCUUUUUGGAUUAGGUUUGGGCAGGCUGAGGCGAAGAAAAUGGCGGAGGCUCGCCGUGCUGAGGUUCAUAUUUUUUGUUAUGCCCUGUAUGUUGUGUAGUUAUUUCCUUUGUGCUUCAAGACUUUGCUUUUGCAGGAGCUUGCCAAGAAAAAGGUGAAGGCUGAGAAGGCUGGCCCCUCGCGUCCUGCUGGUGGAGUGCAUCCUUCGGACCAGGCUGAUGCGGAGAAUCCUGAAGCUGGUGCCAAGGAUCCAGAGGGACCCGAAGCUCCUGCUCCUCCUCCGCCCCAGGUGUGAGGGUUUUUUAGUAUUUAGGCAUUUUUUAGCCUUUGCGUCUACUUCUGAGCGGCGCUUUUUGUAAAAAAGGAUGAAGGUUUAACUAGCUUGUAAGAAAUUGAUGGAUAUGUUAUAUAUUGGUUUGGUAUUGAAUGAAUGUCUGUUUUAUACUUUAUCCUACGCAGGUCUCUAGCGGAGGACCUGUGCAGGAUCCUUGUGAAGCUCUGCUUUCCAUUUUUUCAAUGGAAUUUAUGUUUUGGGUGACUUGUGGGAAUAUUGGCGAACUGCCUUUCCUAACAUGAGUGUAGUAGAUAUGUUUGACUUUGUCGAAUUUGAUAUCGACGACGAACGUUCUGAGUUCCUUCGUUCACUUGCGUACCGAGGGUCUUGCCUCCGACUUAGGUGGUUGUUUCAUUCUCUCUUGUUUGUUUUUUGUUUUAGGUUAUGUGGUUUUCUUGCUCUGAUUUAAGCUGAUCUAUUUCUGCAGUCAUCGUAUCCGAUCCUUCGUAUUUUUGGUGAGGAUGAUGGAAUAUGUUAGCUGUCGAAGGAUCCUGAUGUUAUGGCUGAGCGCUAUCUUCCUGGGCGCGUGGAGGUUCAAAAUCUUUGUCCUUCGACCUACUUGGGGCCUUCGCUUAGUUAAUUUUUUUGUGUUAACUUUUUGGCGCAGGUUGUUAGGUCACCUCCUAGGCAUGAUGUCCUUCCUUUGAAUUUUGUCGAAGGAAGUUAUGUUACUCCUGUGACAUUCAAGCGUGGUGAUCUGUACGCGAGGGGAUGGCUGCUGAAUUGGUGGCGUCACAUUUGUCCUACGUGCACUGGUGACGACUUAGUUGAAUUUCUCGCUCGUGACUAUUGUAGUUAAUUUAGGACUUUUGGUGAUUCAUGUACAAGAUUUGUAUAUGACUCUUAGAUCCUUCGGCGUUUUGCCGACGAAGGAUGUUAGGUUAGAUUUUUGUUUUUCCUUCUUGAUGUAAACAAUUGGUGUAAAUAUUGCUAUCAUGAAUAAAGACCAGAUUUUUUAUCAGGACUCUUUCUUUUACAACCUUCGCACUCUUAGCGGCCUUUAACUUUGUGAUUAGUUGUGUUUGUUGAACACACCGCAACGUUGUAGUGGUGUUGAUCCUAAAGAUCUUUGUCUUGCUGUUGUGAUUACAUACUUGUUGCUCGAUGUUGCGAAGGCGUUGGUGGCCAUGUUAUGUGCGCAGGAUUGCUGCUCCUUGACCUUAGAACCUUCGCCUGUCUUGGUUCGAAGGUGCCUUUGCUAGAUUGGGCUCAUCUUUGCCGUUGUUCGGCUCCCGUGGAGUGUUGGCGAGGGUAACCUUCGUGUGUGCUUGUUGGAGGUUCUGAGGGGAUGUUACGAGACUUCGUGCGAUACCCUUCAAUAACCUCUGAUACUGACUUGUAGUGCUUUUAUUGUAGCUAUAAACGACCCUGUGGUCGAUGUUCAUCACAAUGCCGUGGCUCUGAUAUUACGAAGCUUCGUGCAGUACCAAGUUUUUAGGUGGCUAUGAGGCUAACUCCUACUUCCAUGCUAGCCUAACUUGUUUUGUUUGAGCGUGUGGGGCUUGCACUGACUAUUUGGUUACUAGUGAGCCGGUCCUGACUGAGGGUUCGGGUUGUGGAGUGCCUGGUUUUAUAGCCUUGUUUACAUUGAUUGGUUGUACGCUGUUAGGUUGGUUUUUAUUGCCGAUUUAUGUUUGGUUGUUGGGGUAGUUGGUGUUGUUAAAGUCAUUUAUUCCUCUACAGAGUAUAAGCUUAGCUUUGCCUUUGAUCUUUGUGGGCGGUGGUUUUGUGUGUUUUUUGAAUGUUUUCUUGCUUUAAGCUACCUUCGUAUUUUGGACAAAGGUUGUGUGGUGGUUGCCUUCUUUGAUUCACAGGAUACCUUCGGCCUUAUUUUGUCGAAGUUUGUGCGAGUGAUGGUGAGAUGGUUUUCUUUUAAGGUAUGUGAUACCUUCGUCGCCUUUUGGCGAAGGUCAGACAAUUCCUGAUGCCUGAUUGUCUUUUAGGUCUUUGUCAGGUUUGAUGGUUUUAUUUUUUUCUGGUUGUUGACGGUCCUUAAGUAUCAAAUAUAAUCAGCAAAUAAACAAAGAGUCUUGGUGUUUGUCUAUUUCUGCAGGGGGUUAUCAGGAAAUACAGAAGAAAGUCCCACACGUCGGGUUUACAUAGAGAUAUUAACGUGCCGUGCAAUUAUCCUACAUCUAGAAGAGUCCAGAAGCCACGAGAACGAACGGAAGAUCGGACUGGCUCGGGGGCAGGGCGCCCGCCCUCCCCCCUUGGGUGCCCACCCUAGCCUCAGGGCCAAUCACCACCAACCUCGCGGAUCAUGCUCCACCGACCUAAGGGAUUAAGGAAAACCGUGCGAUUAAUGUCGGUUUGAUCCGACGGCCCAUAUUCACUUGGAAGGACUAUACAAGCAGACUCCCUGGCCCCUGGAGGAGAGGACCUCAGACCCCUAAUUCAUUAUUCAUCUUGGGAGAAGAAGCCUCUGAUCAAGCCCUAGAGCCACCACAUCAAUUAGAUCUCUAGUUUAGCAUAGCUACAUAGGAUUAGAACUAGAAGGAGUCAAUCUUCGAUUGGUUUCCGGAUCUGUCAAGAGGAUUCUUGGUAAUUCCUCUAUUGUUCUUCAAUAUUAUGAAUAUGACUUUGUUCUACUUCAAUAUAUUGAUUAUGACUUUGCACUACUUGUUUAUAUUCGCAAUUAUAUUGUUCUUAGUUUAUCAUAGUUAUAUACUUGGCUUAGUUAGAUUGGAAUUAUAUACAUGUUUAGGAUCGUAUAGCAUUUAUCCAUGUGUACAGUGGGUAAAUGAUAAGUAUUGUGUAGGCAUGGUGCCUAUACCGUAUUUAUCUGCGAUUGUACCUUAUAUGCCAGAUCGCGGGGUAGUUCGUGGUAGUGACAGCUCCAUUGAUUCUUAUAUAGUCCCCUUCUCGUGUAUAGGGCUGGCAGAGCAACAUUAUUAUAGGGGAGUGAUUGUGUGUCACACCCCAAAAUUCUAACUUUGGGAUAUGACUUAGAAAAUACUAAAAACAAAGACAAAGAAUUUAUUUUUUUUAUGAAAUGUUCCAACUUUAUUUAUGUUGACAACAUUUUAGAUAGUGAAAAAUGUGGGUUUCUAAAAUUUUUGUAAAUCAACUUAGUGGUUUGUUGCAUUCAUGCCGUUGUAUAGUGUUUAUGCUUGAAAAAUAAAUUUUGUUUGUUUUCAAGAUAUGCCUUGGGUUUAUCCCAACUUCAUCUUUCCAAACAUCAAACCAAUAUCUAAAAGUUCUAAUCAAAUCUUUUGUCCACAAACUAAAUCCCUAGCCUAACCCUCUCCCUCUCUCGCUUUCCUCUUCCUUUUUUUGGACUCCUACUUGUUUUUGAUCAAGUCCUCCCAACCCCUUAAAUCUAAAUUAUAUGACCACCUUGUUUACACAAUUCUGCCAUCACUUUGAUCAAGCCAAGUUCCCUGUCUUGCUUUGGAUCAAGUCCAAACCAGCCCAAAACAUCCAUCUUUCUCUCCCACCUCAUGCACGAUUCUCUACUUCUCUUUUAUGUAAAAAGGAAAAUAGAAGCCCUCCUCACAUCUAUGUGUCGUCAUCCCCUUGGGCAGCACCUGAUCUUUUCCUACAUGCACAAACUUCGUCAACUAAUUCCUCCUUAAUUCCUCCUUUUCAAUUCACUAAUAAUCUUAUUGACUGCAUGUGGAAAGCACCAUGCAUGGACAGUUAACUUUUGCAGCUACACCAACACUUCCUCUCUUCUCCAUGCAAAGAUAAUUCCUCUAUUAAUUUCCUUGACUCCAUCAAAUAUAUCUUUAUCCCAUCUCACCAGUUGUAUGUAAUGGCAGCCGUGAAUCUCUUUCUCUUUUCCUCAUGACACCUAUCCUUCAUGUAAAAUAACAGCAGCAUUUAACUCUUUAGCCCCUUGAUUACUUUGUCUCUUUCAUGUGGAGAAAUCACCCUUCUCAUCUCUAUGGCGACUGCUCAAUAAUUCUUUCUUUUUAUUUUUUUUAGACACACUUCACUCCUUCAUUUGUUUUCCUUUACUUCCAAUGGCAUGCAGCCAUCUAUGCUCUGGCUACCCCCACGUUUACUCCUUUUUCUCUCAUGCAAGAGAACAACAACAACUAAUUCUUCCCCUUAAAUUACAAUGGUAACACCUUUGUUUAAUCCUCUCCUUUGAGUAUCCUUUAUCCCAUCAGUGUGCAUGCAAUAGGUAGCCAUACAUCUUCUCUUCCUCCUCCCUUACUGCCAAGGGCGCCUCUCCCUUCUCCUCCUGCUCAAUAUUAAUGUGCACCCAUUCAUUCUCCUAUUGACUCACCUCUAUUAUUUCUAUUGCUUUACUCCAUUGUUUCAUUUGCAUGCAUGCAGAAAAUUACAACCAGCAAUAUCUCCUCCCCCUUGCUCACAUGAGCAGGUCAUCACUUCUCCUCCCAAUGGCGCAUCUUCCUUUUCUCUCAUGCAGAAAACUGCAGCAAAUGUUCCCACUUAAUUCCCUUUACAAGCCCCUCUUAUUCUCCAAUGCAACUCUCUAAUUGCAUGAGUAAUGAAGGGCUCAUGAAACAGCCAUGCAUCACCCUUUCUCCCUUAUUUCUUUUAUGCUCGACACACACACAGGAGCUGCCACUCUCUUCCCUUGCAAAACAACUACUACAAAUAAUGCUCUCCUUUGAUUCCCAUGAGACACACACCUGAUUUCAAUAGCACCUAUUUACUCCAUGGGUUUUACUCUCUUCAUUUGCAUGCAUCCAUGCAGGAAAUAGCAGCCAUAUAUUUUCCCUCUUCCUCUCUUUCUCAUGCACAACAACAGCUUUAUUUCCUCCUCCAUUUCUCCUUCACGCACACCGCAGAUGGACAGCCCCUCUUCCCCUCUCCUAUGCCACCAUUGUCUCACUCUCAUGCAGAAAUAAAAAGGCAAUACAUAAUGCUCUUCCUUAAUCACCUAGCCUCUCUUGACUCCUCUUCAAUUGCAUGCAUACAUUCACAGCCAUAUCUCCUCUCUUUUCCCACGCACAACCAGCAAGACCCUUCUUCAAAACCCUCUUGAUAGCACAUAUUUUUUUCACUGCCUUUUUAUUUCACUUCAAUGGCAUGGACACAUGCAGCUGCAGCAGCUAUAAAACCCCCCCUCAUCUCCUCCUCUCUCCCUCACGCAAGCACCAGAGAAGGAGCAUCCCAUCUCCUCCCCUUCCUCCAUCAGUUGGGCGCCCCUCCUCCUCUCUUUUCCCCAUGGCUGCAGCUCCAACUCUCCCUCCUUUCUCUCCACAAAAAAAAAACAGCAGCCACCGCCUCUUCUCCUUCCAUUUCCUUCACCAUGGAUGGCCACUCCUCUCCCCUCCAAAUCCCUCUCCAACCUCUCCAUCAAAAUACACUGCCCUCUCAGCAACAUUUUUGUUUUGCUGCUGCACGUUUCUUCCCAUCAUCGGAGUCAUGGAAUUCUUCACAUCUUGCUUGAGGACGCCAUGGUGCUGCAGCGCUUCAUGGAGGUCACCCCAAUGUCUUUUCCCAUCUCCCAGAACCUGCAGCAGAAACUCAUCGACCGUCAUCGCUGCUGCUCUUGUGCAGACCAUGGUGAGGUCGCCCUUCCCUCUCCCCUCUGUGAUCUUGUUUCAUAUUCCCCACUCAUGCAUCUCUUUGAUCUAUUGUGAGGCAUGGAUGAUCCCCCAAAGCGAAUAUGCCACUGCUCCAUUGAUCGCCAACAUUGUCUUCACCUGUCAUUGACACUGACCGCUGCCAUUACGUUCAUCUCCAACUAUUUCUAACCCCAAUGUGAGAACCACACAUUUCCCUCUAUCUUAUAUGUUGAACUAUAUCAAAGUUUUUUCAUCUUAAUUCAAGUGGAUAGAUUUGUAGUGCAGUUUUGGCUAAGAACGUAUUGUUGUCUAUCGUGGACAGCAGUGUUGCUGCUGGUUAUCAAGCAUGUUCCUGGCAAUUUGCAUAUCUGUUUUGCAAUUCCUUUAAUCCAUGUGUGUAUCAUAUAUCUGCACAUGUCUCCAUAAAAAUCCCAUGGCCAUAUCAUCCAAACAAAAAGAGUUAUCAUUUGUCUCAUGCUUGCUGCCUAUGCAGCCACGUAGUCACGCUGCUGCUGAUUGGCAUGUAUGUUCCUGUUGUUUUACCAAUCCAAUACUCAUUUCUUUCGACCCACACAUGUAUCACAUACUUGUACAUGGUUAUGCAAAGUUGGUCACCCAUCCGAUCAAUAGAGAUGGUGUUUUGGGUCAGUUUUCACACUCACUAUCCCUGCUAUCCUAGCAGCCACGCAGCACUAAAUUGUUUUGGCUUUCCUCAGAAAACUGUGAUCCCAAUCAUCAAACCCUUUCACCAUAAGAGUAAAUAUCAUUCUCACACAUGUCUUUGCAAAGUUUCAUGGCUAUAGGAUCAAACAUGAAAGAGAUAUAAUCUUUUUCGUGCCCGCUGUCUCGUUUGUUCAACAGCACUGCAUCUCAGUGGCAGUGUUAUUCCCCAUUAACCGUUCAUCACAUAGUCAAACCCUUUUACCACAGAGUAGAUAUCAUCCCUGAGCACACCUCUGUAGGACAGUUUUGUCAUAGGAGUUGAGACACCAAAUAUAUCAUCAUCUUCGUGAACGCUAUCCCUGCAGUCCUGGCAGCUAGGCUGAUCUGAAUUGUAUUGGAGUUCCCCAUUAAUCUAAAAGCCCAAUCCUCAAACCCUUUGACCAUCUUGUGCCCCUUAACCUUGCAUACGAUUCUGCAAUUUGGUAUGUCCAUGAGUGCCACGGUGGCCGAGAUAUAAAUGCCACUGUCACUGCCACUCUUGCAGUCCAUCUAUCGGCAUCACAUCUGUUUUAUGAUCAUGUUUUCCGAACCAACUGUUACACAAAAUGACAUGCCCUCUUGCCAAAACAUACCUCAUAGAGUACCCAGUAUCCCCGCAAAAUGGAUCACCUUUUGGUUUGGUGAUAACCAUACAACCGCUGAUCAUAACUCCCACAAUCUGCCGACAUCCACGUUAUGGAUUGAUCGGUGUUUUAUCGUGUUCCCCGCUAAACCCCUAUAUAAAUCACCAAGUCCACUUACAUGAUGGUGUGUAUAUCAGGUGCACACAUUUUCACCAAGUGUACUUACUAUACCUUUGGUGCAGCUCCAUAUUUUGGUGGGAAUAUUCUAGAAGCACUUCAUGUUGAUCUAGCAUCCACCGUUUUGCACACAUUUGUCACGAUGUGUUUCCAAUUCAUCACCGAACAUAUCCGGAAGCACUCUCUCAUCCAUGUUAGAACAAUCAGUCCCUCUUAUGCAAUCUAAUGCUUGUACCAUCUUAUAUUCACUUCACUAUGUUCUAUACAACUCAUUAUACACUACUCCAUAGUCAUCAAUAAUUCGUCUAUAAAUCCUUGUGAUCUAUAAAUCUUUCCAAGCUAGCACUAAAUCGAUCAUGUUCAUUCCAUUCGUAUAAUUUACCGAACCUCUAACUUCAACCUUCAAUCCUUCACACCCUUUUAUAGUAGUUUCACUUAGUUGUUUUUGCGCUCAACGAUUGUAGUUGCAAGCCCUAGUGUUCUAAAACUUUUUUUACAAUGAUUGAUGUACUGUUUUUAGGCUUGUCUAUGAUGCUUGCGAUCGUUGUUGCUAUCGUUAGAAGAGGAGCUCUACAAGGAUGAUGAAGAAGUUGGAUAAGUUUAAGCAACAGUUGAAGGCAAGUGUAACAUGAGUUCCCUUGUUACCUAAUAACUAUUUAAUCACCUCUUCAUGUGCAUGUGUCUAAUAUGAUAAACCCCUAAGGACUUUACCUAGAACUAUUGUAUCUUGUAUCUUGUAUCCUUGUUUACCCUGGGGUUAUGCAUAUGGGUAGUUUGCUUAGUCUGCAAUCACCAAACUAUAUAAUAUUAAUACUGAUUAAUGAUUAUGGAAUCAUUAUUACAAUGAUGCUUUCUAGCAACAUGGAUAUCAGGGGGCUAGAGCAUUGGGCCUUUUUGGGUGCUCUAGUCUGCCCUCCGUAAGGACUGAAUCUUAAAGCGGCAACCCAGGGCUUACAGUACAACCAUGAGAAUCACAUGGCUCUGAUCUUAAUCAAGUAUCUAGUAUGUCUCUAGCUUGUUAGUGGUUACCGAAAGGCGCAAGAGGGGGCUGCCUCGUGGUGUAUAGUUUUGCUCCUACCUUGGUGUGUACAGUGCCGCGACCACAUGUGCCUCUUGGAGGAGGUCUCUAUGCACACUUGCCACUGUAACCUCGCGGCCACUAACUAGUUAGGGUGUCUAGUGAAAGGUUACGUAGUGAUCCCUGCCGACUUACCUUGGAAGUGAGUCAAGAGGUUGGCCCCCUUGGGCAAAAGGCAAUCACGACUCAUGGGUAAAGAUGUACACACUCUGCAGAGUUAUAAAAACUGAUAUAUCAGUCGUGCUCUCGGUCAAGAGCGACCUGGAUCCUUUUCGAGAUAGAUGGUUCAAUGGAUGGUUUGGGUUGAUGAUUAAUUUUGAUGAUAAUUAUACUUGUCACCUUGGGAGCUUAAGCAUAACCUAGUAACAUAGGUCUAAUAAUAAAAUAUGACCAACUAAAAAUGCUUAUCGCAGUCAAACCAAGUCAAGCCUUUUGAGCCUUGCAUCCCCUCAUGUUAUACUUGUUGAGUAUGGUGCGCUCACACUUGCUUUACAUUCAACAAUCAAAAAUCCCGGAUGGGUACCAGAUGGUGAUACAAAGGUGGAGUUCCCUGAGAUGUUCCAGGAGUACUAGGCGAGUGUACCCCCAGUCAACCGUCCCUGUGGAAAAUGGAGACCCAAAGUGAAGAUUAGGAUUAGUUUCCGCUAUGCUUUGUUAUGAUGUAAGCAUUGUUGUAACUAUGUUCCGAUAUAUAAUAAAGCAUUGUUCUUGAUAUUCUCCAUAUUUGUCGCUAUAUGUGUCGUGUGGACAUCCUGGGCACACAUAUAGUUAGCGCUUGGUCUUCUUUGGAAAACCGGGUGCGACAUUGCGAUGUUUCUCAUAUUCCUUGAUAAUAUCACUAUGCAUGGGCAUAGUCUUAUCUCGCAAUGAUUGCCAAGUAUAAUUGCACUAACUAUGAUAUGCUAGACUGUAUAGUUGAGAAUAACUUAGGAAACAUUCUUGUAGUUCGUCCUAAUUCCAUGCAAACGACUUGCUAGAAUAUCUAUUGAGGUGCUUAUCAUAUUUAUAUGUGGCUAAGUUAUGCUGAUCAGAUUAAUUAUCUUUGUCACCAUUCAUACUUUAUAUAUCUUUUAUGGGACACUUAUCCCUGUAUGAAAGAGAUAGAUAAAUGCUCUCAAUUAUACAUGCAAUGAUAGAUACUCAGUUCUUUAUUCCAUUCCAUAAUCAACAUUGAUGAUUACUAAUCCCUUCCCAGUGGUAAAAAUAUAAAUAACGAUACCUGGAAUACUUCCCGGUUAAAAUGCUACAUCUGUAUUAAUCUGUGCGCUUGCAGAUCAUAUUUGUUAUUUAUUUAGAUGAGCAAUUGCAUAUUUCAAUACCGCGUCUCUCAUGUCAUGCUGGGGAUGAUAACUUGGCUUAAGUGGUAUGAGGGAUUGGUUUGGCAUUUUUGGCGCCAUUAUCAGAAUUAGAAAACUAAGUCUACUUUUGGUAGUGACGUUAAGAAUGCCCAACACGGGUCAUGCUGUGAUGCCUGAUGUGGACCGGACUUUUUUCACUUUUGACCAUGUUCUCCUUGCUGCGUUGCUCUUGGCUAGGUCUUUUGCUAAGUAAGUGGUGUUUUUUCACCAUUGAGGAUGUUCCGAGCUUUCUUACCCUUCGGCUGCAAGCUGCGGAGGGUCCUUGUGUUCGCGUGAUGCUUGGUCGAAUAAUACAGCUGUGUUGCUAGCUAUUUUUUGACUUUGAGUUUCGUUACUAGGGUAAGUCCUCUUUAUAUCUUAAAGGUUUUUACAUAGGUUCUACCUCGUUAAAAACCUCACCUCCACUAGGAGUACCCCUGUGAGGCAAAGAGUGCAGACCUUGGUUUGCAAAAAAGGCAGAGAAAAAGGAAAAAGGAAUUGGAUCUAAAAAACAUAGGCGCCUUCGCUUAUUCUGCGAGGGUCGUCCUUACAUUUAAAUGUAAAAUCUUCAUAGAUUAUCGACGUUUCAUGUGUGGGUGGAGGUUCUUCCUUCUAGGUCUUUGAGGUAGAAGGAUCCUGACCUUCCCGCUUGUAUUGUUGUGUAAGGUCCUUCCCACUUGGGUUGCAAUUUCUCGGUGUUUGGGUGAUCUCCUUUUUUCUGAGAACCAAGUCCCCAUCAUGUAUGUUUUUUCGUAUUACCUUGUGGUCUCUCCAAUUUUUGGUUUCUUGCUGAUACUUUGUAAUAUUCUCUACUACUUCCAAUCUUGUUGAUUCUAUAGUUUCCUUGCAGUAGUCUUCAUCCUCAGCCAACUGCUGCUUCAUGGAGCGCAGGCUUUGGUGUUUGAUUUCUUCGGGCAGCAUUGCCUCUUUCCCGUAUAAGAGCUUGAAUGUUGUGAACCCAGUUGCUCUUGAAACUAUUGUGUUGUGAGACCACACAACUCUAGGUAGUUCGUCAACCCAUUUCCCCUUUCGUAGGUUGAGCAGUGUUUUGGAGAUUGUGGAGAAUAUUAUUCUGUUUGCUCUCUCCACUUGAUUCUGGGUGGUAGACAGACACGAAAGCGAUUUUGGUUCCUAUGUGAUGGUAGAAUUGUUUGAACUUAUCUGAAUCAAACUGCUUUCCGUUGUCAACUGUGAGCAGGCUUGGAACUCCGAAUCUGUAGACUAUGUUCUGCCAGAAAAACUUCUUGAUUGUUUAUGAGGUUAUGGUUGCUAGUGGCUUCGCUUCGAUCCAUCUUGUGAAGUAUUCGAUGGCUACGACAGCGAAUUUGUUUCCCCCCUGGGCAGUUGGCAUCGGCCCUACCAGGUGCAUUCCUCAUCUUUGCAAUGGCCAUGAUGGUGAUAUGAGCUGAGUUGGUGCCGAAGGUCCCGACUGAAUUGGUGAUAAGGUCUGGCAAGCUUUGCAAGUUUUCACUAUCUCUUCUACAUCUUUGAUGUGAGUUGGCCAAUAAAAACCUUGUCUCAGUGCUUUGGCAGACAAUGCAUAGGGGCCGAUGUGUGAUCCACAUAUCCCAGAAUGUAUUUCUUGCAGGAGUUUUGUACCCUCAGUUUGUGAUAUGCAUUUCGACAAUGGUUGGACUAUGCCUUUUUUGUAAAAGUUUCUGUUAAUGAUGGUGUAAUUCCUUGCUCUUGCUUCCAUUCUUUUACUUACUGCUUCGUCCUCUGCGGCUAUUUUGCCAUUGAGAGAAUCUGCUAUCGCCUGCCUCCAGUCUUCGCCUUCUGUCAGCAGGACUGAGCGGCAAGCCUUUGGUAAUGAUUCAGUCACGGGUGUUUCAAGGAUUUGGUAGAAGGUUAAUUCUGGCAAGGCAAUGUUGUUGGCUACUGCUUUGGCUAGCUCAUCUGCCUCGCAGUUCUCAGCUCUUGGAAUGUAUUGUAGAGUAAAUCCCUUGAACCUUCUCUCCAGCCCUCUUACCACAGCCAAAUAUCUUGCUAACUCGGAGUUGUGUGUUAAGUACUCCUUCUCCACUUGUCCUGCCACCACCUGGGACCCUAUUUUGAUGAGCAGGGUUUUUGCUCCCAAAGCUUUUGCUUUGUUCAGCCCGAGGAUGAGUCCUUCAUACUCAGCUAUGUUGUUCGUUGCUCUGAAUUUGAGUCUCGUGGCAUAUUUUAGCUUGAGUCCUGUUGGUGCGAUCAGAACCAUUGCCGCUCCGGCCCCUAAUUGCCCCCAGGCGCCAUCUAUAUAUAGUGUCCACGGCUGGUCGACUACCUUCUUCUCUUCUUUGUUCGAAGGUGUCCAAUCUGCCAUGAAGUCAACCAGCGCCUGUGACUUGAUUUAGGUUCUUGGGAUAUAGGUGAUGUCAAACUACGAUAGCUCAGCUGCCCAUUUCCCUAUACGCCCAGAGGCCUCCUUGUUCUUAAGGAUGUCACCUAAAGGCUGCGAUGUGGGUACUUUGAUCUCAUGAAUUUGAAAGUAAUGCUUGAGCUUCCUCGAUGCAGAUAGGACUGCGUAUGCCAUUUUUUCUAUUUCUGUGUAGUUCAACUUUGCUCCUGACAAAGCUUCGGACACAUAGUACACGGGCCUUUGCACCGCUCCCCUGUGGUCACUUGUUUCGUGCACCAAGACAGCACUGACCGCGUGUUUGGAGGCGGCCAUGUAUAAUAGUAAAGGAGUGUCUGGCUCGGGCACAGUUACUACCAGAUUGGUUGCAAUAUAGCUCUUGAGUUGUCUGAAGGCUUCCGACUACUCCGGACCCCACUCUAUUUUAUCUCCUCCCCUUAGCACUUUGAAGAAUGGGAGGCUUCGCUCUGCUGACCUGGAAAUGAACCUGUUGAGUGCUGCUAUUCUGCCAGUUAGUUUUUGCACCUCCUUCUUGCUUGAAGGUUCUGCCAUCGACAUGAUUGCCUUUGUUUUAUCUGGGUUGGCUCUGAUUCCUUCGGAGCUGACAAUAUACCCCAGCAUUUUUCCCUUGCUGACCCCGAAUACACAUUUUUCUAGAUUCGCUUGAGUUUGGCAGACCUGAGGUUAGUGAAGGUUUCCUGCAGGUCUCUGAUGUAAUCCUCCUUGUUUCUGCUCAUGACGACAACGUCAUCGACGUACGCUAUAAUGUUUCUCUGCAGCUGGCUGCCGAGAACCUUCUUCAUCAUUCUAGAGAAGGUUGCCCCGGCAUUCUUUAGACCUUCAGGCAUUCUGGUAUAGCAAUAUGUCCUGAACAGAGUUGUGAAACUUGUCUUGCCCUCAUCUUCUUUCUUGAGCCAGAUUUGGUGAUAUCCCAAGAAGCAAUCUAGCAGUGAGAAUCUCUGGCAGCCGGCAGCUUUGUCGACAGAGGCAUCUAUCCUUGGCAAGGGGAAGGAGUCCUUGACACAAGUGUUGACGGUCCUUAAGUAUCAAAUUUAAUUAUCAAAUAAAUAAACAAAAGGAUCCAAAUGAAAUCAAGAUUUAGACUUAGGGUUUUAUCUGACAGAAUUCCACGAGUUUUGGUGUUUGUCUAUUUCUGCAGGGGGUUAUCAGGAAAUAUGGAAGAAAGGCCCACAUGUCAGGAUUACGUAAAGAUAUUAACGUGCCGUGCAAUUAUCUUACAUCUAGAAGACUCCAGAAGCCACGAGACCGAAGCGGAGGCAAAACGGGGCCUGACCCUGGGCGGCCGCCCAGUUGGCCAGGGCGCCCGCCCUGCCCCGGAGUCCAAUCAGGACUCUGCUUUGCGGGAGAUCUCCACCGACCUAAAGGAUGAAUCUAAACCAUACAAUCUAUGUCGGUUUGAUCCAAGGGCCCAUAUUCACUUGAAGGGACUAUAAAACCAGACCCCCUGGCCCCUGGAGGAGAGAGCCUCUCAACCCUAAUUCAUUGUUCCAUCAAGGGAGAAGAAGCCUCUGAUCAAGAUUAGAGCCACCACAUCAAUUAGACAUCUAGAUUAGCAUAGCUACAUAGGAUUAGAACUAGAAGGAGUCAAUCUUCGAUUGGUUUCCGGAUCUGUCAAGAGGAUUCUUGGUAAUUCUCUAAUUGUGCUUCUAAUUGCUUUCUAAUUAUCUUUGUUCUUCAAUAUUAUGAAUAUGACUUUGUUCUACUUCAAUAUAUUGCUUAUGACUUUGCUCUACUUGCUUAUAUUCAAGAUUAUAUUGUUCUUAGUUUAUCAUAGUUAUGUACUUGGCUUAGUUAGAUUCGAUCUAUAUACAUGCUUAGGAUCGUAUAGCGUUUAUCCAUCGGAUCCAUGGGUAAAUGAUAGAUAUUGUGUAGGCGUGGUGCUUAUACCGUAUUUAUCUGCGAUUGUACCCAAUAUGCCAGAUCGUGGGGUGGUUCGUGAUAGUGACAGCUUCAUUGAUUCUUAUAUAGUCCCCCUCUCGUGUAUUGGGCUUGCAGAGCAACAUUAUUACAGGGGAGUGAUUGCUAUGUUUCUCAUAUUCCUUGCUAAUAUCACUAUGCAUGGGCGUAGUCUUGUCUCGCAAUGAUUGCUAAGUAUGCUUGCACUAACUAUGAUAAUGCUAGACUAUAUAGUUAAGAAUAACUUAGGGAAUAUUCUUGUAGUUCGUUCUAAUACCAUGCUAAUGACUUUCUAGAGUAUCUAAUUGAGGUGCUUAUCAUAGUUAUUAUGUGGCUAGAUCAGAUUAGUUAUCCUUGUCACUAUUAUUAUUUCAUAUAUCUUUUAUGUAACACUUAUCCCUGUAUGAUGAGUUAGAUAUAAUGUUCUCAAUUAUACAUGCAAUGAUAGAUGCUCAAUCUCAUAUUCUAUUCUGUAAUCAAUAAUGAUGAUUGCUAUUCCCUUCUCAGUGGUAAAAAUAUAAAUAACGAUACCUGGAAUACUUCCCGGUUAAAAUGCUGCAUCGGUAUUAAUCUGUGCGCUUGCAGAUCCCAUUCAUUAUUUAUUUAGAAGAGCAAUUGCAUAUUUCAAUACCGCGUCUCUCAUGUCAUGCUGGGGAUGACAACUUGGCUUAAGUGGUGUGAGGGAUAGGUUUGGCAUUUUUGGCACCGUUACUAGAUUUAGAGAACUUAGUCUACUUUUGGUAAUAAUGUUAAGAAUACCCAACAAGCAUUUUUGGCGCCGUUGCCGGGGAAGGUUGAUUACUAAUCAAGAAUGGAAUAAAAGAUUUCGAGUUAUCAUUCGCAUCACUAAUAUGAUUGAGCUUAUCUAUUCUCUCAUACAGUUUUACCCCGAUAUUUUCCUAUUUCAUCUUGUGCAGGGGAAUGUAUGAAUAGAAGACAUCUUCCAGGAAAUUUUGUUGACAAUCCCGAAGCAUUAUUCAAGAAGACGAGAGCCAAGCUAUAGAAAUCAUCAACACUUCACGAAGAAGCUUCAUCCAAUCAAGAAGACCACCGGAACUUGUCUUCAGAGUUCGAAGCCAUGGCGAACAAAUCAAUCCGCGAGUUCUCAGCUCCCACUACGGACAACAUCCACACUGGACCUGCUGCAGAGAUCGAUGGCAAUUUUGAGCUCAAGCCUGGACUUAUCAACAUGGUGCAAUCCAACCAGUUCUAUGGGAAGGCACACGAAGAUGCUAGUGCUCAUUUACAACACUUCCUGGAGAUUUGCAACACAUUCACCAUAGCAGAAGUUUCCAAAGACGCUAUACUACUUCGCCUCUUCCCAUUCUCACUGUUAGGAAGAGCGAAGCACUGGUUCUACACUACAAAGGAGAAGAAUACUACGUGGGCACUCUGCUCAACAAACUUCCUGGCAAAAUUCUUUCCCAUGGGCAAGACCAAUGCUCUACGUGGGAAGAUUACAAGUUUUCAGCAACAAAAUGAUGAAUCUGUUCCAGAAGCAUGGGAGCGCUUUCAAGACUACAUCCUAGAAUGUCCCCAUCAUGGAAUGGAGAGUUGGCUAUUGAUGCAGACAUUCUAUCAUGGGCUCAGCAACAGUGCCCGAGAGACUAUGGAUGCUGCAGCUGGAGGAGCAUUCUUAUCACUUACUAUACCACAAGCCAUAGCUCUUGUGGAGAAGAUGGCGUCCAAUCAAAGCUGGAAUGAAGAGAGGACCCAGACACGCAAGAGAGGUGGAGGCAUGCAUCAGCUGAAGGAGGUAGACAUGCUGUCUGCAAAGCUAGACCUGCUUAUGAAGAAGCUCGAUGAUAGAGCUGGAGACAAGAAAGAAGUUAUGCACAUCUACGACUCUCACAUGACUUGUGAGGAGUGUGGAGACACUGGACACUCAGGCAACCACUGCCCUGAGAUGCUUGAGGAUGUGAACUACAUCAUCAACAACAACAACUACUACUACAAUCGUCCUCAACCAAAUCAAGGUUGGAAUCAACAGAGGCCUAACUACUCAGGUAAUUAUCAAGGUAACAAUUCUUACAACAACAAUAAUAAUUUUCCAGCUUUGAGAGAGUUAGUGUCUAAUCAAGGAAAGCUAAUGGAUAAUCUAUCUAAGAAAUUGGCAUCUAAUGAUAAAAUGCUAGAAAAUAUAAAUAAUAGAAUGGAUAAUUUUUCUACUGCCAUCAAGAAUCAAAUUAGCUUUAAUAAAAUGAUUGAAUCUCAGUUAAAUCAAAUAGCUGCUGCUGUUCCUACUACUAACCCCGGUAUACCAUCACAACCGGAAGGAUUAGAAUCUGCAAAUCUUGUAGACAUGUUUGAUGCAGGUAAUUGGAGUAACCUCGUCACUGAAUUUUCUACUGACCGUCUGCCGGUCAAGAGAGGCGAUCCAGGACGCCCCGUCAUCCCGAUCUCCAUCGGCAUGGUGGACUUCCCAGUAGCACUCUGCGACUUUGGCUCUAGCGUCAACAUUAUACCCAGGGUACUCUAUGAGAAAUUCUUUACAUAUCCUUUAUUAGAAACAACCAUGUGUUUGCAGUUUGCAGAUCAGACGAUAACUUUUCCAAAAGGAAUAGUGAGGAACCUUUGUGUCCGAGUUGGUACCUUGUAUGCCCCAGCAGACUUCGUAGUGGUAGAGACCGGGAAUGAUGAGAGAGCACCUAUCAUCCUAGGGAGGCCAUUCUUGAACACCACGGGAGCUAUCAUCUACGCUAGUGCUGCCAAGAUCAGUUUCUACGUCAAAGGGGAGAAGGAGACAUUUUUCUUCAAGAACAAGACUACACAAAUUCAAGAUCAAUCCAGACGUAAAUCAAGGAAGAGGACCAACAGGAGAAACAGGAACAAGCAAGUAUGGACCGAGUCAGCUAAGAUGGUCACUGUAGUCCAUGGGGCCAAGAUCAUCAACUUAAGUCACCGUUUUUGACCAAGAAGGACGACCCAGGAAUGCCAAGCAUUUACUGCUCCAUAAAUGGAUACAACUUCUACAAGACGAUUUGCGACACCGGAUCGGGCAUUAACAUAAUGGCCGCAGUCACCUAUCGGCUCUUGUUCGGGACCAUGCCACUAAGACCAACAUACAUUCAGCUUCAGAUGGCAGAUCAGACAUUUCGAGAAGUCAAAGGAAUAGUAUCUGAUGUCCCAGUCAAAAUAGACGAUCACUUUGUCUACACAGACUUUUAACUUGUUGACAUGGGAGAAGACGAGUACGAUCCACCCAUCAUCCUUGAAAGACCGUUCCUCAGCACCGUUAAAGCAAUUAUCUACAUUGGAACCGGAGAAGUCCAUAUGCACUUCCCCUCAGAGAAGGUACGCCGUUAUUUUACUGAUCCUAACUAUAUUAUUGAAGAAUCUAAGCAGGUCAGAAAGAGACGCAACCGCAACCAAAGGAGGCAGAUCAUCAAGGACGGAUGGGCAGACUAUGAAGGAGAAGUUGUAAGGUCAGAAGACGUUGAGUUUAAACAGAAUUAUCCAGAGGAGAUUGAAGCACCAAGCCAGGUGUGGAAAAUAAAGAUAACUAUACAAGAAGAGGAGGCGCUGCCGGAAGUACCGACUACGCCACCCAACGAACCUCAGGACGAUUAAGAAAAUGGAGAGUCCCGUUCGGAGGACUUAAAAACACCGAACGCCUUGCCAAGAGGUAAACUUGGUAGUUAUCCUUUCCCUUUUAAUUAUUUCAAAUAGUUACUUAGUUAAUUAAGUUCGUGCUAUCUUAAAAAGAAAAUAAAAAAAAUGUGAAAAACAAUAAGCCUCAUGUGAGUAGACGAGUGGCAUAAAACCCAUAAGUACAUUCACUGUGGUGGCAUAAAAAUAAAAUAAAAAUUUUUCUGCUUUAUAAAAUAAAAAUAUAAAAACAGGGAGUAAUAUUUAUUAAGGAGUCUCAAGAUAAUAAAGGCUAGAUAUUUACGCUAACACUUAAUCAGUUCCACAAGCUUUGUUGUCUAUUUGAGCUCCACAGAAUUUAAGAAUCAAGAAGACUAGCAGACGGAAGACAUUCUAAUCGCUGUCAGAAUGCUACUGACUUUUAAAUACACCUUUGCCACCUGCUAGCUACAUCAAGAGAAAUUACGUCAAAAUUCAGCUUGGGGGAGAGCACCCCCAUUUAUCUCGAUAAGUAUUUCUAUCUAUCUUUAUACUUAUAUUAUUUUAGAAUAUUAAAAUACACAUAAACUAUGGAAAACCAAAUAAAUAUUUUAUGCUUAUAUAUAUAUAUGUCUUUUGCUUAGUGUGUUUAAUAAAUAAAUAAAGUGGCUAUGCUAAUCUGUAUCUAAAUAAAACUUAAGCAUGGAUAUGAUAAAUAGUUGCUCUGCCUAAUUUGCAAAUUUUAAAGUUCUCUCUCAAGUUUAGAUAUAACUGUUAUAAUUUAAAGCUUGCCCUAGACUUAAACUUGUGGGAUGAAAACUUGAUCUGUAGUCUAAGUUGUUAACGGAUAUGAUAUGGAAAGGUUGAGCUGCUGUUUAUCUGUUCCUAGAGAUGCUAGAAUUCUGGAGAAUUUUAUCUUUGAAAAUCUUUAAAAUGUUGCAUGAUGAGUUCCUGUAUGAUGAGAGUUUAAAUUCCUACCACAGCCAUAUAUACAUGCUUGCUAGACUUUGAGCCACACAUUUAUUAUUUACUACUUAUGAGCAUUGAGUGUGGUCAAGCUGUGUAGACCCUUAGGAGCUUGUCAUGUGGUUAAAUCAAGAUUUCACUUGCACGUUCACUCAUAUAUGCUACUUCUACUCCGGAAGUACCAUCCACAUAUAUCCACCCAUUCCAUCUCCAGAACCAACCAAAAAUAUUCUACUCCUAAUCCAGGAGAGAAUAACCAAAAAUAUUUCUAUUUUCCCCUUGUGAAAUAAAUGCUCAAGUUAUCUUGUUACUACCACUUGCUAUAUUAUCUCAAGAGAUGAAUGCUCUGAAAAAAAAGAGAGAUACAAGGAAAUAAAAAAGGAGCAAGUGCUCGGAACCUCGAAAGAAAAGAAAAAAAAGUGAGACGAGAGGUAAAAAUGGACAAGUGUCCGACAGUAGAAUUAAGGGUACAAUAUACCCACCUGAGAGGAAAGAAAAAGAAGAGCAUCUCAUUCUCAUCAUAAAGUUUCAAAAGCAAGAAAGGUAUGUAUCCCCUCAAAGAGCAAAGUAGAAUUAGACUUCCACCACCAUUGUUUCCACCAUUGUUAUCGCCAUCAUCACCAUACAUCAUUCAUUCGCCACACAUGCACAUCUUGAUUUGGCUUAUUGAUUUGUUUCUUUGGAUCCAUGGUUUGACUAUGCAAUAAAUGUCUUAUAAGUAUGUAUACAUUAUCUCCCACCUAUGAACUCUAGAUAUUAAAGCCUUAUUAGAGUAGGGUGAGAGAGAAGGCAAUGUCACUAUGCCUCAUACCACAAAUACCACAUAUCUUGAGAGAAGGCAUAUACCGUCACUGCUUUGGUAAGGAUCCAAAAAUACCACAAAAGAGAGAUAUGAAGGAAUCAUACAAGGAAUCUCUGAGUUUUAUUUCAAAAUCUACAAAAACUCUAGAGCUAUAGCUGAUCAAGAAUAAGAGACAUGGCACUUGGCUAGACUGUUCUAUCUUUUAACCACUCAAGACAGAAGUGACGGUUACAAGUCCCAUGGUGAAGGUAAAGUAAGUAAGUUUUAAGUCUUGACAGUUUACUCUAACUCAGAAAUGAGAUCUUAUUUAAAAGCAUGUGUACCGUCAAAUUUUUAAAGAUAUUACAACUACUUAUGAUCCAUAGCUGAGUUUAUCCUUGCUCAGGGACGAGCAAGAGGUAAGCUUGAGGGAGUUUGUUGACGGUCCUUAAGUAUCAAAUUUAAUUAUCAAAUAAAUAAAGAAAAGGAUCCAAAUGAAAUCAAGAUUUAGACUUAGGGUUUUAUCUGACAGAAUUCCACGAGUUUUGGUGUUUGUCUAUUUCUGCAGGGGGUUUUCAGGAAAUAUGGAAGAAAGGCCCACAUGUCGGGAUUACGUAAAGAUAUUAACGUGUCGUGCAAUUAUCUUACAUCUAGAAGACUCCAGAAGCCACGAGACCGAAGCGGAGGCGAAACGGGGCCUGACCCUGGGCGGUAGCCCAGUUGGCCAGGGCGCCCGCCCUGCCCCUGAGUCCAAUCAGGACUCUGCUUUGCGGGAGAUCUCCACCGACCUAAAGCAUGAAUCUAAACCAUACAAUCUAUGUCGGUUUGAUCCAAGGGCCCAUAUUCACUUGAAGGGACUAUAAAACCAGACCCCCUGGCCCCUGGAGGAGAGAGCCUCUCAACCCUAAUUCAUUGUUCCAUCAAGGGAGAAGAAGCCUCUGAUCAAGAUUAGAGCCACCACAUCAAUUAGACAUCUAGAUUAGCAUAGCUACAUAGGAUUAGAACUAGAAGGAGUCAAUCUUCGAUUGGUUUCCGGAUCUGUCAAGAGGAUUCUUGGUAAUUCUCUAAUUGUGCUUCUAAUUGCUUUCUAAUUAUCUUUGUUCUUCAAUAUUAUGAAUAUGACUUUGUUCUACUUCAAUAUAUUGCUUAUGACUUUGCUCUACUUGCUUAUAUUCAAGAUUAUAUUGUUCUUAGUUUAUCAUAGUUAUGUACUUGGCUUAGUUAGAUUCGAUCUAUAUACAUGCUUAGGAUCGUAUAGUGUUUAUCCAUCGGAUCCUUGGGUAAAUGAUAGAUAUUGUGUAGGCGUGGUGCUUAUACCGUAUUUAUCUCCGAUUGUACCCAAUAUGCCAGAUCGUGGGGUGGUUCGUGAUAGUGACAGCUUCAUUGAUUCUUAUAUAGUCCCCCUCUCGUGUAUUGGGCUGGCAGAGCAACAUUAUUACAGGGGAGUGAUUGCUAUGUUUCCCAUAUUCCUUGCUAAUAUCACUAUGCAUGGGCGUAGUCUUGUCUCGCAAUGAUUGCUAUGUAUGCUUGCACUAACUAUGAUAAUGCUAGACUAUAUAGUUAAGAAUAACUUAGGGAAUAUUCUUGUAGUUCGUUCUAAUACCAUGCUAAUGACUUUCUAGAGUAUCUAAUUGAGGUGCUUAUCAUAGUUAUUAUGUGGCUAGAUCAGAUUAGUUAUCCUUGUCACUAUUAUUAUUUCAUAUAUCUUUUAUGUAACACUUAUCCCUGUAUGAUGAGUUAGAUAUAAUGUUCUCAAUUAUACAUGCAAUGAUAGAUGCUCAAUCUCAUAUUCUAUUCUGUAAUCAAUAAUGAUGAUUGCUAAUCCCUUCCCAGUGGUAAAAAUAUAAAUAACGAUACCUGGAAUACUUCUCGGUUAAAAUGCUGCAUCGGUAUUAAUCUGUGCGCUUGCAGAUCCCAUUCAUUAUUUAUUUAGAAGAGCAAUUGCAUAUUUCAAUACCGCGUCUCUCAUGUCAUGCUGGGGAUGACAACUUGGCUUAAGUGGUGUGAGGGAUAAGUUUGGCAUUUUUGGCACCGUUACUAGAUUUAGAGAACUUAGUCUACUUUUGGUAAUGAUGUUAAGAAUACCCAACAACAAGCCUUGUUGAGGUCUAUGAAAUCUAUACACAUUCUCAUUUUGCCAUUCUUCUUGGGGACCAAGACUACAUUUGCCAGCCAUUCGGGGUACAUAAUUUCUUUGAUGACAUUUGCGUCUAGAAGUCUUUGUACCUCCGCCUUGGCUGCUAAGGUUCUCUCCUCAGACAUCUUCCUCUGUCUUUGCUUCUUUGGCCUCAUAUUUGGGUCGAUGUCCAGUGAAUGUUGUAUAAUAUCUCUGCUGACUCCCUAUAGGUUAGAGGCAUUCCAACUCGAGCUCCUCCUCUCUGCUAAGAGUGGAGGCUAUGGUGACUUUCCUGUCCGGUGCAGCCUCGUACAGAGGGACACAUUUUGUUUCCUCCUGAUCAGCCAGGUCUGUUUUCCCCCUUGGCAUGUCUGGUGGUUGGCAAACUUCUUCUUGCGUGGAGUCCAUGGAGUUUAUGUUCCGGAAAGACUUGUAGAUUGCUUUCUCUAUGUUUCUCGCUUCUUUCUGACUUCCGUGAACAGUGAUCACCCCGUGCAAAGCCAGGAUUUUCAUGCACAGGUACCCCAUGUGAGCAGCCGCAUUGAAUCUAUUCAAGAACCCCACCAGAAUAUGGCGUUAUAUGGGUAGUGCAGGUCUACCACAUGAAAGGUAAUAUACUCUGUCCUCCCAUUUUCCGCUAUGCCGAAGGAUACUGGUAGGGCUACCUUGCCCAGAGCGUGUAUCUGCUUUCCUCCGAAAACAAUCAAAGGCGAUUCCGAAGGUUGGAGCUGGCUUCUGCUGAGCUUCAUUUGGUCGAAGGUCCUGGCGAAUAUUAUGUCUGCAGAACUUCCCAAGUCUAUCAAGAUCCUGCUGAUCCCCCAUCCAGCAACGUUUGCUGUUAUGACCAUUGCGUCUGCAUGCGAGUAGCUUUCCAACCUUAGGUCUUCUUCGGAGAAGGUUAUUAGAGUUAUGGACCAAUUGGUGCAGCAGACUGGGCCUUGCGCUGCAAUGUUGUUGACCAGACGAAGGUGAUCCUUCUUCUGCUUCUUGGUCUAGAACUCCAUUGAGGACCCUCCAACUAUUGGCAAGAUCAUUCCAAUCGUAGGCAGCGAUGUAUGGGGGCCGAUCUGAUUGUCGGGGUGAGGUUCUGGUUUUGGUGGAGGUGGAGCUCGGAUUAACUGAAGUUGGUUUGGUGGAGGGGGUAGUGAUUGCUGGUGGGGCUGCAUGGCUUCGAUGUAUGUGAUUUGCGGGGGUCGGGGGGCACAUAGGUAGGUUGUAGGCCUUGCUCUGUAGGUUGGUGCGCUUGGCACCAAGCCGGUAGGAAACUAGGAUAGUAAGCGAAAGCUAAUGCGGCGGGAUGGAUUGGAGCUAGGUGCUGCUGGCUUGAUCCUCCGCCGUAGGAAUGGUAGAAGGAUUGUGGGAAUGUGUGAUUCACUUCCAUCGGUUGAAUGAUCGACGGUGGAGGCUGCGGUGCCGACCUGUUCUUGAUUCUCUCCUGGGUCUCUUUGGCGUCUGGGCAAUCCCUAGUCGAAUGACCUUUCUUCUCCCCAUGAAAGAAAUAGUAUUGCUUUCGUUGCCGCUACUUCUGAUUCUUUUGCCACCCUCUGUUGUGACCUCCUCCUCCGGCUUGGUUAAAUCCGCAUUUUGAGUUUCGCGGUUCCGAUGGUGGGUUGUUUUGCCCCGACUUGUCGUUCCUCGGUUGCUUAAUAUUCAUCAUCUGCCCACUAGCUUCCUGCUGAGGACGACGCCCAUCUUGGCUAAGGUUCUUCUUCUGCGAGUUUCUAUCAUUGACCUGCUUUUUCUGAGAGUCUUGCUCCUCUAGCCUUUUGCGGAAGUCAUUGUCCGACUUGCAAUACUUCUCGAAUUCAUGGUACAGCUCAUGCAUGGAUGCCGGCUUUUCCCUGGCCAAAUGAGCCUCAAAGGGCCCUAUGCGAAGGCCUUUGAUGGCCACCUCUAUAGCGACCUCCUCCGACACGCCGGGUGCUCUUGCCUUGGUCUGCACGAACCUUUGAAAGUAGUCCCGCAGUGCUUCUCCCUGACUCUGCCGGCACUGGAACAGGUCUGUGGAGGUCAAUGAUUUAGCUGCAAAUCCUUGGAAGUUUGCCAGAAUCUUGUCUCAGAGGUUCUCCCAUGAAUAGAUCGACCCAGGCCUAAGCAUUGAGUACCACGCCAAGGCAUCUCCUUCGGCUGCGAUCACAAAGGAUUUUGCCAUGACAGUUUAGUUUCCUCUUGCUGAGGAUAUUGCUGCCUCAAAACUCAUUAGGAACUGAUGAGGGUCUGUCUUUCCAUUGAACUUGGGGAGGGUGAUUGGCUUGUAGGUAGCCAGCCAGGGUGAGGUCUGCAUUCCUUCAGACAGAGGGGAACGUAGGUCCAGAGUACUCCGUAGUGUGCCACUGUAGUUUACCAGUUGCACAUUCACCGUCGGACCGACAUUGGGUAAAACCGUGGGCUGGACCGUCGGUUGCGGUGAAGGUUGCAUGCUCAGGAUCUCCGCUUGCAAGAUUGAAAGCUGCUGCCAGCGCUGCCUCCUGGCUGGCCGCGUAGGCGGCAGCGAUCCGGUCUCGCUCUUGCUGAAGGUUUUGCAGCUGCGCUUGCAGUAGUUGAAGCUCUUGAGCGGCAGUGGGUUCUGCUGGCUCCGCAACGGGAGGGGCCUAGCCAGCCUACGGCUGCACAUCUUCAGGACCCUCCUGUUCUACGGUUGCGUAUGCACUUCGCACGGCCCUCCUCGGCCUUCCCCUCCUGGAGGACUCAGCUUGUGGUCUUGUGGUGCUCGAUCUCUUUUCAGCCAUCGCAGGUGAUCCUUCGAGGCCCCACGGUGGGCGCCAAUGUUGGGAAAAUGUGCACUGCACUCCCCGGUGACACAAUGUACAGAGAACCUUCUCACACGAUGCAGUGAGAGACUCAAUCAGCAGCGAAUAGUGGGGUGAACAGUGGGUGGAAACAGUAAAUGCUCUCUCUCCCUUGUUAACGGUGGCUUCACUCCCUUUAUAUAGGGCUCGGAAACCAACCUAAGGUAGUUACAAGAAUGCCCCGUGACGGUGGGGGAAUAUCCCAGCACAUUCCUAUGUUACAGUCUACUGGCCCUGAGCCAUUUAUGUAAUUUCACACUACGAGCUUCUCGCGCGCUCCUCGUCCAGGUCUUCAGCUCGUUGAAGGUUCGAAUCCUCAAUCUGGGCACCGAAACUUCGAUGCUUCUACGCCGAAGGUCCUUUGGCACGGCCUAGCCAGAGGUUCCCUGACGUAGGCACUCCGAGGGCUCGCCGGCCCCGCUGCGUCCUCCAGCAUUCCUUUGGCCAUCCUUCGCCGCGGGAGGAUUCAAAGGUUCAUUCCUUCUCCGCUCGCGACCUCCGCCUUCGGCCAUCCUUCAUCGCGUGAGGAUUCGAAGGUUCAUUCCUUCUCCGCUCGUGACCUCCGCCUUUAUCUUGGUUCCUGCAUUUGCUCAGUACCACAAGAGAUGCAUCAACAUUACGCUUGCCUCGAACCUCCGCACUAUUUCGUAUGAAGGUUCUUGGAGUGGAGGAGAUCCUUAGAAGCGACCAGGGGGAAGGAAGCGACCAGCCCCCUGUUGGGUAUUCUUAACAUCACUACCAAAAGUAGACAAUUCCUAAUUCUAGUAACGGUGCCAAAAAUGCCAAACCUAUCCCUCAUACAACUUAAGCCAAGUUGUCAUCCCCAGCAUGACAUGAGAGACGCGGUAUUGAAAUAUGCAAUUGCUCUUCUAAAUAAAUAAUGAAUGGGAUCUGCAAUCGCACAGAUUAAUACCGAUGUAGCAUUUUAACCGGGAAGUAUUCCAGGUAUCGUUAUUUAUAUUUUUACCAUUGGGAAGGGAUUAGCAAUCAUCAAUAGUGAUUACAGAAUAGAAUAUGAGAUUGAGUAUCUAUCAUUGCAUAUGUAAUUGAGAACAAUUAUCUAACUCUUUCAUACAGGGAUAAGUGUCACAUAAAAGAUAUAUGAAAUAAUAAAUAGUGACAAAGAUAAUUAAUCUGACCAUAACUAGCCACAUAAUAAAUAUGAUAAGCACCUCAAUUAGAUACUCUAGAAAGUCAUUAGCAUGGAAUUAGAACGAACUACAAGAAUAUUUCCUAAGUUAUUCUCAACUAUAUAGUCUAGCAUUAUCAUAGUUAGUGCAAGCAUACUUAGCAAUCAUUGUGAGACAAGACUACGCCCAUGCAUAGUGAUAUUAGCAAGGAAUAUGAGAAACAUAGCAAUCACUCUCCUGUAAUAAUAUUGCUCUGCCAGCCCAAUACACGAGAGGGGGACUAUAUAAGAAUCAAUAAAGCUAUCACUAUCACGAACUACCCCACGAUCUGGCAUAUUGGGUACAAUCGCAGAUAAAUACGGUAUAAGCACCACGCCUACACAAUAUUUAUCAUUUACCCAUGGAUCCGAUGGAUAAACGCUAUACGAUCCUAAGCAUGUAUAUAGAUCCAAUCUAACUAAGCCAAGUACAUAACUACGAUAUACUAAGAACAAUAUAAUCUUGAAUAUAAGCAAAUAGAGCAAAGUCAUAAGCAAUAUAUUGAAGUAGAACAAAGUCAUAUUCAUAAUAUUGAAGAACAAAGAUAAUUAGAAAGCAAUUAGAAGCACAAUUAGAGAAUUACCAAGAAUCCUCUUGACAGAUCCGGAAACCAAUCGAAGAUUGACUCCUUCUAGUUCUAAUCCUAUGUAGCUAUGCUAAUCUAGAUAUCUAAUUGAUGUGGUGGCUCUAAUCUUGAUCAGAGGCUUCUUCUCCCUUGAGGAAUAAUGAAUUAGGGUUGAGAGGCUCUCUCCUCCAGGGGCCAGGGGGUCUGGUUUUAUAGUCCCUUCAAGUGAAUAUGGGCCGUUGGAUCAAACCGACAUAGAUUGUAUGGUUUAGAUUCAUCCUUUAGGUCGGUGGAGAUCUCCCACGAAGCAGAGUCCUGAUUGGACUCAAGGAGGGGGCGGGCGCCCAGGGGAACAGGGCGGGCGCCCUGCCUCUGGCCCCGUUUCGUCUCCGCUUCGGUCUCGUGGCUUCUGGAAUCUUCUAGAUGUAAGAUAAUUGCGCGGCUUGUUAAUAUCUCUAUGUAAUCCCAACGUGUGGGCCUUUCUUCCGUAUUUCCUGAUAACCCCCUGCAGAAAUAGACAAACACCAAAACUCGUGGAAUUCUGUCAGAUAAAACCCUAAGUCUAGAUGUUGAUUUCAUUUGGAUCCUUUUCUUUGUUUAUUUGAUAAUUAAAUGUGAUACUUAAGGACCGUCAACAAACUCCCCCAAGCUUACCUCUUGCUCGUCCCUGAGCAAGGAUAGACUCAGCUAUGGAUCAGAAGUUGUUGCAAUAUCUUUUUAAAAAAAUUGACGGUACACAUGCUUUUUAAAUAAGAUCUCAUCUUUGAGUUAGAGUAAACUGUCAAGACUUAAAACUUACUUACUUUACCUUCACCAUGGGACUUGUAACCGUCACUUCUGUCUUGAGUAGUUAAAAGAUAGAACAGUCUAGCCAAGUGCCAUGUCUCUUAUUCUUGAUCAGCUAUAGCUCUAAAGUUUUUGCAGAUUUUCAAAUAAAACUCAGAGAUUUCUUGUAUGAUUCUCUCAAAUCUCUCUUUUGUGGUAUUUCUGGAUCCUUACCAAGGCAGUGAUGGUAUAUGCCUUCUCUCAAGAUAUGUAGUAUUUGUGGUAUGAAGCAUAGUGACAUUAUCUUAUCUCUCACCCUACUCUAAUAAGGCUUUAAUAUCUGGAGCUCAUAGGUGGGAGAUAAAAUAUACAUACUUACAAGGCAUUUAUUGUAUAGUCAAACCAUGGAUCCAAAGAAACAAGUCAAUAAGUUUAAUCAAGAUGUGCAUGUGUGGCGAAUGAAUGGUGUAUGGUGAUGAUGGUGAAAGUCUAAUUCUACUUUUGUUCUUUUGAGGGGAUACAUACCUUCCUUGCUUUGUGAAACUUUAUGAGGAGAAUUAGGGGUAUCUUGUACCCCUAAUUCUACUGUCGGACACUUGUCUAUUUUUACCUCUCGUCUCACUCUUUUUCUUUUCUUUCGAGGUUCCGAGCACUUGCUCCUUUUUAUUUCCUCGUAUCUCUUUUUUUUAGAGCACUCAUCUCUUGAGAUAAUAUAGCAAGUGGUAGUAACAAGAUAACUUGAGCAUUUAUUUCACAGGGGAAAACAGAAAUAUUUUUGGUUAUCCACUCCCGGGUUAGGAGUAGAAUAUUUUUAGGUGGUUCUAGAGAUGAGAAUGGGUGGAUAUAUGUGGAUGGUACUUCCGGAGUAGAAGUAGCAUGUAUGAGUAAACGUGCAAGUGAAAUCUUGAUUUAACCACAUGACAAGCUCCUAAGGGUCUACACAGCUUGACCACACUCAAUGCUCAUAAGCAAUAAAUAGUAAAUGUGUGGCUCAAAGUCUAGCAAGCAUGUAUAUAUGGCUGUGGUAGGAAUUUAAACUCUCAUCAUACAGGAACUCAUCAUGCAAUAUUAUAAAGAUUUUCAAAGAUAUAAUUCUCCAGAAUUCUAGCAUCUCUAGGAACAGAUAAACAGCAGCUCAACCUUCCCAUAUCGUAUCCGUUAACAACUUAGACUUUAGAUCAAGUUUUCAUCCCACAAGUUUAGGUCUAGAGCAAGCUUUAAAUUAUAACAGUUAUAUCUAAACUUGAGAGAGAACUUAAAAUGUGCAAAUUAGGCAAAGCAACUAUUCAUCAUAUCCAUGCUAGAGUUUUAUUAUUAAGAUACAGAUUAGCAUAGCCACUUUAUUUAUUUAUUAAACACACUAAGCAAAAGAUAUAUAUAUAACCACAAAAUCUUUAUUUGGUUUUUUCUGGUUUAUGUAUAUUUAUAUUAUAAAAUAGUAUAAGUAUAAAAAUAGAUAGAUAGAAAUACUUAGCGGGAUAAAUGGGGGUGCUCUCCCCUAAGCUGAAUUUUGACGUAAUUUCUCUUGAUGUAGCUAGCAGGUGGCAGAGGUGUAUUUGAAAGUCAGCAGCAUUCUGACAGCGAUUAGAACGUCCUCCGUCUGCUAGUCUUCUUGAUUCUUAAAUUCUGUGGAGCUCAAAUAGACAACAAAGCUUGUGGAACUGUUUAAGUGUUAGCAUAAAUAUCUAGCCUUCAUCAUGUUGAGACUCCUUAAUAAUUAUUACUCCCUAUUUUUAUAUUUUCAUUUUAUAAAGCAGAAAUGAAAUAUUUAUUUUAUUUUUAUGCCACCACAGUGAAUGUACUUAUGGGUUUUAUGCCACUCGUAUACUCACAUGGGGCUUACUGUUUUUCACAUUUUUAUUUUCUUUUUAGUUUAGUAUGAACAUAAUUAACUAAGCAAACUAUUUUAAAUAAUUGAAAGGGAAAGGAUAACUACCAAGUUUACCUCUUGGCAAGGCGUUCGGCGUUUUUAAGUCCUCCGAACGGGACUCUCCGUUUUCUCAAUUGUCCUGAGGUUCGUUGGGUGGUGUAGCCGGUACUUCCGGCAGCGCCUCUUCUUCAUGUUUUGUUAUCUUCUCUUUCCAUACCUGACUCGGUGCUUCGGUCUCCUCUGGAUAAUUCUGUUUAAACUCUAUGUCUUCUGACCUUACAACUUCUCCUUCAUAGUCUGCCCAUCCGUCCUUGAUGAUCUGCCUCCUCUGGUUGUGGUUGCGUCGUUUCCUUAUCUGCUUAGAUUCUUCAACGAUAUAGUCAGGGUCAGUAAAAUAACGACGUACCUUCUCUGAGGGGAAGUGCAUAUGGACUUCUCCAGUUCCAAUGUAGAUAAUUGCUUUAACGGUGCUGAGGAACGGUCUUCCAAGGAUGAUGGAUGGAUCGUACUCAUCUUCUCCCAUGUCAAUAACCUGAAAGUCUGUGUAGACAAAAUGAUCGUCUAUCUUGACUGGGACAUCAGUUACUAUUCCUUUAACUUCUCGAAAUGUCUGAUCUGCCAUCUGGAGUUGAAUGUAUGUUGGUCUUAGGGGCAUGGUUCCGAACAAGAGCCGAUAGGUGACUGCGGCCAUUAUGUUGACGCCCGAUCCGGUGUCGCAAAACGUCUUGUAGAAGCUGUAUCAAUUUAUGGAGCAAUAGAUGCUUGGCAUUCCUGGGUCGUCCUUCUUGGUCAAACACGGUGACUUAAGUUGAUGAUCUUGGCCUCCAUGAACUGCAGUGACCAUCUUAGCUGACUCGGUCCACACUUGCUUGUUCCUAUUCCUCCUGUUGGUCCUCUUCCUUGAUUCACGUCUGGAUUGAUCUGGAAUUUGUGUAGUCUUGUUCCUGAAGAAAAAUGUCUCCUUCCUCCCUUUGAUGUAGAAACUGAUCUUGGCAGCACUGGCGUAGAUGAUAGCUCCCGUGGUGUUCAAGAAUGGCCUCCCUAAGAUGAUAGGUUCCCUCUCAUCAUUUCCGGUCUCUACUACUACGAAGUCUGCUGGGGCAUACAAGGUACCAACUCGGACACAAAGGUUCCUCAAUAUUCCUUUUGGAAAAGUUAUCGUCUGAUCUGCAAACUGCAAAUACAUGGUUGUUUCUAAUAAAGGAUAUGUAAAGAAUUUCUCAUAGAGUACCCUGGGUAUAAUGUUGACGCUGGAGCCAAAGUCACAGAGUGCUUCUGGGACGUCCACCUUGCCGAUGGAGAUCGGGAUGACGGGGCGUCCUGGAUCACCUCUCUUGACCGGCAGAAGGUCAGUAGUGAAUUCAGUGACGGGGUUACUCCAUUUACCUGCAUCAAACAUGUCUACAAGAUUUGUAGAUUCUAAUCCUUCCGGUUGUGAUGGUAUACCGGGGUUAGUAGCAGGAACAGCAGCAGCUAUUUGAUUUAACUGAGAUUCAAUCAUUUUAUUAAAGCUAAUUUGAUUCUUGAUUGCAGUAGAAAAAUUAUCCAUUCUAUUAUUUAUAUUUUCUAGCAUUUUAUCAUUAGAUGCCAAUUUCUUAGAUAGGUUAUCCAUUAGCUUUCCUUGAUUAGACACUAACUCUCUCAAAGGUGGAAAAUUAUUAUUAUUGUUGUAAGAAUUGUUACCUUGAUAAUUACCUGAGUAGUUAGGCCUCUGUUGAUUCCAACCUUGAUUUUGUUGAGGACGGUUGUAGUAGUAGUUGUUGUUAUUGUUGAUGUAGUUCACAUCCUCAAGCAUCUCAGGACAGUGAUUGCCGGAGUGUCCAGUAUCUCCACACUCCUCACAAGUCAUGUGAGAGUCGUAGAUGUGCAUAACUUCCUUCUUAUCUCCAGCUCUAUCGUCGAGCUUCUUCAUGAGCAGGUCUUUGCAGACAGCAUGUCUACCUCCUUGAGCUGAUGCAUACCUCCACCUCUCUUGAGUGUCUGGGUCCUCUCUUCAUUCCAGCUUUGGUUGGAUGCCAUCUUCUCCACAAGAGCUGUGGCUUGUGGUAUAGUAAGUGAUAAGAAUGCUCCUCCAGCUGCAGCAUCCAUGGUUUCUCGGGCACUGUUGCCGAGCCCAUGAUAAAAUGUCUGCAUCAAUAGCCAACUCUGCAUUCCAUGAUGGGGACAUUCUAGGAUGUAGUCUUGAAAGCGCUCCCAUGCUUCUAGAACAGAUUCAUCAUUUUGUUGCUGAAAACUUGUAAUCUUCCCACGGAGAGCAUUGGUCUUGCCCAUGGGAAAGAACUUUGCCAGGAAGUUUGUUGAGCAGAGUGCCCACGUAGUAUUCUUCUCCUUUGUAGCGUAGAACCUCUGCUUCGCUCUUCCUAACAGUGAGAAUGGGAAGAGGUGAAGUAGUAUAGCAUCUUUGGAAACUCCUGAUAUGGUAAAUGUGUUGCAAAUCUCCAGGAAGUGUUAUAGAUGAGCACUAGCAUCUUCGUGUGCCUUCCCACAGAACUGGUUGGAUUGCACCAUGUUGAUAAGUCCAGGCUUGAGCUCAAAGUUGCCAUCGAUCUCUGCAGUAGGUCCAGUGCGGAUGUUGUCCGUAGUGGGAGCUGAGAACUCGCGGAUUGAUUUGUUCGCCAUGGCUUCGAACUCUGAAGACAAGUUCCGGUGAUCUUCUUGAUUGGACGAAGCUUCUUGCUGAAGUGUUGAUGAUCUCUUCUUGAGCUUGGCUCUCGUCUUCUUGAAUAAUGCUUCGGGAUUGUCAACAAAAUUUCCUAGAAGAUGUCUUCUAUUCAUACAUUCCCCUGCAUAAGAUAAAAUAGAAAAAUAUCGGGGUAAAACUGUAUGAGAGAAUAGAUAAGCUCAAUCAGAUUAGUGAUGCGAAUGAUAACUCAAAAAUCUUUUAUUCCAUUCCUGAUUAUUAAUCAACCUUCCCGGCAACGGCGCCAAAAAUGCUUGUUGGGUAUUCUUAACAUCACUACCAAAAGUAGACAAUUCCUAAUUCUAGUAACGGUGCCAAAAAUGCCAAACCUAUCCCUCAUACAACUUAAGCCAAGUUGUCAUCCCCAGCAUGACAUGAGAGACGCGGUAUUGAAAUAUGCAAUUGCUCUUCUAAAUAAAUAAUGAAUGGGAUCUGCAAGCGCACAGAUUAAUACCGAUGUAGCAUUUUAACCGGGAAGUAUUCCAGGUAUCGUUAUUUAUAUUUUUACCAUUGGGAAGGGAUUAGCAAUCAUCAAUAGUGAUUACAGAAUAGAAUAUGAGAUUGAGUAUCUAUCAUUGCAUAUGUAAUUGAGAACAAUUAUCUAACUCUUUCAUACAGGGGUAAGUGUCACAUAAAAGAUAUAUGAAAUAAUAAAUAGUGACAAAGAUAAUUAAUCUGAUCAUAACUAGCCACAUAAUAAAUAUGAUAAGUACCUCAAUUAGAUACUCUAGAAAGUCAUUAGCAUGGAAUUAGAAUAAACUACAAGAAUAUUUCCUAAGUUAUUCUCAACUAUAUAGUCUAGCAUUAUCAUAGUUAGUGCAAGCAUACUUAGCAAUUAUUGUGAGACAAGACUACGCCCAUGCAUAGUGAUAUUAGCAAGGAAUAUGAGAAACAUAGCAAUCACUUCCCUGUAAUAAUAUUGCUCUGCCAGCCCAAUACACGAGAGGGGGACUAUAUAAGAAUCAAUGAAGCUGUCACUAUCACGAACUACCCCACGAUCUGGCAUAUUGGGUACAAUCGUAGAUAAAUACGGUAUAAGCACCACGCCUACACAAUAUCUAUCAUUUACCCAUGGAUCCGAUGGAUAAACGCUAUACGAUCCUAAGCAUGUAUAUAGAUCCAAUCUAACUAAGCCAAGUACAUAACUAUGAUAUACUAAGAACAAUAUAAUCUUGAAUAUAAGCAAAUAGAGCAAAGUCAUAAGCAAUAUAUUGAAGUAGAACAAAGUCAUAUUCAUAAUAUUGAAGAACAAAGAUAAUUAGAAAGCAAUUAGAAGCACAAUUAGAGAAUUACCAAGAAUCCUCUUGACAGAUUCGGAAACCAAUCGAAGAUUGACUCCUUCUAGUUCUAAUCCUAUGUAGCUAUGCUAAUCUAGAUAUCUAAUUGAUGUGGUGGCUCUAAUCUUGAUCAGAGGCUUCUUCUCCCUUGAGGAAUAACGAAUUAGGGUUGAGAGGCUCUCUCCUCCAGGGGCCAGGGGGUCUGGUUUUAUAGUCCCUUCAAGUGAAUAUGGGCCGUUGGAUCAAACCGACAUAGAUUGUAUGGUUUACAUUCAUCCUUUAGGUCGGUGGAGAUCUCCCACGAAGCAGAGUCCUGAUUGGACUCAGGGAGGGGGCGGGCGCCCAGGGGAACAGGGCGGGCGCCCUGCCUCUGGCCCCGUUUCGUCUCCGCUUCGGUCUCGUGGCUUCUGGAGUCUUCUAGAUGUAAGAUAAUUGCGCGGCUUGUUAAUAUCUCUAUGUAAUCCCUACGUGUGGGCCUUUCUUCUGUAUUUCCUGAUAACCCCCUGCAGAAAUAGACAAACACCAAAACUCAUGGAAUUCUGUCAGAUAAAACCCUAAGUCUAGAUGUUGAUUUCAUUUGGAUCCUUUUCUUUGUUUAUUUGAUAAUUAAAUUUGAUACUUAAGGACCGUCAACACCCCCAAUAGGUGGAAACUUCAAAUAAGAGGGCCGACAAGCUAGAGGCGGUUGUGGCUUCAGAGCGGGCAGCGCGGCUGGCAAGUGACCUGAGGAUGUCAGACAUGCUGGCGUUUCUGCAGAGUUCUCUGGGUAUUACUCUGCCACCCAACUUGAUGGGUCCAACUCAGCCUCCUCCCGUCAUUCCUCCCUUCAUUGCUCUCCACACUACUCCGGUGAGUAAUAUAUAUCACACAUGUAUGUUAUUUAGCUAUUUAACUUUGUCUUAUGCAAUCGCUGCUCCUGUGUGUAGCCUAUGUCGGCGGGUUUGAACCACGUGGAGAUUGAGCAUGGGGGACCGUCGCCGCCGUCACAUGGGUGGCCCGGGUACGCACCUCCACCGCCGCCUCAGUGAGUAACGUCGAUGAAGUUGUCACGUAUUCCUUCUUUUGGUGAUGAACCUGAACUUUGUGUUGAACUUCAUGUCAUGGACUUAGACUUGUUGUGUUGAACUUCAUGAACAUCAAGUUGUUGUAAUGGACUUUAUCGCCGAAUAAGUGAUGCUAUUAUGAGAUAUAUGUGCUAUUGUGAUAUAUAUGGUGACGGUCACUACAAGAAAUACUUGGCUUUUUAACGUUUUUAGUAUGACAAUUGUAAGAAUGUUACUAUAUCAUCCAUUUUGUGACAUUAUAUUUUAGGCAUAGUGACUUAGUGACAACUAAAAGUUGUAUGUCACAAUAAAUGUUAUUUAACAAGUCUGAUUUCAUAUCGUAACAAUAUUUUCUAUGUCACAAGGACUAUUUGUGUGUCACAAAUUAUUUUAUUAAUUACUUAAAAAACUUUCCAUGUUGACAAGGCCAUGUCAACACAUGUCUUUCCAUGUUUUUGUCUAUUUUAUUUUUAAAAACUUUUUAAGAGUGAAAAUAACUCUUAAAAAGUUCCAAUAGCAUAUCAACCAUUUUAUCUAGGUUGAGGACGAUAGUGAGAUUAUAUAAAUUGGGGUUGGCACAUAUAGAACCUUUUUGGUACAUAUCUAGGUCGAGGAGGAUAGUAAAAAUGGUAUUAAUUUGUUAGACCAUAUAAGUGAGCUAAAGUGGUCCAUUAUUGUUUUGUAUAGAGAAAAUCUCCAAGUAGAUAGUUUGAUUUUUUACAAUCACUACAAAAAACCUCUUAAUUCGUGUAGGAUUCUUCAUGACGAAUUCAGAGAUCAUCACUCAAAUAUGAACCACCACUAGUAAUACACAUCCUACCCUAAUGGAUACCCAACCCAGAGCCCAAUACAUGUUCGCAUAUAUAAACGAGGUACAAUGUGUGUUGCUCUAUUUUUCUGUCGGUCGCUCGUAGCACCGACAGGGAAAUCUAAUUUGAGGUGUCAGGUGUGCCUGGCCUUGUUUAGUUCACAAAAACUUUUGAUUCCGGUACUGUAGCACUUUCGUUUUUAUUUGACAAACAUUGUCCAAUUAUGGAGUAACUCAAAAGAUUCAUCUCGCGGUUUAUAGGCAAACUGUGUAAUUAGUUUUUAUUUUUAUCUAUAUUUAAUGCUCCAUGCAUGUGCCGCAAGAUUUGAUGUGACAGGAAAUCUUGAAAAAUUUUGGAUUUUUGGGUGAACUAAAGGCCUGAGACGAAAACUGUAGUGGGCGUAGGCCGCGGUGGCCUUUUUGUAAGGCCCAAACGAUGGCGUGCUCAGCCCGUGGCAUAUAUACAUGGCGUCUAACCCUAGCCACACGCACGUCACUCGCCUCUCAUUCAUCCAGCCGCCGCCGCCGCCGCCGCUGCCCUGCCUCUUGCCGCGUCGUCGUUGCUCCUGUCACUCCUCCAGUCCUUCGGUGGGGGCAAGGUUUGGAUCCAGGCGGUGGACGGUCGGGCCUGGAAGGCGACGGCAGCGAGCUUGCCAUCCACGACCGUGAGCUCGCCGGGUCACACGACCACCGCGGCAGCGCGCUUCCGGCCGGGCGGCGGCGGCGGCGCUGUAGAUCCGGUCCACUACAUGGUAGUUCUGGCGCCAGUGCAGUCCCUUUGGCAAAAAUCGCAAGGUACCCAUUCAUGUGUGUUCUUGGUACAACAUCGUUUUUCAGUUCGUGUAUUCAAGUACCAGAUCCUAUCUGGUUAUUGCGUGGUUUGUCUUCCAGCAGAUUCUUAAUCCUGUGGCAGCACAUGUACGUGGGGAGGAUGAGUGACAACGUAAGCAUUUGCACAUGGUGGUCAUCAAGUCAAGGACAAGGUGCUGCUGAUGUGCGGUCAAUGACAAGGUGCCGCAAAAAAAUAGUUUUCUUACUUUCAGUUCGUUGCUUUCAGAGAUUAGGUUAUGUAGAAAUUAGAUGAACAGAUAGAUAAUGCUGUAACUUGAAAGUUUUUAAGUAGUAUGUUGUGUGUUGUGCAGAACAUUAGAGCUGUCUCAGCUAGGAGCAAUUCCUUAUGAGUUGCAGCAGAUUGAUGCCCUGCCAAGCUCCAGGUUUCAAUAUAAAUGGAUCGCGGUUUACAUAAGCGUAGAACAGAGCUUGUUGAGCUCCUUUUACCAUCAGCAACGUGUUGUUUGAUGUGUUAACACUUCCUUUUUUCCAAGCUUGUAGUUAACCUCUUUGUAGCUGCAUUCUGAAAUUUUCAGUUGAAACUUAACAGCUGCAGGAAAAUUAUGCAUGCACCCCAAAGGGCUCAUACCUCUUAUUUGCUAAACAAGUUUAAUAAUCAUAUAUUAGUGUGCUGGAAAUUUUUGAUAGUAUAGCUAUAGCAGGUAUUAACAGUAGCACUUAUUUUGAGUAGACAUUGAGAAAGCAAGGGUGGAAACUGAGAUUUUAGAAAACUCAGUUUGCUAGUUUCUACUUCAACUGGUCUGUAUCUGUUUGCUACCAUGAUUCAAAACUGAUGCUUUCUUGGCAAAUCAUGUAUUUCUAUAGCUGCACUGACUAUGACUAUGAGAAUGCAUUUUCGUGUAUAUGUGACUUGCAUUUAUUUCUAUUUUUGAUAAAAUAGCUGCCAGACUGUAUAAUAAACGUGCACAGAAAAUCUACAAAAAUUACAGCAGCUAGCAUAUGUUCCCAGUAGACUACUACCAAAUUUUCAUAGCAUUUUACUAAGCAUAACUUGUUGCACUCACAAACAUAGAAUGUUCUGGACACAAGUAUAGAAAUCUGAAUUAUUUGGUGUUAUUGUUGCUAGGCUCAAAUGGAGGCUCAGAUGGGGUCAGUAGGGCUACGAUCAAAGAUGGCUGAGUUAGAGAAGCAAGCUGAGAGGCAGCAAGAAAAAAUGAAGAAGAAACUGAGAAGCUAAAGCAGCAAGCAAGUGAAUCCAAGGUUCCUUCGCUUCUUGUUUGGCAACAAGUUUGUGUUGCGCUAUUACUGUAGUUGUGUUGCUGCUGCACUUAUGUUCCAGCAAGUUGAAAUUUGAGACUUGAGACUUAUCUAAUGUGCAAUGAAUUGGUGGAUGGAUGUAAUGGUAUUGAAUUUGAAUCUGAUUUAGUAUGUGUUGAAAAGUUAUAUAGACACAAUUGUAUGUGAUGAAAUAUUGUAUAUGGGCUGAAUUGUGUGGGUUGAACACAGUGGGCUGCAUUGUGAGGACAAAAAGAAUUACACAGGUUGAAUUGUUGUGGGCUCGAAAUUUAUAUAGACUGUAACUGAAAAAUAACGGACCAGCUAACACCACUCCAAUUAGAUUUUAGGCCCAUGAGCUAUGUGGGCUUUAGUAGGCCAAAACUCAUUUUGUAACAUUUUUUCUCCCUGCCAUGUCAGCUGCCAUGUGGCAAGGUCUAUGAUUUUGUGACAAUAAACCAAUGUCAUAUGCUUGUGACAUGAACCAAACAAAUGUCAUAUAAUCAUUUUAUGACGCGGGCUUUUCCACGUUUUGAUUUUUGUCAACUUGAUGUCACAAAUCUUAAUUUGUAACAUAAAUUCUAUAUAUUGUGACAUAACUAAACGUUAAAAAGCCAUGUGUUUCUUGUAGUGGGUGGUGAUAAAAGUGAUGGAAUUGUGGUAUAAAUGGUGCUACUUGUGUUCAUGGUGAUAUCCAUGUGAUGUAUGUAUAUGAUUUGUUGUGUUUGUAGCGAUAGAAAGAAAAAAAACAAAAAAAAAUCUGGAUUCUAGCUUUGCCUAGCGUAGCGCUAGGCAAAGAGCGGCGCUCGGCAAAGCUGCCAUGUCUAGCGCUGCAUCACGACAGCUUACCCAGCUUUGCCGAGUGCCAAAUACUUAGCCCUCGGCAAAGGCAAUCAUUUGCCGAGCGCCAGCCUGGAGGCGCUAGGCAAAGAAUUGUUUUAAAAACAAAAUUUUCCCCUUUGCCGAGCACCUUAUUGGAGGCGCUCGGAAAAAAAAUCAAAAAAAAAUGGUUUGCUCUUUGCUGAGCGCUAGCUUGGAGGCACUCGGCAAAGAAAUUUUCAAAAAAAAUGUUUUGCUCUUUGCCGAGCGCCAGACUGGAGGCGCUCGGCAAAGAAGGCGUCCAGAUAACGGUUGUGACCGCCGCUUUUCUUUGCCGAACGCCGCCUUGGCGCUGGGCAAAGGCUUUGCCGAGCACCCGACAGAAGACGGUCGGCAAUGGAGCCUUUGCCGAGCGCAAUUUGGCCUCUGCUGAGCAUCAGGCGCUCGGCAAACUCGCGGUCUGCACUAGUGUAAGCAACGUAAAUAAUGGCAAUGGGUCUUUCAUGAAGGUAUUCAAAAACAGAAUCUGAAUUCCUGAACCUCCGAACUCUAUCCUUUCUUAACCUUAUUCUGUUAUGUUCCUCAUUUCUUCCUCGCGUUCUUGCUUUUCCUCAGCCAAACCUCUGAUUCCACUCAGUUAUCAGUUGUGUUCUAACGCGGAACACAACACAAGCAGCAGCAGAGCAGGGCAGGGGCAACGUCUGUAUGGUGACGGUGGAGUGCAGGCCGUAGUAGAGCAGGGCGGCGGGCAGGGCGAUUGGGCGUUGGCAUGACUUCAUGAGUGACACAGAGAGGAGCGCCUCCUUCACGACUCCAAACGGUGCUUGCUGGGCAGUUGGGCCAACUUCACAGGGGUAUUCGAGGACUCUACUUGGGCCAUGUGUCGGUAUCUGCUAACUUUUUUUUUGACAAUAUGUGCUGACUUUAUAUGGCCACUACUUUUUUCCUUAGUAUAUGUAGCUGCUAGGUUUUACAUGUUUGGAUUGCUUUCCGGAAUGUUUUAUUCUCCCAUUACCAUCCAGUUUGCAAACAUAAUUGGUCACCGCGUUUAGCACAGUUUCUUACAUUUGGGGCCAUGUGUGUUGAUCUUUCUAGUGGGCAGUGGCCAAACUUUGGUGGCAGUGAAGUCAAACUGCACUUUAAUUUUUGUUAUUAUUGUUGUGUUAAUUAAGCAAACAAAGGUGACGAGGAAGCACCGGAAGGAAGCCACCAAAAGCACCGAUUGCCAAUCGGAUUUGUUCUCUUAUCUAACCUGUUCUGGGUGAUGGUGCAUCUGGUUUUGGAUUUUCGCUGGGACUGAAGUUUCCUGGCACCUUCGUUUCCGAGAGUUGUUGUAUGUCGUUUUCAUUCCGUGGUGUAAAUAAACAAUUAAACAAGUUUAUUUACAAGACGGACUGAAGUGGAGCUACCGAAUGCACUAUCAGCGCCUAUCUACCAACCAUCCAGCUAAACUACAUCUCCUACUACCUUCUGCAGCUUUGCAUCCUGAACUCGAAAAGGCCUCUGGUUUUCAAGGGCGCAAUGCAUCCUAGUGCCUUGUUCAGGAAUGGAACAGGAAAAGGCAGCUGAUCCAAGCUUAAAUUCAAGGUACAUGCUCUAAAUUUAUUUAUUCGAAAUUUCAUUUGCAAGAGAUAAAACUACAAAGAGGAAAAGAAGUACAAAAAGGGAACAUCCAUGCAUAUCAUCCUAUUUGGUUAGAUCUGAUUCUUCGCUAACCAUGCUGAUUUUUUAUUCUGGAUUUUCUCAGUGAUGAGGACCACGUGGUAAGCAGUUGCCGCUUCUCUGGCCUUCGGAAGAGGUAAUUCGUAUGCUAAUUAAUCUCAUUUCUUCAACCAUCACUCCAACGAUCUUUAUCCUCACAUAUGCAUGUUAUCUGUGCCUUUUAGUCAUGUCAUGUGGCAUGGAGUUAUUUGAUCUACAGUACACAGCACAGAAAGGAUCCCUAUCUAAACUAUUUGUUUUGGUUUGCUCAUAUACAAGUUUUUCCCCCAUUAAGUUUCAAUAUACAAAUAAUUCUCCAUGUAGUUUAUUUCUAUUCGUAACACUCACAUAUUUAAUAAUUUCAAAGAAAAAUAACUUUCACAAUCUUUUAUCAUGGAUAUGAUUCAAGAGAUGGAAAUUAUAGUUGCUCUAAAAUAGCGUGUCCAGCAUAUUAUUUUUGGUUCAAAAAAACUCUGCAUAAUUCUUCGUUCUUCAAUUCAUCUACAGAGAAUUGGCAAGGGAACCUUUGAAAGAUGACUGGAGUGGAGGCAGCUUUAGCAUCUGGACUAUUGAAUGUUGCAGGGAACAAACUAGGUUCACUUAUAUCCAGUGAGUUUGCGGCCAUAACGGGUGUGAAAAAAGAUCUAUUAGACCUUCAAGAUAUACAUAUAGAAGUUACGAGCUGGCUAUCUGCGGUUGGUGACAGAGCUAUAGAGAGAGACCCAUCACUUCGAUGGGUGAUGAAGUUGAGAAAUCUUGCAAAUGAUAUUUAUUAUUUACUUGAUGAAGUAUGCCUAGAAGAUGAGAAACACAAGAUACAUAAUGACCGUAAAAGGCAUGUUUUUUCUGACUUGUUUGCAAAGCCAAAGCUGCUUAUGUUCCGGGGGAAGGUGUCCCAUAAGAUCAAAGCAAUCAAGGUGACAUUUGAUGCAAUUGUGAAACAAAGAAGCAAUGCCAAUACUAUACUACACAGUUUUCAAGUGGACCAACCAAUUCAUCAUAGAAAUGGCAAGGCAACCGGGGAGCAGUCUCUGUUGAGUAAUGCUCAGGAGUCAACAAUACCAUCAAGGGAUCAUUUGAAGACUGAAAUCAUUUCCAAGCUUCUAGAAUAUAACAAUGGAGAAGAUGGUCAUAUAAUUUCUAUUGUUGGGCUUGGUGGAUCUGGCAAAACUACUUUGGCCCGACACAUCUGCCAUGAUGACAAGAUAAAGCAGCACUUCAAAGAUUCAGUAUUUUGGGUCCAUGUAUCUCAAGAGUUUUGUGGUGAAAAACUUAUUGCCAAGCUAUUCGAAGCUAUUAUUGAGCAAAAGUCAGAUCUACAUGCCCAACAACACAUGCUUCAUGCAAUUUCAAACAAAUUGAGUGGUAAGAAGUUUCUGCUUGUCUUGGAUGAUGCUUGGCAUGAGGACAGGCAUGACUGGGAAAAUUUCACGGUGCAUGUAAACAAUGGUGCUUCAGGAAGCAAGAUUCUUUUAACUACACGUAAUGAAAAUGUUGCAAAAGCAGUGGAAUCUAAGCUUGUAUUCAACUUGCCAUUCUUAUCCGAGGACGAGAGCUGGAGCUUCUUUCUAAAGAGUUCUGGUUGGAAAGAGGAGGAUUUAGACUCUGACUUUAUUACGGCUGGAAAAGAUAUCAUCAAAAAAUGUGGUGGUGUUCCACUAGCAAUAAAAACUCUUGGAUCUGUUCUCCAAGAAAAGAGAAGAAUAAAUACAUGGAGGGCAAUUAAAGAGAGUAAUUUAUGGGAUGAAGAGCAUAUAGAAGGUCGUGUAUUUGUAUCCUUGAAACUGAGCUACGUUCACUUGAAAGAUCAUCUGAAGCUCUGUUUUACAUUUUGUUCUAUAUUCCCCAAGGGCUAUAGAAUUAACAAAGACUACUUGAUUGAACAAUGGAUAGCCCAUGGUUUUGUCAAGUGGAAGAAAGAGGAGCAGCCAGAGGAUAUUGGAAGUGACUACUUUAAUUCUCUUGUGAAAGGCGGCUUUCUUCAGUUGGCACCUGAAACAGAGCCUAAUGAAAUAAGAAGAGAAUGCUGGAUGCACGACCUGAUUAAUGAUCUUGCUCAAUAUAUUUUACAGAAUGAAGCGGUAACAUCUCUAUCCGAGAACAUAACCAAGGAUUGUGCACGCCAAUGCAGGUAUUUAUCUUUGACAUCAUUGAAUGAGGAUGUUGAAAGGGGCUUUGAGAAGCUACGUGCUCUAUAUGUGGCUGAACGCAACCAAUCAUUUCGUAACCUUGUUAAGAAGAGUGGGCAUAUCCGCAGUGUUGUCCUAGACUAUAAAUUUGAUACUCCUUUUCCAUCAUUCAUAUUAAGGCUUCAAUAUCUUGGAUAUCUUGAAAUCCACCAUGCUAGUUUCACCAAAUUUCCAGAAGCUAUCUCAGAUUGUUGGAAUUUGCAGUCACUUCAUUUUAUUCAGUGUAAUGGCUUUGUGACAUUGCCUGAGUCAAUUGGGAAGCUUCGGAAGCUAAAAAUUCUGGAACUAAAGUGGAUUACGGAUCUUGAGAGUUUGCCUCAGUGCAUUGGCAAUUGUGGAGAUCUUCAGUCCUUGAUACUAAUUUGGUGUAUGAAGCUCAGUGAGAUACCACUCUCCAUAAGUAAAAUUCAAAAUUUAAGGGGCCUUCAUAUAGUUGAUUGUAAUUCUCUUGAACAACAUAACUUCAAAUCCAUUGGGGAAUUCAGCAACCUACAGACAAUCAACUUAUCUGGGUGUACGCAAUUCCAGGCCCUGCCAAGCAAUUCUUUAUGUCAUAUGUUGCAUACUCUUGAUCUUUCCUCUACCAACAUUACCAUGCUACCUCAAUGGGUUACUACGACUAGCACUCUUGAAUGUAUAGACCUUGAAAACUGCAGG